GUCGUGUAAGAAAUUGCCAGGUCUAAUGUAAUAAUGUUAUAUGUUAAAAAAAUAUUUUUAUUAGCACUAUAAAAUCUCAUUGUGCAUUCUUUAUAAGUGUAUUUUUUUUUCUAAAUAUAAAAGUUUAGAGUGUACAAUAAGAUACUCUGGAGUGUCAAUAACAACACUGAAAAAAAUGAUUUUUUUUUCCAAUUUUAUUGUAUAAUAAUGCUAUAUAUUCAAGUGAAGCUUUAAAGUUAGAGUUUUUUUUAAGCUUCUUUUUCCUGUUUGGUUGUUUAAUAUUGAACUGGUUUUGUCACUUAGUACUACGGUUUAGUCGUAUUCCUCAUCACUUGUAAGUGAGAGAUCUUAAGUUCAAUUCUCACCCAAUGUGAAUUUGAACCACAUCAUUACUAGCCCAUUGUGAGGCUAAGCGUACCCCUCCCUUUAGUGUAGAUAAUAUUGUUUGUUGAAAAAAAUAUAGUGAACUAGUUUGAUUAUUUAGUGAAGAUUACGUUUGUAGCUCUUUUUACUUACUAUAUAAUAACAUUUCUAAACUAGUUAGUGAGUCCUAAAGUUUGUUUUGACUUAAGUUAUUACUUUCUAACAUUAAUACAUUGUCGUACUUUUUUUGAAAAACUAUCUUAAAGAGUUAAAUUUUGAACAUGACUCCCGAAAUCUUAGAGAAAUGCCUGGUUAUUACACUUAACAUUAGCAGCUAAUAGCUGAUAGGAGAUUAUAUUCACACACCCCAAAUUACUUCUCUCACGCCCUUUUAAUUUUUCUAAUAUUUUGCUAUCAAGUGUUAGUGGUGUGUAGAAAAUAUGAAAAAAUUAAAAAGGUAUGAGAGAAGUAGUUUGACAUGUGUGAGAAAUAGUUUGACAUGUGUGAAUAUACUCUCUCUCUCUCUCUCUCUCUCUCUCUCUCUCUCUCUCUCUCUCUCUCUCUCUCUCUCUCUCUCUCUCUCUCUCUCUCUCUCUCUCUCUCUCUCUCUCUCUCUCUCUCUCUCUCUCUCUCUCUAUAUAUAUAUAUAUAUAUAAAGAUUGGGGUCUGCAAGUUGUUUACAAGUUCUUGCAUAAAGUAAAAAUUCCCAUCACUUCUGGAGAAGAUGUAUAAUUUGCAAUGGCCACUUGCACAGAGAUUUCAGCAUGAAAACUAGUAGAACUUUGGGGACCAACUUGAUCUAGACUUCUAGUACAUGAAACAUCUAGUGGGGCUAGAGCUUAGUAGAGCCAAAUGGCUUUGAAAACAAAUAACUAAACACCAUAUUAAUGAAAAUUAAUUAAUUAAUAUUAUGUUUGACAAAACAAUGGUAUCCCUAAUCUGUCCCUCUUAUCUUUCAACCUCGAUGUUUGCCUCUUCAGUCUUCAUGGAGAUAACAAUAUAUAGGUAGUGGGGGAGCCUUUCUAUUUUUCUUUUGACUCUUUGAGGGCUCGAGAUUAAUAUAUAAUACUUCCAAAACACAGAUUAAUUGAUUGAAAGCCUUAUUUAUAAUCUCGUUAUAAAGUUACAAACACUUGGAUGCCAAAAAUCCCGAAGUGAUUAAGAUAUAGAUGUUAAAUGUUGAUCACAAUAUGUUUAGUCAAAUGAUUAUAUUUUAAUUUUGGAAACACAAACAACUCCCUCCUAAGAGCAACUCUAACCCUAAAUUGUCCCACCUAUUCAGUGAUUAAAUCCACCAAUUCUUCCAAAUUUACUCCAACUCAUGCCAAUUGCCCAACCUAUAAGGUGGGCCCAUCUUUCACGGACGAAUAGUCAGGCGAGAAUGGCUUGAGGUUGUUUAACGUUAGUCUGAAGUCACCCACAUUAUCAAUUUUCUUUCUACAAGGUGCACACGCACGUGGGUGUGACUUGUGAGUCGUCUGACAAAAUCCAGGCGGCACGCUGUAAUAGUCUACAAAUUUUGGCCAUUGGAUUUCCCAAAUCCCACGGUCCUUUUUAAUCUUGAUUUUAAAAAUUCAAAAUAUAUAUAUAUGUAAAAGAUAUUGUUUUCCACGUGGUACAACUUGGACUCUUGGAUUGAAAAAAAAAAAUCAUCCAACAACCCAUAUUAGUUUUGUUAUUAAAAAAAUUCGAAAAUUAUAAACAAAUACCAAAAAAAAAAAUUAAAAGAAUAUGAACGGUGGCGUGACCGGGACUGAAUUGUAAUUUCGGAUAAUAAAACGUGAUAUGACAUGAUUAGCUAAAAGUCUUAUUCGAAACUAAACAUAAUAUUAAUUUUUUUUAAAUAAAUUUUUAAUGUUAAUUGCCCAAACAAUUUAUUUACAGAUGAAAAUACGACAAUUACUGUUCACUAAAUAAUAAUUGCCAAUUGCCCAAAGAGCCAGAUAAUAAUCGCCCUAAGACGUGGAGUUGCCCUAAUGGCAUUUGCAAACCCAUCACUAUAAAGAAAAUUUCAAUCAUUAUAAAGGCAUCAGAUGUUUUCCACUUUUGUGCAAACCCAUCACUAUAAAGAAAAUUUCAAUCAUUAUUAAAGGCAUCAGAUGUUUUCCACUUUUGUGCGACACAUUUUUCCCACUCUUGCAGUCUUGCUUUCGAGAUCGUUCUACAUGGCAUUAAUUGAAUACAUGAAAAUAUGCAACUGAAACACUAAGAUAUAUUUUAAACCUAUCACGUAUUGUUAUGUAUUUCAACUGAAAUACUAAGAUAUAUUCUAAAUCUAUCACAUAUUGUUAUGUAUUUUAAUUUGCUAACGUGGGUGCACAAAUAUUUACAUGUUCCCUACCCCAACUUUUCUUUAAAAAGUUAUAGUUAUUUUCUUUAAGUACAUUUUAUAUUCAGACUCGGAUUUGAUACUACUGGAGGACACUAAACUGUUUGACAAGAAAUGCAGGUAACCCUAUAGUCAAGUAGGUGGUUUUUACUUUCUAGGUUUAUGUCUGUGGUUGGAACUAGGGUUUAUAGAUGUGAAGAAGAUUGAGGAAGCUGAAUUAGGGGAAACAAAGUAAGUAUAUCGGAUUUAGGGUUUAGAAUUCCUUUAAGUUUGUAACAUAACUCGACUGCCAAUUCCUCCGUCUCCAUGUGAAAAAUGUGUUUGCUUAUACUUACAGAAAGAUCUAAUGAUUCAGUAAUGAGUAUUAAUUAGUGCAAAUCAUAAUCUAAUCAAUAACACAGCACUUUAAUUACCAUAUUUGAUUAAAGCUAGCAAAUGACAGCAUCAUCGUGUUAUCAUGCUGACAACAUUAUUCACCCUAGCUCACUCGAUCACUAAUUUUGACUAAUUCAAACUUACAACUCGUUAGCCAAAGCUGCAGCCUCAAGUAGAAACACCGGCGAGUCUUCUAGUUUCUGGUUACUCCCGUCGGCACCACACACUUGAACGAUAAACUUGAUGUUAGAAGUGCCAGAAGUGACUGCGAGGUCAUCGACGUAAAAAGCUUCCACUCGUGCCGCUCCAAGAUACUCAUGCACCCUUUCUAGCGCUGCUCCUUGAUGGCCAAGUGAUCCCUUUGCUAGCUUUUCAACAUAAAUAUUAUAAUUUGUGUAUGGAUAAUCGUUCCCGUCUUUCAACUUCCAAGUGAUUUUAAGACUAACGCUCUUGGAACCCUCAGAUCCUGUUGCCCAUUUGAUAUAUUCACCUUUGACAAGCCACGAAUCAGAAGGCGGAAAAUCUGAUUUCUGCCCACAAGUCUUAAUUGAAAUAUGACCAAGCACUGCAUAGUACUCUGUUGAAUUCCGAGUACCUUCCUCUGAUAUGGACUUCAGUCUCCUUUCGUCAAAUUCAGGCUUCGACCUGUAGCACAGAGCAUGUAUUUCUGUUAGUCUGUAUCCAUUCAUUCGGAUGCUACUCUUCUGCAUGACCCAUCCAGGGGAAAUUCCUGGCGUUUCAGGUUGACGUGUCAUUAUCACUUUAUCAAAUUUGCUUGAGAACUGGUUCAGGUUCCAGUUUACAAGAAGCACCGACUUUCUUUCGUUCACGGUAGAAGAAGAGAAUACAAGAUGCAAGCCUAGACGAGAAUUAUUCUCCGAUUUCACCUGCAUUAAUUGGAAUAUGCAUAGUUCAAAACUUGUCUGCGAGUGCACUAUAUGAAAAAAAUAAAAUAAAUAGAAGAUUCUAGGCACAUGUACAGGUAGUCUAACGACGAUUUGGACAACUUUAGUAACUUACAAUGCACGGAAGAGAUAGCUUACAGAAUACGUAAAGUGGAGAGGUAAAUCCCCCAAAAGAACAUCUCCUUGAAAGAGCCUAGUCGAGAAAUUAUCAGAGUCUUCAAGGUUUCCUUUAAAUGUGAUGUUUCCUCCUCCACUAUAAGAUGCUUCCUUGAAACUAUAAUUCGCCAACAUACGUUUGAAUGAAGAAGAAUAUCAAACAUAUCCAAAAAAUGUUCUUAAGUUUUUGCAAAGCUUAGGCACUGAUAUUCGGAAACCCGGUAUAAGAUAAUGUUUAUGCAUAAGGUCAAAUGUUUAGGGUGUAGGGUUUAGGAACUAAAACUUACUCAACAUGGACCUGGAUGCCAUCUGGGGUUGCAUUGUCACUAAACUCAAGGAACGGCUGUGACAUAUCAAUAGGAGCAAAUUAGCAUGCUUGACCAUGUCAAAGAUUUGACAACAAUGCACUGCACCUGCCCGCUAAUAGCAAUACGCACAACACACGAAAGGAAAAAAAGCAUAUUAACAUAAUUUAAAACCAGUAAUGUUUCGCAGAUGGCGACUGCAGUAAAGCAACAAUCCCUACUAUACACCCUGGUGCAAGUUCGAUCCCCACUGAUCCCCUUUCCCCCUAACAUUUAACAAUUUAACCCAUUAAUGCUAUCGUUUGUAAAAGAAAAGGGUAAUGUUCAUGCACAGGAUUGAACAUUCGAAUUUGUUAUUAUAACAUUCCAUACCACCGACACUCAAGCUCAAUGACGUUAGCUUUUUUUUCUUCUUAUUCCAAUUUAUUUUGUUGUCAAGAACUAAAACAAGGAAAUAAUUCAAACAUUCCAUCCACUAACAAGAAAGAACUGCCUUCGAACAGCUGGAACUUGGAAAAGAUAAUAAAAUUUGAUGAUUAUGGUUGGAUUUUAUUGUCAUGGCGAACUAUGAAAAUGCUUGUUUGAACUUGGCAGCUUAAGAUAUUAACCAACAGAAAGAAAAAAAAAUCUAGAUAUUGAACUUAGAAAUAGGCUUUGAAACUCUAAAAUAAAUUGAAAAAGUUCAAACUGCAAAUUUGAUAGUAAUCAAUGAAAAGAGUAGGGAAAUAAGAAGAAGAUGGAAACCAAACUGCAAUCUAACAGUAUGUCAUUUGACCAAGGAGCGUCUGAUACCACAAGGCUAUUUGGUCCAUACCUGAAACCCUUGGGAAGAAAUGUUACACCAAGAAGCAUCGGAUACUUGCCCUCCGUCGACAGAAACAUGAUAUCCAUAACCCUGAACAGUAAUACAGAAAAAUAGUGUUUAGGUAACGGGUAUAUGCAGGAUAUAUGAAGUUUAUGAACUAGGUCAUGCUUCCAACAUCCAUAAAUGGCCCACUGCAGUAUCAAUACAGUCACGGCGACCUGAUCAAAAUUUGUAUAGAAUGGUAGCACUUUCGGAUAAUUUUGUACCACUCCCCAUGAUUUUUCCACAAGGGACCACCAACUGCAAAACAAAUGAAUUUAUCAGGAGAAACUUCAGCAAAUGUAACAUUCAUACUAUUAAGAACACAACCAGGUCAUAUUCCGAUCUAAAUGUGGUUGAUUACAUAAAGUUCUUUUUUCCAACUAACCACGGAAGGCAGUUCCAAAAAUGUUGGCAUUCAAGACAAUCAAAUAGCGUUACAUGUAAAAGAAGUGAAGACUACGGUAUCAUCAUGCCAGCUUUUAUCAGGAGAUACUGCAUCCUUUUACUAGCUUUUGUUAAAAGAAGUGAAAAUAUCAUGCCAGCUUUUGUCUGUAAAUUAAUCUCUAUGAACUUAUGUAACUGGUACUGGAAAUCCGAAAUAAUAACUAAUUAAGUAUUACGGACAAGUUCGUAUACUAAUCAAUGGAACUACAAGUUUGUGAAACUUUGCAAAUAGGGGCAAGUCAGUUACUGAUUCUGAGCAAUCUGAAAAUUUGGUGGUUGAUUAGUCUCAUAGAUCCAUCCGGGAGCAAAUAUGGCCGUUGAUACACCAUCCUUCUUCAGCACAUCUAGUGCAACACUUGUCUGAUAUGCAGAGUUAUUAAAAAAACAAAGUUAACUACAAAAAAUAGACUCCCAGGAAAACCACCCGAAUUCUCCAUUACAUGGAGUUGUAAAAACAUUCAUCAUAAAGAGUUGCCAUGUUGUUCAUUUAUAAUGGCACUUAAAACACUCACUCGGCACAGUGAAACAUAAUCAACUCCCGGAAAGGUUCUCAUAACUCACGAUAUUAGUGUCUCACUUACAUUCCAUUGUCCACCACCGAAAGUGCCCCUUCCAAAAACAUCAAUUCCCAUGUAGACAUCAUACUUUCUGUCACCAGCAACAGCUGCGGAAAGCCUCGGAUAGGUUUCCUGCAUGCCACAUAGGUUUAACUGUGUGAAAGAGUAUUUAGAGAACAAAAACAAACUUCCAUAAGGAAGAAGUGAAAACCAUACCUUCCAUGUAUAGUUCACGAAAAUUCCAUCACAUAUAUCGAAGAAAGGUUUAUUCUUUUCAUUCAGUUGAUUUUGCCAGUUAAGUUUACCAUCAGUUGUAACACUAUCAUACCUGCCGAAUAGACAAUAGUAAGUCAAAUAUAAACUUUAAACGGCACGCUAUAUCAAAAGGGGCAAAAAAUUAAGUGACGGGAAACAUCAGUAAUAUCUCCAAACACUCACCAUAUCACCAAAGAACCAGGCACAGAGGAAUGCAUUGUCUGGGUUAAAUGGCUGACAAAUGCUUUCAAAUUAGGGAUUUGGUCCGAGUUCAACUCAACCUCCAUAUUGAUCUGCAAGUAGCAGUUAUCAUGAAAACUCAAUAAAAAGAGUGCAAUAGAAUGAAUUUCCGCCAAACAAAAUAACGGAAGAAAGCAUCAGUUUCAAAAUUGAAACUUCCCUAUUUCUCAUGACAUCCCUCUUUCCUUGAACUGUCGGAAACUUAAAAACUUCAACCAUGAAUACUAUGGCAGCUUGCUAUUUAACUUCUUGAACCAGCAGAACUGGAGCAUUCAUCUUUUCAAGAAAUACAACAAGUUCCCUCCGUGUCAUGCAAGUGUGUUACCAAAAAAUCGUAAGCCAGAUCAUAUGGCUGAUUAACAAAGCUAAAAUCUAAAGAGAACUUUAACGAAAAGUUCCAGAUACCGUUCAUUUUAUCGAAAAACCAUAUUUUUACAUGAAAAAAAUACAGAAACUUGAAAAAAAGCAUGCGGUUAGGGUGAACUAUAUACCAGCCAUCCGUCGAAGCCCAAAGCAACGACAAGCUCUGCCAAGAACUCGGCAUACAUUUCAGCAGACUCUUUGGUCGACAGCAAUUUGUUGCAAAUAAGCUUCCCUUCAUCCCAUUCUGUGAUGAAAGUCCCCAACACCUUAUAUUCCAAUAUAAAGAACCAACAAAGUUAGAUUCCGAAAUUCCUUUCAAUCAUUUGGAACUAAGAACGGCUCGAAAGAAAAACAAGUCUUAAUCCACACCCAAAACAUAAACAAAUCAAAAGUUCCCAGAAAAAAAAAAACAAACAAAGGACAACACUUUGUGUGUUUCCAAACUGAAAUUCUCAACCCGUCUUGAACUUACAAAAAGUCAACUCAUCUCCACAUUUAUCACCUGAACACACAAAUAUGUUUCCUUAAGAUCCCAAAAUCCCGAAAGUUUCAGAUUACCUUAACUCCAUGUCUGUGAGCAGUAUUAGUCCAACACGGAGGCGGAAGAGUGACAAGGCUAUGGGAAAAGUAGAUGAAUAUAUCGAUCAAAUACCAAUGCCAUAUCGCAUACGCGUUCGGAUUGGUCCCUCCCUGGAUCCACUUAUCAUCGCCAUAGCCGCCCGCCAUGUCAUGGCAGACAAUCACUCUGGGCCUGUCGGGCAGCGACAGGGAAGGCGACGCGGAUUGCAGAGGAACCGUGGAUUUGUUAAAAGGGUAGUGAAAGGACUCGAAGUAGGACCUGGACUCGAGGUCUUCGAGAGUUUUGAUCGGGUAGGAGAUGGGAACGGCGGGUUGGGUCGGGUCGAACGGUGGAGGAGUCGGGCCGGAGGAUUGGUGGUCCGGGGCGGUGGCGGGUUGGGACAUUUUGAAGAAGGGGAAGAAGACUUGGGCUUUGCCGCGGAGGAGACUGAGGAGAGAGAUUAUGGUCUGGCAACUAAUAUAGGGGCGAAGACGGGGAAGAAGCAUGUGCGCAGAGAGAGAGAGAGACUGACCGACUGAGGUCGUUGCUGACGUUGCAGUGGUUCUGGUUUGUAAUUGGUGGGAAAUUGGGAAUGUUUGAAAACAACAAAAGACGGACUUCAAGUUGAGGAGAGAUUUUUCAUUCUAACGGGACACAACUGGUAUUCCAUGUGUUUUAAUAGUAGUGAAAAAUUUUAAAGCCUGUUUGGUAUCCUAUUUAAUUUUUAGCACGCAUAUCAUACCAUUUGUAUAAUGACACGUGAUAUAUCAUCCAGUGUACUGGUCACAUUGAAAAAUUUCUUCUGUACCUGGUCAGGCAACGAUCAUAAAUGCCAAGACUUUUUUGUUUGUCAACGUCAACAAUACAAGAGUAAAACCUUGGUUACGCCCUACCAGGUCGGCUGACUACAACGUCAUCUGUUUGACACCUCUUACACAAGUACCAAGACUUUUUGUAUAUAGUUCUUGUUUGAUCUCACGCGGCUUCCACGUGAUGUGAUAUUUGUUCUAGUCAGACAUGCCAUCAAAAUUUUAUUGCCGUACAGUGAGCUUGUGACUAGUAGUUAAACAUAAUUAACCUUGCGUUCGAGUUUUUUUAUUUGAGUUCCCCUCUCAGCUUCGAUUGUAAAGAUAAAAAACUUAGCAUCCUGUUGGAACCAAAUUCGCCACAGAUCCCUAACUCUCAAGCAAAAAAUUAAGUGACUUUGGAACAUGGCUAGAAGAUGAGGUGUCCACACACAGACUUGUUCUCUUCGACUGAGAGCCACAAGAAAGUAAGAAACUAUUGAUAGAAAUGUUUACCACUCUUUGGAUCGAGUGGUCAUUACUGUUCAAUGUGCCAUGUAAUUCAAUACCAAACUGUAAUCAAAGUCGCUUUGAUUUUCUUCCGUCUGGUACAAUUAUCUGUUUCUGCAAUCUCUAUCGUACGAGCUUAACACGGUUACAAAGAGUGUAAAUCAAAUAAAACGAGUAAAAGGGACCCUAUAUCGAAAACUAGCAGGAGCAAACUUUCACCUCCAAAAGUGUCUCCCAACAAAUUUUGCUGCAUCUGUUAGUUUUGUCUUUUGAACAAGCUUGAGGAUGCCCUGGGUGCUUUUUGCUUGAUCAAAUAUGAUCCGCAUCCGGCUUGAAGGGCUCUAGACUUCCAAUCUUCCAUAUGUCUGGAUGCUUGAAAUCAUAUCUGUAUAUAUAUGCCUUCAAAUCAAGUCUUCUGUUCCUGUUAACUUUGCAAAUUCACUUUCGUCGAUGGCCCCCUUUUUGAGCUUCUUUAGCAAGCGGUAUUCUCUUGCCAACUCAUCUUCAUCUUCAGCUGUCUGGAUAGCACGCCUCUGCUUACCCGUUUUCUUCCUCAUUGCAGCAUCUGAAGCAUUUUGGAUCUUUUUGGUUUUUUGAGGUUUCGGUUCUUGCUGUUUUGCUUCUUUCUUCGAUUGUAGAUUCCUCUUUCUUUGCUUCUCGCGAGAUUUAUCCCUAAAUAAUAAACUUUUUCCUUUAGCAACGGUAGCUAGCUAGGAAUGAAAUUUUAUACCCCACUACAACCACAGCAUGGACUCAUAACACGUCGAUGUUAUACAACCAAACAGUUGGAAAUUGAAGGGAGUUCUUACUUAAAUUUGAUCUCCUCCAAGUUGAUGUCUUCAACAGGGAUGAAACCCUCUGUGGAAAGCGAGUGGUGCUUUACCUCAGGCAUUGCAGGGAGCUGCAGUAGUCCGAAUCCCAUGCCCAACUUCCCGACUUCAAGUUCUUUCCACCUGCAUUAAUUAAAAGUGUAAAUUAGAGAUUUUUUUUUUCUUGGCCUGAAUUAAUAGGAGGUCCUGUUAGACACCUGAAAAUGUACGAGCAGUGAUGUUCUUUAUAUGCACGCAUGUAAGAAACAAAUGCUCUGAGCCCCUUUUCCAUAACAUCGCGGUCCUUUUUUGCAGCUGAUCGGAUCUGAAACAAGUUUUAAAACAACGUCACUUCAACUACUAAAAGCUCUCAUCAAAACAACUAGAUAGAACACCGUAAAACUAAGCUUGUAUUUACAAGACAGCUGCAUGAUGGAUAAAUUGAUUCAAUCAAUAGCAUUGAAAUAAAUGGGCAAUGAAGUCAAUUUGUUUUACAUAAAGUGCUGGCAUCAUUGGACACAUUGUCAAUCAAUGUCUGCUCAGUAAAAAGAAGCCUGAAUUACAACAGGUACAACGAGGAAUAAAUUAAGAAGAUUACUUUUCCACAAUAAGAUUUGAUAGAGUGCACCAUAAAAUGACGCCUACCUGAGGAACAACAUCAGCAACAUCAUUAGAGCAUUUCCUUUCCUGUAGAGGAACUCUUCUUAUCCGUAGGAAUUCUACAUAAGCUUCCUCCUGCAACAGUGUGACCAAAAUAAGCACCUUCAACACCAUAAAUGAAAGCAACACAGAAAAUAAGAAAAGAAAAACGAGUCAAACAGAUUCUAUAACUAAACCUUUGGCAAUAGAAAAACAAUCGCACUUCCUUGUCUACCCAUACGAGCUGUUCGGCCAACUCUAUGCACGAACACAUUUGGAUCUUGAGGGGUAUCAUACUGAAAUAUCAACAAACAAAUGGAUUAUACUAUUUAGCUUUCAAAACUGGUGAUGACCAUCUACAUGCUAUUGUAAGCUACCUGCACUAUACAGUCAACGCCUGGAAUGUCGAGCCCUCGCGCAGCAACAUCAGUACACAGAAGGACGCCACUUGAGAGAGAUGUAAAUGAGGCCAAAGCUUUGUCCCUUGCGGCCUAGAAAGCAGAAAAUGUUGAAAAAGCAGAGAACAGUGAGUUCAUGAAAUACUAACUCAAAGAUCGACCGAGUAUACUGAAUCACUGAUCUAUUAUGUUUUACCUGCUUCAUCUUCCCAUGUAGAGCAAUCAAAGGGAAACCCUUCAAAGGACCAAGCAAUGGAAGAACAAGUCCCCAGUAGUCAACACAAGCACAAGUCAUGAAGUAUCUACAGAAGAAAACACAGAAAAAUAUGAAAAUCACUUUACAAUGCAAAACAACCUUCAACUCGAAGCUAAUUCGACCACAUUCACUAAAACAUACUAAUCUCGUAUUACUUACACUAUGGUCUUGUUAGACUUAUUCUUAACAAGAAGAUCCACAAGCUGUGACGGUUUUUUGUCUCCCUCACACUCCAGAUACUGUAUGAGAGUGCACGGUCAAAGGCGAAAACAAUUCAAUAACAAAGAAGCUAGACAUUAUUGACAAAUUAGUAAUCGUUGAUGUUAUGUUAUAGAGCAUACCUCAAGGGCAAGGCCAGAAGGUGUUUUAGAAGAGGCUAAUUUUUUCCUUAACGCCGAAUCACUCGAUUUUGUUUCAGCUCGUACUUCAACCCUCACAGGAUUCCUCAGUCCUGCUCUGGCCAGUUCUUCAACUGCCUCAGUUUGGGUAGCUGAAAACAGACCAGUUCUACGAAGCUUCGGUAAUCGAGACAUAAUAUCAUUUAACUGCUUCUGGAACCCCAUAUCCAAUAGCCUAUCGGCCUCAUCUAAGAUCAAAAUCUGCAACAAUUAUUGACAAAUGAGCCUCUAUCAGCCUCAUAAACAAUCGAAUUCCACGAAACAAAUUUCAAUCAAAUCCCAAAACAUAAAAUUUCAAUUAAAUCUUAUCAAAUGCAACUCCAUUUACAAAUGCAUUACCUCAAGGUUCCGCAAAUCCAAGCCAUCAAUGCGUUCCAUAAUGUCGAAUAGUCUUCCCGGCGUGCCGAUCAACAAGUUGGCUCCUUCCUCCUCGAUUUGUUUCACGUCGGAUUUCACUUGGCCUCCACCAACCAAAAGGACGCACUUGAAAUUCGGCAGCGUCGAAAUGAAGGGUUUCGCCACAUUGUAUAUCUGCGAAGACAGCUCCCUAGUCGGAGAUAUAAUCAUUCCCAUCACCUGCACAAACACAAAAUUUUCUUUUUCUCUCCGUUUCUCUUCCAUUUUCUCGGCAACCAAACAGUGUCUUGCAAGUAAAAAAGAAAGAAAAAUAAUUAGUGGUGUGUAGCAGACCUCUUGAGGUUUUGGAGUGGUUGAAACUCGCCGGAGUAUCUCCACCAUCGGGACCACAAAGGCUAGGGUUUUGCCUGAGCCAGUGGCGGCGUCCACCGCCACGUCCUUGAAGCUGCAUAGUAAGGGGAUUGUGGCGGCUUGAACGGGAGUGCAGAACUCGAACCCGCCUUGGGAUAGGGCUUCGAGAACCGGUUCGGAGAGCGGCGGCUUGAGGUCGGAGAAGCGGGUGUCACUCAAGGCGCUGUUGGGGUUGAAAGAGUCGGCGUCCAUGGCUUUCUGUUUUUCUUCGCGGUUCGCACAGUUAGGCUUUCCAGCUUCCGCAGCGGCAGUAUAAAGUUGGUCCUGUUUUCUGUUAACGACCUGUCGUUUGGGGUUUGUCACGCGCGGUUUAGUUGGUUCGGCCCAGGCUUUGGUUCAAACUAAAUUGUCUAUUUCUUAUUUUAUUUCAAUACUAACUACAUUUUGCACCUUUCAGAUUUAAAGUAAUUUUAAGAUUGGGUCAUGAUGUUUUAAUUUUUUCACAUUGUCCCUUAUAGUUGGUAUAUUUACAUGUCUAAUUAUCUAUUAAAUUGAUGAGUUUUCUAGGAUAUGUGAUCCAAAUGUGGCUUACAUGUCAAUUAGUUACGGUUUUCGUGCUCGCCAUAUCAUCAAUUUAAUGAAGACCUAGAUAAUUCAUUAAACCAAUGGUGUAAAUUGAUACAAUUUCAAAUCUUGGAGAGUAAGGUGAGAAAAUUAAACUUCAUGACCCAUUUUGAACAUCACUCAAGUACAUAGGGUGUUACCAUUUCCGCCACCACCUUUGUCACACCAUCACCAUCAUCACAAGUCCACAACCACCACCACCAUCGUCGCUGCCAUUGGGACCACAACCACAACUGUCAUUACCACAACCAUUGUUGACACCACACCAUACCUUUAUAAUUGUUGAUGUCAUCUCCAUCACCAUUGAUGGCCUCACCGCCAUUACUAUUACCACUGCCUCUCUAUUAUUGUCAUCGCCACCACCUAUGACUACAACCCCGAUCCUUAUACCAUUGCCACUAUCACCACCAUCAUCAUUGCCAACACCGCUGCAAUCUCCAUCGCUAAUGCUACCAUCAUUGCUACCUUUAAACCCCAACCAUUAUACCGUUGUUGUUGCCAUCAUCGCUACCAGUCCUCCCACUGUUGUUGUUGCCACCACCCUUACUAUGUUCAUUUGGUCAAUAUAUACAAUUAUAUCAUAUUUAUAAACACUUUCACACUACAUUUUAUACCAUAAUGUUUUAAAAAAUACAAUUUAUCAAAUGUUCAACUACUUUAUUUUACUUAUAAUUAUUUUUAAAGACAGAAAAAAUAGUUUUUUAUUAUUUUUAUUUUUUUAAAGGACAAUUCCAAACUAUCUAUAAGAGCAAGUCCACCCCAAAGGGGUAGGUCGGCUCACAUCCCCCAAUAUGGGCCGACACUUACAAAAAGUGCUACAGCCCAGCCCAAGCCGUCCCAUAAUGUGUUGAGCCAAGGCCCUAUGUGACGUCAUGCUGACGCUAGCGUGAUGUCACUGGCCAUUUUAUUUUUUUUUGCUCCAGGCACGCACGAGUGGCCUCGUGUUCCAAAAGAAAAAACGGACGAGGCCCGCAUGUUUAGGCGCGAUAGGGGUGAGGGUCCGGAUUCCACAUGGCUCAUUAUGGACCGUUGGAUUUCCAACGAUAAAAAAAAUUUGAAAUUCAAAUCCAACGCUUAGCCACGUGGUACGAUAUGGGCUGUUGGAUUUGAAUUCUUUUUCAAAUCCAACGGUCUAGAUUAAUUAUGUCACAGCCCGUUCCAAAAUAUUACAUUCGUGGCUGUGAAUGGACGAAAUUGCCCUUAUGAAAUACUAAGUAUGUGAAGCUCAAGUUGAUAAUUAUCUAGGUUCCUAAGUUUUGAAAAUAAAAUGGAAUUAUAAGGAUGAAACUUAGAUUUUUAGGUUAAAAUUGUGGUUUGGAGUUGGAUUGGAAAAGGACCACAUGGGAUCCCCACACCCUCAAUCCUCUCCCUAUUUUCUGCAUACUGUCUCUCUCGUCUCCUACCCUCACGAAUCUCCUCUCUCUCUCUGUCACUCUUCUUCUCCGUUCGACAAACCAACCACAAAACAACCUUAAACUUCCACCAACGACGGAGUUAAGACCACCAUCAAACUCUUGGAACCUCCACGAUCACGAUGGUUAUCCAUUUCAGGUAAGUUUGCUUCGGAAAACCCUAGUUUUCAAAUUACCCGUGAAAUGGCACUGUUCAUAAACUCUUAAAUGGUGGUGUUUAGCUUAAAAACAAGAUCACAGUGAGCUUUAGGAUGUCCCAAGGAAGCUCGGAGUGCUUCGUUGGAAAGUUUUCGGACGUAAGAACACGGAGAUCGACAAGUUUCAAAGUUUGGCCGGAGCUUUCGAGGCGUUUUCCGGCGAAUCCCCGGCGAUUUAGGAGCGAGGUAGGUAUUAAUCUCUUCGUCUCAUCAAGUAACUACAACUUUCCUUUUUUGUUUCACUCAAUUUCGUUGAGUAUUGAAGAAGUUAUACUCAUUUGAAAAAUACCCAGUUUCCGGCGACCUCCGAGGCUUUCGAGGCAGUUUCCGGCCAAACCACGGCGAACUAGGUAUUGUGCAAGGUACCAUUCCUUUGUCUCUUCAAGGGCUACAACUGUUCGUUUUUGAAUCACUUGAUUCGUUGAGAAAUGACAAAGUUAUGGCAAUUUUGAAAAACUGCCCAGAAAACGGCCGCCGGAAAAACCAGUCCGGCGACCCAAGGAAGAAGAAGGUGCUACAGUAAAAAAAAAAUAAAAAUAAAAUUAUUUUAAAAAUAUGUCGACGUCCGUGACGUCGAGUAGAUCACUGUGGUAUAUUCAUAUACCUAAAUUGAAACACCGUAUGAGAAAGUUAUUGAAGAUUGUUGGUUAGGUGUUCAAAUAACGUUUUAUAGUUUUCACAUUUAGGUGAAAAUGUGAAUUGAUGAUCCGACCGUUGGAUCAUCACCAAAAUUUGAUACGUUAUAGUACGUAAUAUUUGAGGAUUAUUGGAACUUACGGAUUGGUAAUCCGAGUUACGGAUCUUCCGGAAUUGGAAUUGUAAGUCCAUAAUAUAAAAAUGUUAAACCGUCACUUAGUUUUGGAAAUUGACGGAGAUCCGACCGUUGGAUGGUAAUGAAAUUUUAGGAUGUUAUCCUAGAGAUAUAUUGUGGACCUCUGGAAGUUAUGGAUUUAAAAUCUGAGUGGCAGAUCUUCCGGAUCGAUCAACAUAGUGACGUAUUUAUAUAAGUUAUAUUCUAUCGAUAUGAAUUCUGAGGUUGGAAUUAAUUAUUGUUUUAGGCGCCGAUCGUCAUGACGCCUUGAUGUGUGGUGCUAGGGAGUUGUAGGGCGAACUCCAGGUGAGUGGGCAGUUUUGUUUUCCGUAUAUAUAUAUACUUGACGUUUCCCAGAAAUUGAAUUGAAAUGAAAAUAUGUUUUAAAAUGAAAUGCAUAUAUGAGUUAUGUGGAAAAACGGGAAGUGAAAUACCAUGCAUAGAAUUGAUAUGAAAAGUAUAUAGAAAUGUGAGUUGAAAUGCCAUGCAUGAAUUAAUAUAUGAUGCAUAUGUAUGAAUUGGUGCGGUGGACGCACAAGUAAGAAUUGAUUUAUGAUGCAUAUGUAUGAAUUGGUGCGGUGGACGCACAUGUAAGAAUUGAUUUAUGAUGCAUAUGUAUGAAAUGGUGCGGUGGACGCACAGAUGAGUAUUUAAUUACUGUUAUGAUGAUGAUGAUAUAUAUUGAGCUCAAAUCCUGCACCAUGGUUUAGUGCUUAUAGUAUUCACCGCAUCGCACGCUCGCCUUGGAUCCAAGUAGAUGCUAGUCGUACAGUCCACGCGGAGUGGGUACGACAGACCAGUCGCGAGAGUGUUAGUGAGAUUCCGACUGGUGGGUGACCUUAGAUUAUGUGCACAGAUGAUUUAUGAGAAGCACUAGAGCGUAACUUGUGUGCAGAAGGCCGGACGGGUCACAGAGGUGACUCCGGUAGAGUGAUAAUGAUAGAUUUUGAGCUCUAGGUUCAACCGUAUAGGGCUAUUAGAGGGCCUACGGUUGAUUACUUUCUUGCACCUGAUAUGAUUAUGUUGAUGCAUUCAUACCUUAUUACUGUUGAGAUGAUGUGGCAUGGCAAUAAUUAAUAUGAGAAAUGUUGAGAUGACAUGGCAUGGCAUGAUUGAUAAAGAGAUAAUGUUGAGAUAGUAAAAAUGAAGUUUUUGAGAAUAUAUAUGUAUAUUUAUAUUUUACAUUUCUGGGAAAGUAUAUACAGGUUUUACGGAGAGGGGUUACAACGUUUUGAGAAAUGUUUGGAUUUGGAAAAGAAUUGUUUUACUGACCCACUCAAUUUUGGUUUUGCGCCCCUCCAGGUUCAGGAAUCACAAAGGUGUGGUGACUACGAGGAAUUCGACGGUGUUCUGACAGAUUGGACAAAAUUAGGACUCACCUUCGGGUGUAUCAACUUAUAAAUUGUAUAAUUAAAGCUUCCGUACUGUGCAAAUGGUUACGUCACUCUCACGUGACGGCCAGCAUGCCCUCCUUCGGGACCGGGUGUGUCAGUUGGUAUCAGAGCAUGGUUGCAAUCUUGGACAUCUUGAGAAGUUUCUAGUGAAUUCUGUCAGAACUACACCGCCUCGUAGCAAACCACGUAGUUAGAGGAACUUAGUCUCCUUGAUUUAGCGGGUUAGGGGAAACUAUUCUUAUGGUGAUUCAGUAUAUUAGAAAAAUGGACAUUUUAAGACGGGUUAUGAGUUGAAUUUGAAUCACUUAAGAGAAAUGAUGAACCUGAGGGAACAAAGUGACGGAUUAACCAAUUGGAAAAGAUGUUUCGGAAUAUGCAAGUCAAAGGAAUCUUCCUUCUGACAAGGGGUCGAGACGACUACCUGGUUUUGGUUAUGAAUUUGUAUCCUGGUGGAAACAGGAGUAUGAAUUGUUGUCACCAGAGGAAUCAGUCGAUUGAGAAUUGUUUAAGGACUUGUUUAAAGGAAAAGUUUAUCCCUCCGGCAUUUAUCGAUGGUAGUAAACAAGAGUUUACAAAUAUGAGACAAGGAAGGUGAUGAUCGAGGGAUAUUAUAGAAAGUUUUCAGACUAGCCUCGUUCCAUCCAGAUAUUGUUGUUAAUUUGGUGGAGGUGUUAUGUUGUUUUAAGCUGGGUGACAAAAGGGAAGUGGUAUUUUGGGUGACCACUAUCCAUUGUAGUUCUUAUCAGGAGUAUGCUAGAUGUUGUUGAAUCUUGAGGACUCUGAGAACAUGAGCAACGAGAAUAAAGAAGAAUAAGAAAUGAAUGGGAAUUAAAAGAAGACGAUAAAGUUAAUGAUUCGUCAUAUCAAGGAUAUAGAAAGAUUCAGAGCUUCGAAAGAAGUGAAGCUAGAGUUAAUUCUUCCAGCUGAGGUUUAAUGUCGCUGGUCAGAAUAAAAGUGAUGGAUAUACUGGUAAUCCCAGAUAUUUGAGACAAGGUGUCUCGAGUAAAGGAAAUGUACCUUGUGCAGCAGGUACAAAAUUAACACUUUGGGAAAUGUGAAAUUAAUGAAUGUGUUUAUGUGAACAGAAGGGACACAGAGUUGUGAAUCGUCCCUAGAAUCAGUUGUACUCAACAAUUUUCCAUGAAAUCAUAGUGUCGAUUCAGCAGAGUUAUGGAUUUAGUAGUUUGGUCGGAUUGACCGUGAGUACAGAGAUAUUUGAUGAGUUAUAUGUUCAGCCGUACGGACCAUGAGAAAUGGAUUUGACUGACACAUGAGAAAUUGGUGAGUUAUAGGCUCGGCCGUGCCGACCACGCGGAGUGGAUCUGGCCGACGUAUUAUUGAGAUAAGAGUUGAAUCAACCGUAUUGGUUAUUCUAGUUGACUUCGGCUGAUAUAUUUCUUAUUAUGUAUGUUAUUACCUAGAGAGUAGUAAAUAAAUGUAGUUGAGACGAGUGUAUGUAUUUUGCAUUGAGUGACAAAAUAGUAAUGUUAUAUCUUUGUGAGUGGUUGCCUACUUAUCGAGACAACGAUGAUUUAUCAGUAUUGCGGGCUGCAGACCGUAAUAUUAAUAACUCAUUCGUGGAUUCGUUAAGCAAGCAAACCGGUAGAUUAUUUUAUGUUAGUAUUGUACUUAUUUGGAAUGCUUAAUAAUAAUAGAAUAUAUAUUGUAUCAGUUAAUUCUGUUCCAUUAGAUUGGUUGGUUAUAAUUGUGACAAGACGAAAUGUUAUGGGAAACCAGUACUUUCCAUCGAUCUGGAUGAACAGAGAUUACUUUUGUAAGUAUGCAAAAUGGAUUGAGUCAGGCUGUUAUUUAUGCUGUGAGAGCAAAGAGAUUGUUUUCGAAAGGCUGUCAAAAAUACUUAGCUCAUGUGGUGCUAAAUGAUGUUGUUUGGAGUAGUGUGAAUAAUGUCAAAAGAGUUCUUGCGGGCCCUGAGACUAUGGAUGAGUCUCCUCAAAGUAUUCAGGUGAUUAAGUUAACCUGAAGUAACCAGGAAUGGCAAAAGAGAUAAUGGCAAAAGAGAUAAUGGCAAAAGAGACUAACAGAUGGAUAUGCCACUAAUCGAGUGUGUAAGGGAAAUGGUUUGAUAUUUUUGGAAAUUUCACCACGAACAGAAAUGGCGAGAAUUGGAAAGGAGACAAGAUAAGAUUUAGACACAUCAGACCAUUUUUUAUCACUAAAGGAAUCAAUAAAGUUGCAUACAAGUGGUGAUGUCUUCAGAGUUGGCUAAGGUACUUAAUGUAUUUUGGGUUCGAUGCGUUGUCACUAGGUGGCAGAGUCGUUACAUGGGACCUUGGUGCAACUAUUGAGAAUUAAGCCGGAUCUGAUUGGUGAGGAACUAAUGUCGACUUUGGAUUGGAAAAAGAAGGUCCUAAGAAUUAAGACAGAGUAAGUAGUAAAAGCUUUGUGAAGGAAAUCAUUCAGUAGAAAAUUGUGUGGGAGAAAGAGAAUCGGAUGAGAGAGAUUUAUCCGAGGCUAUUGUAUGAGUAUAGAUGAUUUAGUUGGUUGCUGGAAUUUCGGGGACGAAAUUCUAUAAGGAGGGAAGAUUGUCACAGCCCGUUCCAAAAUAUUACAUUCGUGGCUGUGAAUGGACGAAAUUGCCCUUAUGAAAUACUAAGUAUGUGAAGCUCAAGUUGAUAAUUAUCUAGGUUCCUAAGUUUUGAAAAUAAAAUGGAAUUUAAUAAGGAUGAAACUUAGAUUUUUUAGGUUAAAAUUGUGUGGUUUGGAGUUGGGGAUUGGAAAAGGACCACAUGGGAUCCCCACACCCCUCAAUCCUCUCCCUAUUUUCUGCAUACUGUCUCUCUCUCUCCUCCCUCACGAAUCUCUCUCUCUCUCUGUCACUCUUCUUCUCCGUUCGAACAAACCAACCACAAAACAACCUUAAACUUCCACCAACGACGGAGUUAAGACCACCAUCAAACUCUUGGAACCUCCACGAUCACGAUGGUAUCCAUUUCAGGUAAGUUUUGCUUCGGAAAACCCUAGUUUUCAAAGUACCCGUGAAAUGGCACUGUUCAUAAACUCUUAAAUGGUGGUGUUUUAGCUUAAAACAAGAUCACAGUGAGCUUUAGGAUGUCCCAAGGAAGCUCGGAGUGCUUCGUUGGAAGUUUUCGGACGUAAGAACACGGAGAUCGACAAGUUCAAAGUUUGGCCGGAGCUUUCGAGGCGUUUUCCGGCGAAUCCCCGGCGAUUUAGGAGUCGAGGUAGGUAUUAAUCUCUUCGUCUCAUCAAGUACUACAACUUUCCUUUUUGUUUCACUCAAUUUCGUUGAGUAUUGAAGAAGUUAUACUCAUUUGAAAAAUACCCAGUUUCCGGCGACCUCCGAGGCUUUCGAGGCAGUUUCCGGCCAAACCACGGCGAACUAGGUAUUGUGCAAGGUACCAUUCUCUUUGUCUCUUCAAGGGCUACAACUUUCGUUUUUGAAUCACUUGAUUUCGUUGAGAAAUGACAAAGUUAUGGCAAUUUGAAAAACUGCCCAGAAAACGGCCGCCGGAAAAACCAGUCCGGCGACCCAAGGAAGAAGAAGGUGCUACAGUAAAAAAAAAUAAAAAUAAAAUUAUUUUAAAAAUAUGUCGACGUCCGUGACGUCGAGUAGAUCACUGUGGUAUAUUCAUAUACCUAAAUUGAACACCGUAUGAGAAAGUUAUUGAAGAUUGUUGGUUAGGUGUUCAAAUAACGUUUUAUAGUUUUCACAUUUAGGUGAAAAUGUGAAUUGAUGAUCCGACCGUUGGAUCAUCACCAAAAUUUGAUACGUUAUAGUACGUAAUAUUUGAGGAUUAUUGGAACUUACGGAUUGGGAAUCCGAGUUACGGAUCUUCCGGAAUUGGAAUUGUAAGUCCAUAAUAUAAAAUGUUAACCGUCACUUAGUUUUGGAAAUUGACGGAGAUCCGACCGUUGGAUGGUAAUGAAAUUUUAGGAUGUUAUCCUAGAGAUAUAUUGUGGACCUCUGGAAGUUAUGGAUUUAAAAUCUGAGUGGCAGAUCUUCCGGAUCGAUCAACAUAGUGACGUAUUUUAUAUAAGUUAUAUUCUAUCGAUAUGAAUUCUGAGGUUGGAAUUAAUUAUUGUUUUAGGCGCCGAUCGUCAUGACGCCUUGAUGUGUGGUGCUAGGGAGUUGUAGGGCGAACUCCAGGUGAGUGGGCAGUUUUGUUUUCCGUAUAUAUAUAUACUUGACGUUUCCCAGAAAUUGAAUUGAAAUGAAAAUAUGUUUAAAAUGAAAUGCAUAUGAGUUAUGUGGAAAAACGGGAAGUGAAAUACCAUGCAUAGAAUUGAUAUGAAAAGUAUAUAGAAAUGUGAGUUGAAAUGCCAUGCAUGAAUUAAUAUAUGAUGCAUAUGUAUGAAUUGGUGCGGUGGACGCACAAGUAAGAAUUGAUUUAUGAUGCAUAUGUAUGAAUUGGUGCGGUGGACGCACAUGUAAGAAUUGAUUUAUGAUGCAUAUGUAUGAAAUGGUGCGGUGGACGCACAGAUGAGUAUUUAAUUACUGUUAUGAUGAUGAUGAUAUAUAUUGAGCUCAAAUCCUGCACCAUGGUUUAGUGCUUAUAGUAUUUCACCGCAUCGCACGCUCGCCUUGGAUCCAAGUAGAUGCUAGUCGUACAGUCCACGCGGAGUGGGUACGACAGACCAGUCGCGAGAGUGUUAGUGAGAUUCCGACUGGUGGGUGACCUUAGAUUAUGUGCACAGAUGAUUUAUGAGAAGCACUAGAGCGUAACUUGUGUGCAGAAGGCCGGACGGGUCACAGAGGUGACUCCGGUAGAGUGAUAAUGAUAGAUUUUGAGCUCUAGGUUCAACCGUAUAGGGCUAUUAGAGGGCCUACGGUUGAUUACUUUCUUGCACCUGAUAUGAUUAUGUUGAUGCAUUCAUACCUUAUUACUGUUGAGAUGAUGUGGCAUGGCAUAAUUAAUAUGAGAAAUGUUGAGAUGACAUGGCAUGGCAUGAUUGAUAAAGAGAUAAUGUUGAGAUAGUAAAAAUGAAGUUUUGAGAAUAUAUAUGUAUAUUUAUAUUUUACAUUUCUGGGAAAGUAUACAGGUUUUACGGAGAGGGGUUACAACGUUUUGAGAAAUGUUUGGAUUUGGAAAAGAAUUGUUUUACUGACCCACUCAAUUUUGGUUUUGCGCCCCUCCAGGUUCAGGAAUCACAAAGGUGUGGUGACUACGAGGAAUUCGACGGUGUUCUGACAGAUUGGACAAAAUUAGGACUCACCUUCGGGUGUAUCAACUUAUAAAUUGUAUAAUUAAAGCUUCCGUACUGUGCAAAUGGUUACGUCACUCUCACGUGACGGCCAGCAUGCCCUCCUUCGGGACCGGGUGUGUCAAAUUAUCUUAAUAAAAAUUUGUUUAAAAAUUUAGAAUUUUUUUAAAUAUUAUUUUUUCUAUAAAUACCUAACCAUCAUCUUCCACCUUACAUCACAUUUCAAUAUUUUUGACACUUUCAACCAAAAUAGUACUUUCGGAAAAUGACACGUGGCAUAAUAAGAUUGGUUAAAAAUCCUACCCAAAAUUAAAAUUAUUUUAUUUUAUUUUAUAAAAAAUAAAUAAUAUUUUAAAUGAGCUGGAUGCCAGCGCAUUUUAUAAGUGUGGAGAUUAUUUGUGCCAACGUAUUUUUUAAGGAUGGAGAAGCAUUUGACUAAUUUACUGUUCAUGAGAUAUAUAAUUGUUCACUGAGUAGAUUAAGGGGUGGUUUGGGAGUGAGGUGCUUAAAAAAAAAGCACCCAUGAAAAAAGCUGUGAAGGUUUUAGGUGUUUGGUAAACUGAAAAAAAUGGCUUAUUUUGGAAGCUGCUGUGAGAAUAAGCUAAAAUCAAAGGAAAAAGCUGAAGCUGCUAUUUGUAGCUUUGGAAAACUGGCUUUUUUUCAAAGCACACGGAGCUACAGUACUCUUUUAAUGAAAAGAUCCACUAUCAGACUGCUUUUUUUUUUCCAAAAGCACUUUUACAAAAAAGUUUACCAAACACUCUGCUGAUUUAUUUCACAGCCGCUUAUUCUCACAGCACAGCCGCUUAUUCUCACAACAACUUUAUUUCAAAGCACAGCAAUACCAAACCAGCCAUAAAUAGGUUGAGUGCAACGCAUUUUUUAGGGAUAGACUAGCUAUGCAUAUUCCAAACCGGACCGUGCGACCCGUGCGUAUCGUGUCGUUUGGUUAAACGCAAUGCCGUGUGUUUUCAGAACGAGAUGAUGAGAUUUUAAGCGAAUUGUUGUGAACUCCGUCGCCGACAAUGGAAGUCCGACUCGGUUUUCUGAAAUGGGUUGCAGUCAUCUUAACGAUUCUGGACCGAGUUAACUCGGUCUCCGGUAGCUGCCAUUUCAGUUUCGUCGACGAUAACAAGCUCUACAACUACACUCUGGACUCUCCCAUCCCUUUCUUCCCUCAUGGCGUCCAAAGCGAAGAUGGGUACUCUCUCUGUCCUCUACUUGAUAUGGGGUUUUCUUAUUUUCACGAAUCGUUAAUGGUAACUUGUAAUUUCUAGUUAUUCUCACUGUCAAUGAUUUUCUUUUCAUGAUAUUAAUCUCCAAUUUGCUGCAAUGGUGGAAUAUUUACCUCAUCUGCAUGUAUUUUUCUGUGCAUGUCUUGCAACUGUUUGAUUGCUGUGGAUGUUGUUAUGAAAUUUGUGAUUUUUAUGUUAGAUGCACGAGGUUCUUGGAAUUGUGCAAAAUAAUGUGCUUCUCUCCUGCCGAAACUGGUUUUCAUUAAGGCGGCUUAAUGCGCUUUUGUUCGAAAGAAAUUUGGUUGAGCCAUUCUGAUUUUGCCUAGUUUGAUAUUUGGAAGCAUCUUAAACUGCAAUAGUUAUACGGUACAUUAUGGUUUAAGGGGUUGCAGAGAUUUUUCGCACUCUUGAGCUUUGGACAGAGGUUGUAUUCUGGCCGAUACUCUUAUGUAUGGCGGCAUUCGUGAUGUUAUUAGUUAAUCAUCAAUUUGGUCAAGCAAAAUUCAUUUUUCCUUGCUGCUAAACUUCGUUACUACAGGUUCUACAAGGUGGCAGCAAAUGAGACUGUGCUCUGGUUUCAGGUUCGCUCCAUCAGGUCACACCUUUGUUUUUUAACUGAUAUUUUGUGUGACGAUGAUCAUGAUAAUAUCACAAUGCAGUGGUUUGUUAUUUUCUUUAACCGAUAUCAUGUUAACUUUUACAAGCCUAAGCCUUAUUAAUGUCGCUAGGUUCAUUAUUGAGUUUAUUUUCUUUGACUGUCUGGAGCAGCUUUGCGAUGGAAUGAUUUUCAAUCACGACCCACCUAGAUGUGUUGAUUGCCGGGUAAAUUUGUCAGCUCUAUUGCUAUUAUUUUCUUUAUGUUGAUGAUAUAGAAGGCACUGAGACUGUUGCAAUUUUGAAAUGAUUCGCACUUAUUUACUUGGUACUUAGUUCCUCCCUAUAUUUUGAUCCGUAAGGGAGCUGCUCCGGGGUUUGCUCUCAUUUUCUCUAUCUCUGCCUUUGAAGAAAAGAGAGGGUUAGAGAAAGAUGGCAAUUUGGAAAUUGACAGCUAAAGCUGGCACUUACACUGCUAGCUAAACAACUUGAGAGUUAUUUCUAAAUUUAGAAUCUAAAACUAGCAAAAUGCUGCGGAAGUUAAUAGAAUAUUGCAACAGCUUUCAAAGGUCCUAAUUGUCAUUUGCUUCCUUUUACUUUUAACCUUUAUUUUGGAUUCAAUUACUGAUAAAUCUUUUUAACAAUUGACUCGAGUAUUACUGUUCACAUAUAAUUCCAGGCUCUUGAUCCAGGGUGUAAUGGGCAGAGUAGCCUUUUGUUCAAAAUUGGAUAAGAAAGAUAAAGAUAGUAAUAUGUACUUCCUACCCAAAUUUCUGUAGAAUACCUUAUUUAUUUGACUAUCAUAUUGAACAUUGCAGGAUUGUGGGGGUGCAUCACGCUGUGGCAUGGGUUGUAGUGCGCUUGUGGCAAACAACAUAGAAGGUACAUAUGCUUUGCUUUUUCAGAUGAUUAAUGACGUAGCCCUCCAUGUACUUUACUGUAUCUAUUGCUUGUUGGUAAAGUCGAGAAAAGGAAUUCACAUUCAAUUGCUUAGGUAUGAGAGCGGUAGUCGGUGACUCAAUCAUGUUUGGGAAUAAACAAAUUAAUUUCUUUCAGAAAUAAGUUCCUUCUGUUGACUAGCUCUGCAGAAGUAGAUCUUUAAUUUGGACAUGUUCUGGAGCAAAUAAUGCUUUAAGGAUCAUGAUCUGAUGAAUGCUCUUGCAAGUUGUAUUGUGAUACACAGUAGCUAUUCAUAAAUAGUGUAAAAAAAUUGUGACAGCUAAACUUUUUCAUGACAUCGUAUGCUCUGUGGCUUCAAACAAAAUUCUCUUGAUUUCUUGUAUAAUGUGCUUUGAUACAUUAGAAAUUGGGAGCCUGUGAUGCCCUCAUUUUAAUUUCAAACAAAGCAGGAGACUGUGAGGGCUUUCUCAUCUAAUUUGGAUUGAAAAUUGUUCUAUUUUGGAAGACUCUGUUUAAUCUUCUAAAAUGAACCAAGUGGUAACUGCAGGUUACGAUGUGUGCACUACCAUUGGGCGUGCCUCAAGCAUUGACAUGAACAUAAUUGGUGAGAUUUCUUUUCCAUUUUUUUUCGAAUCUCCCCCAGAUAUAAAAUUGUAUGAUACCUUCAGGUUUUCAUUACUAUAGCUCGAAUAUGGCAUUGCGCAAAUAUGUAUGGACAUGCAUGCUUUCUGACCAAAUUGAUUUGGUUUGUGCAUAAAAUUUUGGAAAUUUAUGACUUGUUAUGGCAGACAGGAAGAAUCCUAACACUGGUGUCAUUGUUAAGAUGUCUAGUAGUGGCCUAAAGUUCAACUGUUCGCUGUCUGUGUCUGUGAUUUGUGAUCCCAAUAGAGUUCAGGCAAGACCUUAUACGAAAUUAUUUGCAUAAUUUGAAAUGAUCUAGAAUUCUGCAUGCUUGGUUAAUGAUCCAGUUUCUUAUCUUUCUAUUUUACAGGGGCCACAUUCACUUGAGAAAACUGGGAAAUGCGACUAUGUGAGUUCUUUCAGUUUCAGAAUAUCUUUCAUUCCUCCUUGCUUAGUGCUUAAUCUUAUAUACUAUAUGAUUAUACUUUGAUAAAGCUGUCCAUGGGAGUAGCGAUAUUUUGUCCAUAUUCUGUGAACUGUGCAGUGUACACUAUGGAGUAUAGACCUUUGGCCCUCUGUCUUCAGCUUUUGUAUUGCUAAGCUUCUUGCCUGAUUUAAUAAGUUCCUUUAGCUUGAAUCUUCCCUCGGUAGAUCUCCAGCCAUAUUUAUUAAUUAAACUAAUCUGAUUUGAAUGGUAGACUUGUGUGGAACUGAAGAUGUGCUCAACCUGUUUCAUUUUCCUGCUUAUCAUUAGUGUGCUUUGGUGUUGCCUGAAGAUGUGUCCUAUUUUUUUUUUCUUUCUCAGCUGGUGGCGCUUUAUCUUUUAGGCUUUCUUUUUGUGUAUAUGGUUCAGGUGAAGGAAAGGGUGGUGGUAUUGACUAUUGAGAAAUACAGAUAAACUAGCUAUGUUUGUCGUUGCUAAUGAAUGAAAUCAUAGAUUUCAAAAUAGGGAUGCAUGAAGCUUUGAAAUGCAUGGCACUGGCUCUCUGUUGACAGUUCAUUUUGUGACAUUGAAAUGGAUUUUCAGCGAGUGUAUGAACAAUGUACAAAAUAUGAGGUUCAUAAUCUUCUCAUCCUUAUGACAGGCUACAGUAUUGACACAUCCUUCUGGCUGUGCCAAGAUUGAACACGUGCAUGGGAGAGGGUGGGGCUGGCUUGGUACCUUAGGAAUCAUGUAAGAGUAAAAUUUUUUCCUGAACGUUAAUACCAAUGGGAUUUUCUAUGUCUACUGUUGAAGUUUUUCUGAGUCAUCUUAAUUGAUUGAUAAGUUGAUAACUUAUCUGGAUUUCAGAAUCUUAUGCCUUUUUGGAGCUUAUCUGCUGGUUGGGGCAGGUUAUCGAUAUAUCAAACUUGGAGUUCGUGGAAUACACGUAUGUUCCUCAAUUAGAUCAGCUUCUUUUUGUUCAAAAAAAAAAAAAAGAUCAGCUUCUUGCAUACAAACCAUUUAGUUAUGCUUGAGUUUGUCCAUUCAUGUGUCUUGAAUUUUUUUUAUGCAUAGCUCCAUCUAUUUGCUGUGUAUCAAUUUGAAAUGGAAUUCAAGUUUUCUUAAAUUUAUAGAGGAAAAACUAAUAUAUGUCAAGAGUCAGGUAAAAUGGUGGUCAUGAAUUAGGCAUAGGAAACUUGGUGAUAGAUAUCAAACAGUGGUUGGUCCAUUGAAGGAAAUGUUGAAGGGGAGAGAGAACCAAAUUGCAUGAUCAUUACGGCAAAAGGGAAUUCAAAUUUGUAAGAGUCAUGAAAUAGGGAAUCCGCACGUUCCUUUUACCAUUAUUACUAUAAAUCCAUAUGCCAUGUUGGGGACAAAACUAUUCUUUAUUUUUUUUAUUUUUUAUUUUGGCAGCAUACCAUUUCGAAAUGUGACAUGUUAGAUCUCAUUGCAAUGGCGGAAAAUAUCUUAAUUGUUACUAGUAUUCUGGAAUCUGGGCAAGGUUCCAAAGUGUUCCUUCAGUGUUUACGUGAUGGGAAUUUAACUAUGAUUUGGUGCUUCUCCUCUUUACAGAUUAUACCAAACUUGGACUUUUGGACCGGCUUACCUCAAACUACACAGGUAUUCUGCUUAGGUUUACUGAUCUGUCUCUUUCCACCGUACUUCUAGUGACUGGGCACAGAUAUAAACAAUUUUCAAUUAGAAUGCUUUUUUUUCUUCUUCUUAAGGUGUCAAGAUAUUGUUAAUAAUACCACCCUUUGUCUUUCCAGAGUUUGUUUGCAUUCUUAAUGCACAAAUUUAGGGGCUCUUCUCAUGGUCUUCGAAGCACCUAUUCUCCUGUCGACUUUUGAGCAUAGAGAUAUUUGUUUUAGUUCAAGCUGGUGAAUUGAUUUUGUAUCAUCUGUGCUCUGCCAUCAACAUUCAGCAAAAACAGAAUGGAUCAGUAUGCGGCAACAGCCUAGUCAAAACUAGCACUUAAGCUUGGCAUGCACCAUCAUAUAAAGGGUGCCUUCUCCGUCUCACGUAUGCUUUUCAUUUUAUUUUCCGUCACGAGUCAUAUAUUUAGUUGCAACGUAAAGGAACCCUCCUUACCAAGUACUAGUUUACUUGUUAUUUUCCUUCUACAUUGUGUCAGCUGCUGUUCAGGCAAUUUUGAAUGUAUUGGUUUCCACACGAAUUUUAAUAUUUCUCCACAUAAAUUAAAAAUAUGAAUACGUUAGAUGUUUAGUGUCAUGCAUUAUCUUGCAUGUUGGAAUGUAUGGUAGUGUGCUACUAUAUCUUUGAUAUGAUUUAUUGAAGGUUAAUAUCUUGCAUAUUUACAGAGGCUGAAUUGACGGAUUGAUUUAGAUGUUUGAUGAGAUGCAGUUACUGAACAGAUAUAUUUUUAUGGUAGAACUAUGUUAUGCAUUGAUGCUUACUCAACAAAAAGCUAUUGGAUUUUGGAUUAGUAGUAUGGUGAUAUGAUGGGAGAAAGGCUGUUUGGAGCGUUUCUCACCACAGAAACCCUCAUGAAUUGAAAAUAUCAAAGGCUUUACCUGAUGUGCCAUUAUUUUCUUACUGAUUCUGAUGUGGCUGGCUAACAACAUUGUCGAGGUUCUUUGAAAAGCACCAGAAAAUGCAACAAGGGUGAAGGUUCUUAACCACAACUCUUUCAUACAUGAAGUCUGCCUCAUUUUGAUUUGGCCAUUUGCAAUGUGCUCUGUGUCUCUUCAGUCUCAGGUAUGAAUUUAUUUGUCAACUUUUGUAAUGAAAUUUUAUGUGUUUGGAAAUUUUUUUGUACUUAGGAGGGAUGAAUCGUAUUUUCUUGGUGAAGAUUAUCGAAAUUUAUGUACUGUGAACUCUUCCUUUGGUAUCUUUCUUCAUAUUUUGGUGAGGAAGUGAAGGGGGUUCUGGGGUUCAACAGCGAGAAAAUUAAUUUUUAAAAGCAUUUACCGUGUGAGCUUUACAGACAUAGAGAAAAUCAAACUUUCUGUUUUGCGUCGAUGCAUGCAUUUCUCACAUUGUAUUUUCUGAACUUUAUUUAUAGAACUUACACUAAAGUUGGAUCUAAAACGUCCUUGCGUUGUCCCAAUGUCAUUAGAGGUCGUGGAACAAUAGGAAUACAUUGACUUACCUGGGUCAUAACCGGUGUCUGUGGGUUCUAUUCCUUUCUUUGGCAUCGGUUAAACCUCUUCUUCCUACGCCUAUGGCUUCGGUUCCCCCUUGAGAGAGUCGACAAGGUUACAAGUUAUUAGUUAGUCAAUAAUUGUAAUUAAUUAAUUUUGGCCAAACUAUGAUUAUUUGUUGUGAUUAAAUGUGAGGUGAUCAGCUGAGCUGCUACUUCUUUGUUGUAUUAUUGAGUACAGAAUUAAGAAAGCCAAAGCAGGUGAAUGCCAACCACUUUGAGCCUGAAAUAUUACCCACUUUCCAAUCACCCUCCACCUAAAACUAAUAUUUCAUCUCUCUCUCUCUCUCUCUCUCUCUCUCUCUCUCUCUCAAAGUAGAGAAUUUGAUAGACACUAUUACUUAUAAUCAUGCACCUGUAGUAGUCUCACCCACUCCGCUCCACUUGUAUUCUUGGAAUUCAGUUUUUCUUUUGGGACCAGAAAUGGUAUUUGGUUUAAUGAUUUCCCAUACACAGAAAUGCCUGAGAUGCAAUUUACUAUUCAUUGGCCUACCUUUGGAUAUCAUAUCGGCUUCAAUAGUAAGGGAAUCAAACCACCACGGCGUUGCUAAGUGACUGGGGAUGAAUUUUAAACUCUAUUUCACUUGGCACGUCUUGGGUUCAAUUCCUAGCGCUGGUGAAUCAUCCAAUGGUGAUUAGGAGUAGGUUGAAAUGCAUCUGUGAGUCUUUCCAGCCUCUACAAGAGUGGAUUGUCAUAGCAAAACCAAUAGUUGCUCUCCCUUUUAAAAAUUUCUUCAAUUUUAGAUUUAUUCCUCCUUUGCUACUUAGCACUAUGGUCUAGUAGUAUUUCUCUUUAAGUGAGAUGUCUUAUGUUUAAUUAUUAGCAAAGACGAAUUUGAAUCACAUUAUUACUAGCUAAUUAUAAGGCUAAGCCCACCCCUCCUAUGUAGAGAAUAUAAUUUGUUCAAGAAAAAAAAAAUUACUCCUCCUUUUAAAUCACUUAAUUCAUUUUUCUUUUUCUGUAACAACAGGAUUAAAAUUAGUGCAUUUUUGCUCAUCACCGUAACCAUCUCGUUAUUUACUAGGUGUCAUUUCAUUUUCACCUAAUUAUAGUUAAUUUUUUUUUCAAAAUUAAAAGGGAGCAUUUAUUGUGAAAUAUAACUAUGAUUAAGUGGAAAAGAAAAACUAUGAUUAAGUGGAAUGACGCAUGGUAGGUAAUAAGGUGUACGGAGUCGACGUUGGUGCUGAGACUGCCGAUUUUUAAUAUAAUAUUCCCGACCCAAAUGAUUCUUAUAUAUUUGUUCUUCUCACGGACGAUGAAUCUGUAUGGAGACCUCCAUCUCAUAAUUUCCAAUCCAAACUAAAUCACACAUCCAAACACAAUUAUACGAUUUCACGAGACUAAUGAAGCCACCGCCGUACUCCUCCUCCGCCGCCGUCUUCCGCAAGGCUAGACUCUCUCCCUACCUCUUCACCCUCCUCUCCUUCGUCCUCUUCGUCUCCGUCCUCUACGGCGCGGACCUCACCUGCAUUUUCGGCCACCGUCAACUCACCACCAGCUCCGACCCACUCGUUAUCAAAACCGUUGAGUCAACCUACCUCAUUCCACCGAGUCAAUCAAUUUCCUAUUGCAAAAAUUUGAAUAUUUUUCAAUUUACUAAAUUGGGUUUUGCGUUUUGGGGCUAGGGAAGAAGAGGGAGAAGCUGCCGUUCGCCGUCGGCAAGACCGACGAAGGGUGCGACGUGUUCAGCGGGAGGUGGGUUUUUGACGAGUCGACUCGGCCGCUUUACGAGGAAUCGGAGUGCCCGUACAUUCAGCCGCAGCUGACCUGCCAAGAACACGGGCGGCCCGACAAGGACUACCAGAAAUGGCGGUGGCAGCCCCACGGCUGCGAUCUUCCCAGGUCAGUUGCUCAGUCGCUAUAAAAAAAAAAAAGGCGUCAAUUCCUCGUUUUAAUCGGCGUUGUUUGGGGAAGUUGAGCCGAUUUUUUGCUUUCCCUUUUGAGCUUUUACAAAAAGCAUCGUACGACCGGAACUCUCCUCGUUCUGUAUCCCUACGUACGUAUCUCGUCACCGACAAACGAAACGGUUUUGUCCCUUUGUCCUUGUUUGACGAACCGGUUUUCCCAAUCGAACCGGCUGGGUUGCUUCCAGCCGGCCGGGUCGACAGUUGUUUAUACGCUGCCGUUCUGUUCCUGGGGAAAUCGAGAUCGCGUACAUUCCUUCCAUCUGUCGCCCGUUCGAGACAACUAAGGGACGGGGCCCACUGUUCCAUAGAACAGCGGGGAAGAGGUGGGGCCCAAAUUGUGUACGGGCUUACCGAGUGCCAUAGUAUGGGCUAUUUAGAACGGCCCGGAGAUAAUCUAAAAGUGCUUUUAGGUAUUAGAAGCAUUUUCAAGAGAAGCACGUGACCAUACUUUGAUUUUUACUAAACAUUUCAACGUGUUUAUCAUAAAAUUACUUUUAACAUAAGCGUUUAUGAACAUAUGUACUUUUUAGAGAUACAAUCUCAAACAGGGAUUAAGAUCCUCUUUUGAUCUCAGCCCACGGACCGAGCAAUUAGAGCGUUCAAGAGAGAGAGAUAUGGACGUUGGACAGAGAGAGAGAUGUGUUGUGUGAGGUAGGCCAAUGGGAUGGGCCAAUGAAGACCAAUAAAAUUUAAGGUCUGGAUUGCUCGGUUCGCAGGCUUUAGAGUUUGAGAUCCGGAGAGGAUCUAAAUCCCUCAAACAGCCCCUAGUUGUACCACAAUUGUCCUAACAAAUUAUAGUAUGUUUAAUUUAUUCAUAAACAGCCAUGUUAAAAUACAUAAUUUUACCUUCUAAUAAUUCUGCAUAUUUGUCACUGGUAGUUUUUAUUUGGUGUUACAAUGUCAUUGGUAUUAACAUUAAUUUGAUAAUCUUAUAAAAAUCAUAUAUCCUUCGAUGAUGGAUUUUUUCUAAUUUACCAAUAGAGUAACAUGUAUAACGUUCUUCUCACAAAUUAUGCAGCUUCAAUGCCACAUUGAUGCUCGAGACGAUACGAGGGAAGCGGAUGAUGUUCGUUGGAGAUUCUCUGAACCGGGGUCAGUAUGUUUCCAUGAUUUGUCUUCUCCACAAGCUCAUCCCGGAUGAUGCCAAAUCCAUGGAGACCUUCGACUCAGACUCGCGAACUGUUUUCACAGCCAAGGUGACAUUUCAUUGACGUUUUCACUUUUUCUCAUACUUCUCAAAUGUACAUUGACGUUUUACUGACUCAUUUACUAUUCUGUGUUCCAUAAUGUGCAGACAUACAAUGCCACAAUCGAGUUCUAUUGGGCGCCGUUUCUGCUUGAAUCAAACUCGGAUAAUGCUAUCGUCCAUAGGAUAUCUGACAGGAUUGUAAGGAAAGGGUCCAUCAAUAAGCACGGCAAACAUUGGAAGGGCGUUGAUUUAUUGGUGUUCAAUACUUAUCUGUGGUGGAUGACCGGCGUGGAAUUUAAAAUAAUGUACUUUCUUGCCCCUAUCAAAUUAUAAAUUACUUAACUCUCUCUUCCUAUAUUGCUUAAAAAAAUGUCUAAUUGCUGAAAUUUUAAUUUUCAGACUAGGUUCCUUCAAUGAUGAGGUGAAAGAUAUUGUGAAGCUGCCAACGACAGAGGCUUAUCGUAUGGCGAUGAAAACUAUGUUAAGAUGGGUGCGGAAGAACAUGGACCCCAAGAAGACAAGGGUCUUUUUCACUAGCAUGUCACCUUCUCAUGGAAAGUGAGCACAAUUCUCUCAACACUAUUUAUUCAAAUCAUAAAUAUAGCAUUCAAAAUUGUGAUGACCCCGAUGCGUAACUUGUGCUUGAAGUUUUCACAAGAUUAAGGUGGACUGACAUUUGAUAUUUGGCAGUGGUAUAGAAUGGGGAGGUGAACCAGGAGGUAACUGUUACAACCAGACUACUUUGAUUGAGGAUCCAAACUACUGGGGUUCAGAUUCCCGGAAAAACAUAAUGGAGGUAAUUGGAGAUGUAUUUAGUAAAUCGAAGGUGCCCAUUUCUUUUCUCAACAUCACGCAACUCUCAAACUAUCGCAAGGACGCCCACACAUCAAUCUACAAGAAGCAGUGGUCCCCUCUGACUCCCGAGCAAAUAGCCAACCCUGUUAGCUAUGCCGAUUGCGUGCAUUGGUGUUUGCCUGGCCUUCAAGAUACUUGGAACGAGCUUCUGUUCGCCAAACUUUUCUAUCCUUGAUCAUGGUCCAAAGUGGUGAGUUCUCAUCCUCUGCCCUUUCAAGAUGGUCAUUGCAUGGUGAGAUCUAGCUGGUGGCAAGGAAUAAGUGUAAAUUAGUUAUCCAUGAAAAAUUUGGCAUGGAAGAUAGAUAGAUUGAAUCCUGCUUUGAAGUUGAAAUGUGAAAAAUGAAAAUUUUGUUAUGAAAUUUGAGGUUUGUGAAGGAGAAUACUUGAGUAUAGUAAUUAAUUAAAAGUGUUGAUGCACAAAACCGGAGGGUCUUGGAACAACGUAAAUCCAACCGUGAAUCUGCAAGAGAGUAAAGAACACAAGAUGUAUCGUGGUUCACCUCAAUGUUUGGGCUACGUCCACACUGAUAUUGAUUGUAUUUCUCUCUAACUGUAUGUAUGGAUUACAAGGGUGAGGGGGAGUUCCCCAGAGAAAGAGAGAGUUUGAGAGUAGGGAUUGUGGUGAGGAUGAGACCUCUGUUUAGAGGAUGUGAGGCUUGAGGAUUGUGAGGGUGAGGAGUCUCUUUUAUAGAGUAAUGACUCCUCACUUAUUACAUAUUUGCCCUCUUCAUUUAUUACAUAAUUAUAUUUGAGUCUCUUAAGUAUUUAUACGAGGUCUAAAUACGAAGGCCCAAAGUAUAGUAUAAACAAAAAGAAAGUAGAGAAUUAUCACAUUGUUUUCAAGGGCACUCUGUUCGAGUCAUGUUUCGUAGACGGCUUUGAAGCCAAAUGACAUUGUAUUUUUUGCAAACCAUCAGGUAUCACUCACUGAUCAACUUCUAAAAACAUGUUGGUACUGUUGGCCACAUAUGCCUCGUACGUUGUCGUUUUUGAUAGUCAAACUUGAGACCUUUCUCUAAUAUAUAAUCAUAGCUUCUAAUUUUACAAAGGAAAAUAAGGGGAUGAUUGAGAUUUAAUUUUUCAAAAGCCACUAAGGGAAAAAGAAGUUAUAUCACACAGAGGGGACGUUGAGGGGGAGUGAAAGGUGCAGUCGCAUAUAACCUCAAAUUUGAAGGGGCCUCCAAAAUUUUGCCAUCUAAUAUUAUGUAAGGGAGACUUUGGAUGCGGUCCCUAGUUAUGAAUAGUCUUUGACUGAAACCUUGUUGGUUUUCAAUUUUUGAUCCAAGUCCCUGAAAUUAAUUGAUAAUUUAUUUCUAUGUACGUUACUAUAUUUUUUAAAUUAAAAAUUAAAAUUUAUAGUUGUUUAUAGUAAUGAGAUUUUAAAUAAAAAACCAUAAUUUGUGGGAUUAAAAAUAUUAAAAUAUAAAUAUACUAUUGUGUGUGUGUGUGUGUAAACAUGGGUACAUUCAUAAAAAAUAACCAAAAAAUUAUUGUAUCAAAACAUGGGUACAUUCUUCAAAAUGGGUACAUUUAGCAAAAAUAAAAAUGGGUACAAAUAAAUAAAAAAAUAUGGGUACAAUACAAAUAAAACUUUAAAAAAUAUGGGCACAAAAAGAAAUUAAUAUAUGGGUACAAAUUAAAACUGAAAGGAAAAUUGGUACAAAUUAAAAAAGGGUUGCAAAUUAAAAAUGGGUACAAACUAAAAAUAAAAAUAUAUGAUAAAAAAUUUAGCCAUAAAUAUAAAUAUACUAAUUGUAAUAUUUUUAAUAUUAAAUGAAUAUAUUUAGAAAUAAAAAAUAUUUUAUUAUUGAAAUAAUUAAUGAUAUUAUUAAUACAAAGACCUUGAUCAAAAAUUAAAAAGUAAUAAGGUUUUAAUCAAUAGAGUAGUAAAAAUAAGGAUGAAAACCUAAUUACUCCAUUAUGUAAUAAUGUUUUAUAUUUAGAAAAUGAAUCUUUUUAGCAUUUUAAAAUCUCAUUGCAUUCCUUAUAAGAAUAAUUUUUUUUCCUUUUUAAAUAUAAAAAGGUAAUGCUAGGAAGAUUAAACUAAAUGAUGUAUCACUAAUAGGAAAUGAACACAUAUAUCAACGCUUAAAUAAUAAUCCAAUCAUCAAUUCAUGUCUAAUUUACAAAAUUUUGUCUACAAAUUUAGUCACUCUAGCAUUACUCAAUAUAAAAAUUUGGAGUACAAUGAGAUAUUCUAAUUGUCAAUAAUAACACCCAAAAAAACGAUGGUUUUUUAAUUUUAUUAUAGAACAAUAUCACGUAUUCAAGUGAAAUUAUAAAGUUUAGAGUUUUGAAGUUUUUAUCCAUGUUUGGUUGUUUAAGAUUGAACUGCUUUUGAUUGUUUAAUGAAGGUUAUGUUUGCAGUUUUUUUAUUUAUGAUUAAUGAUAUUUGUAAACUUGCAAUCAGUGAGUGCUUAAGUUUGUUUUAAUUUAAGUGAUUGUUUUCAAACAUCAAUACAUUGUUCUAGUUUUUUUUAAACUAUCUUAAGGAGGGGUCAUUUUAUAAAUUUCGUAAAAUGUCCCCGAAAUCUCAGAGACGGCCCUGAUAGCACAAAGCAACCAAUUGGUCUCUGGCCGGCAACAAUCUUCUCAAGGGACGGCCAAAACAUAGAAGAGAAGGUGUACAUUCUGGCUUUGCACCCGCAGCACCUUCAGCCAGUGUUGGUGCCUGCGGCAGCGCCUUGUGAGUUUCAGUUGGAGCUAAGAGUCAAGAUGCGGGCGGGUUCAUCUGACGAGCCGAGUUGCUAGGGUUGAGACAAUGAAGUCGAUAACCAGCAAGUGCACAAUUUUGUUAAGAGCUCAUGAGUAGAACUUAAACCAGCUUGUAAGUGAAGCGUUGCCCAAGAACUCUUAUAACACUUUCAGAUUCUCCAUCUUUCUGAUGUUAGACAAUUUAGUCCUAACAAAUUUGAGGACACCGCAACCCAUUAUCAUUGGAAUAUGACCACCAUCUUCCUUGUCGUACAAGGCAUCCACUUUAAAUAAUUGAUUGCUACUGUACUUAUCAACUUCCAUUCUCUUCACUCACUUAUGUACUUCUCGUGUUUUGUUAACUAAGUAAUCAAAAUUAGAGAACCAUUCCAAAGCAUUAAAGUGAGGGAGAAGGAACUCGAAGGAUAAGGCUGCGAAAAUUCCAACUAGUCUCCUAUGGGACCAAAAUGAGUGGAUAACCGUAAUUCACUACCAGUUGUCCUCUUUUUUAUUAAAAAAAAAAAAAGAGAAGGAACUCAAACAGACAAAGUGCGAGUGUACAAAAUCAAUGCUUUAGAAUAUGAGUUUUGGUUAUACUUUUGGGUGUGGGAUUCUCAAUCUAGGUUUUUUAGAACAAAAAUCUACUGCUUGGAUCUUGUUCAAAAAUCAAAAGGCAAGGAAAUUAAGGAGUACAUAAGGAAAUUUUACCACACAUCAAAUACUGUAAUAUAAUGUAGAUUGCGUAUCAUCAAAAGUGGAAACUUAUUAGGAAACAUCCAAUAUUAUUUCUAUAUAAUCAUUAUCUUCUUUCUUCAUCGACAACCUUAAACCCUUGACAUGAAAAAUCUUAAUAUAUACAGAUUCAAAAAAAGAAAGAAAGAAAAAAAGGUACAGCACCAGAAGCCCAUGCAUGCAAAUAACGAAGCCACCAACUACUGUUGUGCGGAAGUGUCGCCUCUCUCACCACCUCUUCACAGUGUUCGCCUUGCUUCUCUUUUUGCCGUCUUUUUUUUCGGCGAGGAUUUGACGUACAUUUUUUACGUAGAGCUUCAACUCGGCCCCACUGCUGUCCGAAUUAUGGGGUUAGAGACGAAGAGGGAGGAGCUGCCACCGUUCGCCAUAGGUAAGAACGAGGAAGGGUGUGGCGUGUUCAGCGGGAGGUGGAAUUUUGACGAGUCGACUCGGCCGCUUUACGAGGAAUCGGAGUGCCCUUACAUUCAGCCGCAGCUGACCUUCCAAGAACACGGGCGGCCCGACAAAGUACCAGAAAUGGCGUUGGCAGACCCACGGCUGCGAUCUUCCCAGGUCAGUGGCUCAGUCUCUAAAAAAAGUCGUUUUAAUCGGCGUUAUUUGGGAAAGUUGAGCCGAUUUUUCGCUUUCCGUUUUGAGCUUUACAAAAGCAUCGUACGACGGGAACUCUCCCAGUUCUCUCGAUCCCUACUUACAAUCUCGUCACCGAGAAACAAAACGGUUUGAAAGGCCGAUUGCAAUCUUAUACAACAUGUUUUUUUUUUAUCCUUCUUUACGAUACAAGUACACAGUUCCUGUGUUCUCGAUAUAUUUGCGUCCUAAAUUGGGAGAAACAAGGACCUCGAACACUUAAUUUUCGUCUCCUAGAACUGAAACAAUGACGCAUUUUCUUCAUCCUUGAUGAGCUUUUGUGGUGUAGUGUGGGGAUAUUAAUGAAGGAGCAAGUAAUUUGAGCCAAGCUGCACGACCAACAUUACAAUUUUGUAUCGAAAGCUUGUAUAUACAUCUGAGUUGAAUGCGAGACAUGCUAUACUAGUCAUUAACCCAAUUUUACAAUCGAUUAAAAUCCCAACAUUCGAAAAGAACAUUGCAUUGGAUGUAAAACGCGCUAAUUCCUCGUUUUCUCCAUUUUUUACUAGGAACUUAAGCGAAAUCAUUCCCACAUUUUUUUUCUUCUGUUUAUUCAAUUAAAAAAAAAAAUAAAUAAAAGUUAUAAAAUUAAAAAUAAGUGUGUAGAAAUCAAAUCUUAUUAGUAGUUACAGAGUCUUAUUUUCUUUGUAAUAUGUAGGCCAACUGCCCAAUCCGUUGUGAGCCUAUAGAGUUGUAGACCUUACAAAAUUCCUCAAGGUGCCCACAAAUAUUUGGACCCUAAUCAUAUACUUUUGUCACUUAAGAGCUAAACAACCAUAAUUUAUGUUUCUUGAUGUUGGAUUAUUAUUAUUUUGUUAACUUGAUGUUGGAUUAUUGAUUGUAAAAUGUACAAUAUCCUUGUGGCAACAAAUUCCUGCAGCUUCAACGCCACUUUGAUGCUCGAGACACUACGAGGGAAGAGGAUGAUGUUCGUCGGAGAUUCUCUAAACCGGGGUCAAUUUGCUUCCAUGAUUUGCCUUCUCCACUCAUUUAUCCCCAGUUAUGCUAAAUCUAUGGAAUCCUUCGAUUCAGACUCAUGAACUGUUUUCACAGCCAAGCUGAUCAAGUGUUUCAUUAUUUUGUUUCAUACCAAAUGAACAAAGUUGUUCCUGUUUUACUGAAUUAUUUGUUGAAUAAUGUAAAAUAUAACUUAUGUUCGAGUGGUUUCACUUUUAAUUGCAUGUGUUAAAACCGCACACCAACUAGCUAACAUGUAGCGAAAUUGAGUGAUAUUAGCUCAGAGUGCCGGAGCCGCAAAACAAGCGCUUUCCACCCACGCAAGGACGUUGUUGGCAGGAACAAUAUCUGUGCUUGACUCAUUAAUAGUGGACCGUUGAGCAUCUUCUGUGAAAUCUUUGACAUUAUUAUUUUCCAAGUUUUGUCAGGAAUACAAUGCCACAAUUGAGUUCCAUUGGGCACCAUUUCUUCUUGAAUCAAACUCAGAUGAUGCCGUGGUGCAUAAGGUAUCUGAAAAGAUUGUUAGGAAAGGAUGCAUCAAUAAGCAUGGAAAACAUUGGGAGGGUGUUGACAUAUUGGUGUUUAACACCUACCUCUGGUGGAUGACUGCACUCUUCAAGUUUAAAAUCUUGUACACACAUCAAUAUCUCUCCUUAAUUUUCACAAAUUAUGCAUAUUAAUUAUUGUUUAAGUAGUUUACUUUUUCUUCCUUCAUUGCUUAAUUAUAUGUCUAAUUGCUUAAGCUUUUAAUUUGCAGAUUAUGGUCCAUUGAUGAUGAGGUGAAAAAUGUCGUGGAGAUGCCAACCAUGGAAGCAUAUCGUAUGGCGAUGAAAAGUUUGGAAAGAUGGGUGCAGAAGAACAUGGAUCCCGAGAAGACGAGGGUCUUUUUCACUAGUAUGUCACCUGUUCAUGGAAAGUGAGUUCAUUUCUAUCACCAUCAAUUUACUAAUGCAUGCGGAAUUCUUUUGCCUACAAAUAGAAUAGGAAAUGAUUCUGCAUUUUUUUCUUUCUGCACUCUUGUUAAAGUGACAUUUGCAUAAAUUUUUUAUACGACUACUAGCAAGGGCGAAGUUAGAAAGCUCAGCGGGAACACUACUAAGUAAUGGGGAAUGCAACACUAUUCUCAUUGCAUCCAAACAAUAGCUUGUACAAUGCCAAAUUAUUUUUUCCAAUGUUUUUUAUGAGGCAUUUCGUGCCGUACUUCGCCGACCCAUACCAUUAUAUGCUUAGUGUACAUCACCGCUCUUUAGUGCUCUUUUAAUUGUGUCUUUAGGUUAAUAUUAUUGGAACUGGAUCCUCUCCGGAUCCCAAUAAUCUGAGCCCAAGGAUCAUUAGAUCCGAGUUGUUGAAAUUUGAUCUAACGGCUACAGUUAUUAUAACUUUUAGAGGGCUCUUGUUUGUAGUCGUUGGAUCAAAUUUCAACGACCCGAAUCAUUUGAUCCUUAUGCUCAGAUUAUUGGGAUCCGGUUCCAAUCUUAUUAUAGGUCAAACAAAGUGUAAAGCCAUUAUAUGUAAAAGCCGGGAGCUCAAAUUGAUGAGAUGAUUAGAAGCAAGGAGGGUUUAUGGACCUUUUACUAUUUAAAAAAAAGUGACAAACUUUAAACUUUAUUGAAAAGGUGUUGUUUCACUAAAAACAUAUAUGUUUUUUCCUUGAUGGUCUUGGAUGAGAAUUGUGAUAGAGUUGCGCUGGAGAGAUGUCGAUGUUGUUUAGCUUUUGUUGAACUCACUUGUUUCCAAAAAAUAAUUGAAAAGAGAUAUUUUGAAGGUAGUUUUGACAAAUUACUUAGACCAACUCCAAUGAUGGGCUAAAAGCCAAAUUACCCCCCAAAAUUUCCCCCCAAACCCAAUCCAACCCAAGGGGAAAUUUUGGGCUAAGUGCUAAAUGCUAAAUGCUAAACUAAGACCAGAUUCCUCCCAAAAUUUAGCCCAGAAAUCAGAAUUUAAAAUUUUUAAUAUUUUUCGGAAUUUAAUUUUUUUUAGAUUAAAAUGUUCAUAAAAUUUUUAUUUUUUAAUUUAAUUUAACAAAAAAAAAAACCUAAGUUUAUUCUUUAAUAAUUCCGGCUAAAAUUUUAGGCAAAAACGGUUAGAGCAGAAAAACUAUUUAUGGACUAAAAGCUAAAUUUUCCAUGCUAAAAAAUUUGACUUUUAACACAACCAUUAGAGAUGGUCUUAAUGUAAGUGUAUUUUUUAACUGAAAAACGAAGAGGUGGGCCUUCAUCAAAUUUGGCCCUAACUAGUAGCCCUGACCUUCAUGGAACAACCCACUUUCUAUCAAUAAAUAACUUGACACAACGAUAUCGCUUGUAUAAAAAAAAAUGUGAAGUGAUGAUUUAGUUUAUGAAUUAUCACCUCAGUGAAAAUUAGGUCAAUGAAUUAUUUUUUUGGGUAAAAUAAGUCCCUAAAUUCAUUAAAAAUUUCUAAUUUCAUCCCUACUAUUAUAUUCAAAGUUAUUUUAUCCAAUUUUUCAUCACUUAAGUCACUUGACACACUUUAGAGUGUAAUAUUAUCAUUUUCUCGUCUAUAAGCCUUUAACAUUUCAUAUAGGUUGAGAAUUAACGUGUAAUUUACCCUCAAAAGUAAACUUACACUUUUUUUUAUAUGAAAAACUACCAAUUUAUCCUCCAAAGUUAACUCCAUAUACUAUUUCUUUAUGAAAAACUACCAAUCUACCCUCCAAUAUGUAUCACAUAUAAGUAAUGUGACUUAAAUUGACAGAAAAUUGAAUAUAGUAUCUUCCAAUAUAAUAUAGGGAUAUAAUUGACAUAUUUUUAUAAUUCAAGGAUAGAUUUUUCUGAAAAAAAAUAGUUUAAGGACCUAAUUUUCAAUUAUGCAAUAAUUCAGGAACAAAAUUAGCAGUUCACUUUAAAAAGAUAAUUUAGACACAACAAUAAUUAAAUGCAAAAUUUUCAGUUUUUCCUAUAAAACAUGUGCAGUACUGUAUUUGAUUUUAGAUACGAAUUAAAAAGGGAAGAGUGGUUGUCAAGUUAAGUUGCUAAGAUAUAUAAAUUAUCAGGCAUGAUGUUUCCUGUCACUUAAUUCCUAUCAAGAUACCUGAGAAUUUAAAUAAGGGCCUGUUGGGAUGUUGGGAUUCCAAGGGCUGGUUUGGUAUUACUGUGCUUUGAAAAAAAGCUGUUGUGAGAAUAAGCGGUUGUGCUGUGAGAAUAAGCGGCUGUGAAAUAAAUCAGCAGAGUGUUUGGUAAACUUUUUUGUAAAAGUGCUUUUGGAAAAAAAAGCAGUCUGAUAGUGGGUCUUUUCAUUAAAGGAGCACUGUAGUUCUGUGUGCUUUGAAAAAAAGCCAGUUUUCCAAAGCUACAAAUUGCAGCUUCAGCUUUUUCCUUUGAUUUCAGCUUAUUCUCACAGCAGCUUCCAAAAUAAGCCAUUUUUUUUAAGUUUACCAAACACCAAAAACACUCCCAACUUUUUUUCAUAGGAGCUUUUUUUUAAAAUCACCUCAACCCCAAACUGGGGCCAAAUCUAGGGAUCUAGAUAACAUUGUAAAGAUAUAAUAUACAUGCCAAGACUAACAAUAGAGAAAGAAAACAACUGAACUUCAAAUGUUUCUUUGCAUAUAGUUGUCUCAAAUGCAUUCAAUCCGAUGCUUUCUAACUUCUGAAGCAAAUUUAGUCUCGUUGUUAAAACCAUAUCAUUUUUUUUUUCAAAUUCUCCCGUUCGAAUGAAGUCUUAACAGUUUGCAAGAAACUUAACAUAAAUUAAAUGACAGAAACAUAUUUGCGAGGAGCACAGACUGGGGAGGAGACCGAGGAGGCAGCUGCUACAAUCAAACUACUUUGAGUGAAGAUCCUAACUACAAGGGUUCAGAUUCUACGGAUGAUAUAAUGCAGAUCAUAGGAGAGGUGUUCAAUAAAUCAAAGGUGCCCAUUACCUUUCUCAACAUCACCCAACUCUCAAGCUAUCGGAAAGAUGCACACACAUCAAUCUACAAGAAGCAGCGGAGCCGGCUGUCCCCAGAACAAUUAGCAAACCCUAUUAGAUAUGACUGUGUGCAUUGGUGCUUGCCUGGCCUUCAAGAUACUUGGAAUGAGCUUCUAUUUGCCAAACUUUUCUAUCCUUUGACUUUGUGAAAAAUGCUCAUGCGGGUGAUAUUAGAUUAUACUUCCGAAAAAUAAAGUAAACAAUUAAAUUGAUCAGUUUAACAUUUGAGAUUAUCUUUGACAUUCUUUAAUUUAACCAAUUUCCCAUAAAAAUAUAUUUGUGAAGCAUUACAUAUACAUAAAGCUGAUGACAUAAUACAAAUCGUGCACUCUAAUCACCAAAAGUAGUACUCAUCAAAAUAAAAGAUUACAGAGUACUUUGGGACCCGAAAUCUUUGCUUAGUGGAAAACACCACAUAAUUUAAGGGACAGUUUAAACAUCACUUGCUUUGAUAAUGUUCUUGCAUAAUUAGUGGAAAAGUCUCCAAAAAUUGAGGAAGGACAAGCAGAAAGCCAUUCAUUUAUAUAUGCACAUAAAAAUUCGAUCUUGUAAUUCAGAUCAUCACUAGCUAUGUUAUAUGCUACUCGGAUAAAUUUUCUAAACCCUAAGACAAAUUUCAGCAUAGAUAUACAAACACACUUUCUUCUGUACCUUUAAUAGUGUAUAUAUGUGUAUGCUCAAUAUAUAGCUGUUGACUAAAAUGGAAAUUGAAGACCACCUACAAGCUAGAAAAUUAUAAAGUUUGUGGUCCGUCGUAAGCUGUUUUUAUAUUUAUCGAAAAGGAACAUUUGGAUACGAGAUCUCUAAACUUCUGAGUUGAUAUUGUUUACAAUUUUUGGAGUGGUCUUACAUUGAUCAUGGAAAUUAAACUUGCUAUAUAUAUAUAUAGCGGUCUUUUGGACCUUUAGACAAUGGUUGGUUGAAGGAAAUUUCAACCAAAAUAUUAGAGUUUUGGUUGACCGAGUCAAAUUAGUCAUGGGACACGCACGUACAUACGUGAUGAGAAUUUUUUUAAUGUGAUUGGAAUACAAGUGGUAUCUCACGUGUUUUUAUAUAAGUGGGAAAAAUUUUAAUAUUUAAGUUAUUAACUUUUUAACAUACAUAUCACACAAUUUAUAUAAUGACACGUAGUAUAUAUUAUUCUGUAUUCUGAUUACCCUGAAAAAUCUCUCGUAAGUGAUGAGGUAAUGGGUGGCUUUGAUUUUGUAAACAAGAUGGAACAUUAAAUUGCCUCCUUGCCAACUUGCUAAUCAACUUGCAGCCAGCUAAUGGAGAUUAUAUAUCUCUUCCAACACACAACGUAUGUAGGGUAGAAUUUAUAUAAUAAAAGUGAGGCAAAACUUGCAACUUGCUUUUGUUUCCCAAACCAACUUGAUCGUUGUUUAAGUCAAGUUGCAAUCCAAAUGCACCCAAUAUUGAUUCCUCAACAUCGCCAAUUACCACUUUAGCACAACAUGAUACGAUAUUCAAAAGUCCAUGCCUGUGCUUCUAUGUAAAAAUACAGAUUGAAGACUUUAAAACAUAACACGUCAGAUUUGAAAUGAAUUAGUAGUACGUUUUACUUAAAAAUAAAUAAUGCCAACUAGAUCCUCAAUCUAUAGUAAGACAUGUAAAGCAAGUAUAUUUUUUAUUAAAAAAAUGACAUACAUAAUGAAAUCAUAUUCGUUCAAAAAAAAAAAAAUGAAAUCAAAUAUUUUUUUAAUAAUCAGUUCAUAUGUACCUUGAGUAAUGUUAGGGUGAUCAAAUUUGUAGACUACAUUUGAAAACUAAAUGAUGUGUUACCAAUAAGAAAUAAGUAUGUUAAUUAACACUUAAGUAAAAUUCAAUUAUCAAAUUCUAUGUUAUUUAGUUUACAAAUUUAAUUUUUCUAGUAUUAUCCGUGCACACCUUUAGGGAUGUCAGGAGCAUAGGAUCAGAGGGCACAUGCUUCCUCACCUUUUUUUGUCUUUUAAAAAAUCUCAUAUUGAUUUUCUUAAAUAGUUGCAAAAUCAACUUUAGUUCUUGAGUGCCCCUCCCCAUUUUUUUUCCCUUCUCACUCAAUCAUGUCUAAAAACCCUAUUGCAUUUAAUAUGAAUGAGUAUUAACUUAUAAAUACAACAAGUAAAGAAAGAAGGUUUUUUUUUAUUUUUUUUAUCAAGUUUAGGAAGUUAGCUUGAUUUAUUUUUUAUUUUAUUUUAAAAUACUGUUUUUUUAAGGUGCUAUCUUCUUAGUCCAAUUUCUAAAUUUUCCAUUUCCUUUAUAUAUAUAUAACUUUUCCAUUGUUUUUUUUUUUUAUCAAUUUAAUAAGUAAUUGAUGCAUGUAAAUUUUUUUUGGUAGGUAAUGCAUGUACAUAUGCACACCAUAUCUAUUUAUGGGGUCUGGAGUAUGGCAUACUUGGGUACUUAAAGUCGUUAGAUCCAUUACUUUGUCGAGGGAUCUAAGUGACGAAGUAUGUGUAUGGUAGAACAAUUACUAUUUAAGUAUUUUGAUAAGAGAAAUAACUAUAAUAAACAUAUUUUGAUAUUUCAUAGUAGGAAAUGAUUCAUGUUUAUUAUUUCGUCAUUAUAUUAUCAUUGUGUUGUCGUUAUGUUAUUGUUGUGUCAUCGAUAUAUGAUUAGUAUAUCGUUGUUAUUGAAAAAUAAUCAUGUAGGCAAACCAAAAUGUUGAAAUAUGUGUAUUAAAGUUAUUUUGAUUUUUUGUAUGACCACUGGAAAUUUUACUAUAUUACUAUUUUUUGAAGUAUUGCUUUCUCACAUGUAUAAUAUUGUUUGUUAAAAGAAUUUCAGGAUUGAUUUCGUACUAUGUACCAUAUAUAUAACAUGCUAGUAUCAAUACAAUAAAGAGUAGUGUUAUACUUACUAUUUAGUUGUACUAUCACUUGUAUCAUUUUUCUAAUAGAAGUGAAUCCCGUCAACUUAUAUAGGUUCCAUCUCUAUUUGAGAAAUAGCACAAAUAGUGGUACAACUAGAUGGUAAAAAUAACAUUUUUGAUAAAAUAAUUGAUCCUUCGAUUCUCCUCUUGCAAGGUCCUACGUACUCACUUUCUGGAUUGCACUGUUUCUGCUUAUCUAUUAUGUUCAGUAAGUAAAACUGUAACAAAAAUCGUGUUCUUUAUAACAAUUGGCCAUGGCCACCCCCAUGCAUCAAUAUUCUUAUAGAAGCUACAUUGUAAUUCAUUAACUUAACCUUGUUCUGCUUGUACUCACUGUACUAUCUGUCUCUGCACAUCGGUGCCAGUGCAAUAUUGUUGCGAAUCUUCACACUUUACAGCAGUUAUCUCAUCGGCAUUGCGGAUAUAUAUGAGAAGAAGGAUUAGUCAAUUUCUUAGCCAACUUUUAAUUUUUUUAUAAUAGUGUACAGUAUACUAGCGUACGGAAAGAAACGCAGCUGAAUCUCAUUAGCUGUAUAUAGAGAGAGAGAGAGAGAGAGAGAGAGAGUUCAUACACUCUUUCUUUUACCAAAAAAUCCAAAAAUAAAUAAAUAAAUAAAUAAUCCUUCGGCUGUUUGAAGAGAUUUUAUUGAAUAAACCUGUUUGAUGUUUCAAGUGGAUUCGAAAUAGAGAGAUCAUAUAUUAGUUAUACAUAUAAUUCAGAAAUAUGCAUACUAUAUUAUUAUUAUCUGGGAUCAAUCUGCUAUAGUUGUUUCCAUUUUAUCGGAAUUAGCUGAAGAGAGAACAUCAUUGGAACUAGGGUUAGGUUAGUCCUCAAGUUCCACAUUUACCCUAUAACAUACAUUUAUAAGACUUCAUAUAUAAUACAAAACAUACAUUUUAAAGACUUCAUAUAUAAUACAAUAUAGAGAAACAGUAGGAGUAAACAUUGAAGAAACAAACAAUGGACAAAGUCGUAGAAAAGUUCUAAUUAAUUUUGUUAAUAUAGUCUUUUAAUAUAAAUAAUAUUGAGAGAUAAGUGAAUCUAAAAAUUUAAAAUCGAUAAAAGCUUUUAAAUACUUGAGUUACAAACACACUCUUCAAGGAUAUAUAUAUGAAGCAUUUAAGGGAAGAGAUCUUCAUUUUUUUUUAUAAAAAUGGGGAUUAGUUGUGGGGUCCACACCUCAUCGAACUUUAACAAUCAGAACCGUUUAUUUUUCAAGUUGUACCUCAUAGAUCAUCCUUGCAAAAUAUUAGCCAAAUCGGAAAUUUUUAAGACGUCUAAUUGGGUUCAAAGAAAUGAAUGAAUACUUUAUUAUAUAAGAAACAAUGAAAUUUGAUCUUGAUAAUUAAAUAGGCAAAUGGUUUCGGAUUGAAUUGAAUUUUUGCAAGGAUGAUCUAUGAAUCGAGACUUACGAAAUAAAUAGUUCGGAUAGUUAAAAUUCGAUGUGGAGUGGGCCCCACACUUAAUUCUCAUUUUUUUUCUUCAAAAAAAAUAGGGAUCCCUUUGCAUAAAGGGUAUAUAUAUAUAACUUAUAUUUUUUUUAGUACAUUGAUAUUUUUACACUAAUGGGAGGGGGAGUUCGGCUAAGUCACACAAUGGGCAGCCUAAUUUGGUAUCGAAUUCGUCAUCCACAAGAUUCGAACCUAAGACUUCUUACAUCCAAGUGAAGAGGAAUACCACCAAACUGUAGUACUGAGUGACAUAUAUAUAACUUACAUAAGCAAACUAUUUCUCAUUUAAAGAAAUGAAAAAACAAAACACAAAGGAAACAAGAGAAAUUAGAAGGAUGAAUGCACCGUGAAAUUGGACAUAGUUUAUGAAAUUAUAAGAUGGUAUUUCAAACAUAGCAAGCGUUUAAGGGAAGAGAUUUCUAUUUUAUUUUUUUUUAUAAAAAUGGGGAUUAGUUAUGGGGUCCAAACCACAUCAAACUUUAACAAUCCGAACAUUCUAUUUUUUAAGUUGCACCACAUAGAUCAUUCUUGCAAAAUAUUAGCCAAAUCAGAAAUAUUUAAGACAACUAAUUGGGUUAAAAAAAAUUAACGAAUACUUUGUUAUAUAAGAAACAAUGAAAUUUUAUCUUGAUAAUUAAAUAGGCAAAUGAUUUCAGAUUGAAUUGAAUUUUUGCAAGGAUGAUCUAUGAAUCGAAACUUACAAAAUAGAUGGUUCAAAUUGUUAAAGUUUAAUAUGGAGUGAGUCCCACACUUAUAUAUCCUUAUUUUUUGAAGAAAAAAAAAUAAGAAUCCCUUUGCAUAAAGGGCCUAUUCAAACAUAAUAAUGUUAUGUAGAUCGAUUGAACAAUCUGAGGUCACAUGGUAAAGGAAAUUAAAGAGGUAAUUUAUAAAAUGCAUUAAUAUACACAAUAUCAUACAACAACCCUUGACCAUUUUUCAACCAGCUGCAGAGAUCGAGCCUCAAAGAAAGGCAAAAAAAAGGAAUCAUGAAACGUGAAAAAUUUCAUGAGGGUUUCUUGGUGGUGGGCUUAUUGGCCAUACUCUCCGCGAUCUGAGCCAACGACUGCAAGUUGCAACGCACAAUUGUGUCCACAAACACGCACGUCUCCUCUUUCGUGUUCCCCGGCGGUACGUCCACCACGUACGACUCGACAACGAUGGUCCCCACUCCGUUGGGUGAGUCAUGCAGUGUGGUAACGGACCGGUAGUUCGUCAGCCGAUGGUCCCCGCCCACCACGCUGAAGCUGAUCACGUGCCGCUCGUCGUCCAGAAUCUCAAGGCGCUCCGUGCUGGACCCCGCUGGUAGUCCCGACACCACGUGGACCUCCCGGAGAGUGCCCACGUCGCCGUUUCCGUCGAUGACGUGGCAGCUCUUGAGGAAGUGCUUGUAUGCUUGGGGGUUGUCGAAGCGCCGCACGACGGACCAGACAGUCGGGACGGGUGCCUCGAUGGAUUGCACGACGGAAGAGCAGCACUGGUUGGGAGCCAUCACGAGGGAGUGGUGGCGUGUGAGGUCGAGUGCGGCGACGACUGCCUGGGAUUGGAAUUGUUUGUGGUGGAUUGUGUUUGCGGGGUGGUGAUAAUUAGGAGGGUUGAUUGGUCUUUGAAAUUGGAUUGGUGAAGGCAUUUGCUUUUGGUGUUGUUUUUCUCUCUAUGUAUUUGUUGACAAGGGCUGGGUUCAAAGUUUAGAAAUGAUCAUUAUAUAUUAUGGGCAGAGAGAGAGAGGUGGGGAGGGGGGGGGGGGGGGGGGAGGGGGCACAGAGAGAGAGAGAGAGAGGGGGUUUUAGUUGUUUAAGCUGGCGAUGAGUUCCACUUGGAUUAUUUUUUGCUGUUUCCUCGGACAAAGAGAGAGAUGAGUGAUAUAAAUUUUUAUGAAUGCUGCAAACAAGUUACAUUUUGUAUUAUUUUACAUGUUAUAAUUGUUAUGUCUUACUACUUUGAUUGAUAACAUAAUUUGUAUGUUUUAUUACUUCAAUCGAAGAUAUAAUUGAUAUGUUCUACUAUUUUUACAGUGGACUAAAAAAUAACAUAUUAACACGGUAAUUUGGUUGAAAUAAUAUUAACAUGAGUUACACGACACGGUGAUGUUAUAAAUGUAUCGAAGAGAGAGAAAUAUGGAUUGGGGUUGGAGGGAGUGAUGAUGUUGAUCACAAACAUUACGCCGGCCUCGCAAGUGGAUACUCAACUUGCAACUAUUUUCUUUGGACUUGGUUUAUUUAUUUAUCCAUUUUCUUUAUUUCCAACUACAACUUUUGCCACUUGUUUUUAUUUUUAUGUAACUAAUUUCUUGUUCUUUUUCUUUAUUCUAAACAUUUUUUUAAUUGCUUGUUGAUUCUGUUAAACUUUAUUAGGUGAUCCAAUUACCCCACCCCCACACAAUGGUCUCUUUAAUUUAAUUUUUAUAUAUGUAUACAUACACAGGCUCUUUUAGGGAAGAAAUCCUUAUUUUUCAAAAAAAAUAGGGAAACCCUCUUAACCAUUAGAUUUGGUUUUAAUGAAAUUGUGUGAUUGAGAUUAAAUCAUAGGCUACAGAAUCUUUUCAUACAAAAAAAUAGAAACACCCUCUUAACCAUUACAUAUAUAUAACUUUUCUAUGUAAAGAAGGGUUUAUUAACUCUUCUGAAACGAGUCCCUAUCAUCCAUUAGAAAAGAUGAUUCAAGCGUAUUGUAUCGUGCAUGCCAAAUUUUAUAUGCUUCCAUUUUUUUUUAUCUUAGCUAUUUCUUCAUCCAAUGCAAUUUAGUCUUUUCAAACAAUAUUAUUAGGAGUCAAACUUAGAAACUUAAUUUCUUAAACAAGAAAUAGGCCGGACGGUUUUACUAAUACUACUAGUCUAUAAGUUAAAGUCAAGCAUUGUGCAAACUUACAAUACCAUAAUGCUAAUUUUUUUAUAUUAAAAAGAACAAGAAAGUUCGACAGUAAUUUGCUAAGAGAAGUUCUUUCAUUUACAAGUACCAAAAAGGAGGAGAAAUGGAGAAAUAACUGGGUUUAAUGAUUUGAUUUUACCUCUUCAACAUCUUGUAAGUUUGAAGUCCCCACUCUCUCUUAGAGUACCUCGUUGCACCUUAAUUCGGUUACAAAAGCGAAUAAAAUUUAACAAAAUUGCAAAUGUAGCUUGAAGAUGGAACGCAACCUCUAUGUUUUAGGAUUUUUUUGUUAUUUAAUUCAAGAUUUCUUUUUAUUGUACAUUUUUCCUUCUUAAUUAUUUUGUCAACCUUAAUUUAUGUCUCUUUUUAUAGAUACUACGCUGAACUCAUACUUUCGAGUUAUAUUGUUAAGUGACACAUCUACUUUGGUUUAGCAAACAAUUUUUGGUUAUGUUAUAACUUGUAACUCAUAUGUCAAUUAAUCGGAGGAAGAAAAUAUGAUUUCGAUUAUAUUAAUCAAAACCAUUUUUUUUCUUUCUAAAGUUGGGGAUCAGCAAAACAAUUAGGUGGAUGAAUAGAAUUAGCAAAGGAAUUGAAUUCUAAAACGGUUUUCACCAUUUUUUUAAGAAAAAUGAGAAGCAUUUUCCAACAUAAUUUUACUUGCAAGUAUAUAAUCCUUAUGUAACAUUUCUUGUAUUAUCAUAAUCGUACUUGUGUGAAGAUACUUUUCGAAUUAUCAUCGCCAUUAUAUUGGGUAUAUGACAUGGUUCACCACCUUCACCGUACUUAUCUAUCAGAACCUCCACCAAUGAAGGUCCAUUUUACUGAAUUCAACUAUCCACUACUACUCGACAUCCGUAUUGACCGGCAGCAAAUUCAUCAUCUAAAUCCACACAACAUUAUCCACCAAGAACUUUUAAUUUGGUAUCAGUACGUAGCAUCUGCUGCUUCAUCUAGCUACGUAUGGAAAUGUCCGGUUUACAACUGAUAAUAUAAACUACUAUUUUUUUUAGUUUAGUACUAGAUUUAUCCAUGUUUGUAGCUAGAUUCAUCGUAUUUCCUAUCAAAAAGUCAUAACCUAACUUGGAUUGACAUGAGAAGUUUUUUGUUAGAAGCUUUUUUAUGAAAUCACGACCUACUACCUUUUUUAUUAAAAUUCAAGUGCUCCAUUGAGUAGUACUCGUAUGUAUUUUAUGAAUAAUAAUGAAGUGCAUUUGUUAGAGAGUAUAUAUCUUACAUUAGGGAAAGGAGGGAUCAAGUAUUUGCUUAUAAGUAAUUGGGCUAGUACUCCCCAUAUUGCAACCAUAUUGUAACCACCACGGGGUGGCUCAAUGGUUGGAGAUGAAUCUCAGGCCGGUAUUUCACAUGGUACGUCCUGGGUUUGAUUCCUGGCUGGUACUGGUGAAUCGCAUGAUGGUGGUCAGAAGGUGGCUGAAAUGUUUCUGUGAGUCUUUCCUGUCCCCCGAAUGGUGGAUAGCCGUGUCGAAACCACAAGCUGGUCCAUUUUUUAAGAAAAAAAAAAAAAAAACUCCCCAUAUUGCCAAAUUAGUUUUACGAUAGACCUCAAUUUCUCAACCCUCUGCAAAAGAACACAAAAAAUAUAUUCUUAGCAUUCAAAAUCGCAUUUCGUUGUCUGUAAAAAGAGUUUCUUUUUGUUAGUUCUAGACAUUCCAAAACUAUUUAUUUUCAAACAUGUUCCUAAUCUCUUUCUAUAAUUAUUUGAGGUCUCACCAAACUAUAAAUUGCCUUUUUUUUUAGUAAAUUACGUAAUAUUAUUUUCUUAUAAACUAGCAACCAAGAUAAAUUUAUCUCAAAUGGUUUAAAAUCUGAAACUGCUGCACGCCCACAGAGAGGAACUAUUUGGCCUAUUAUUUUGGUGGCUAGUUGAGUAAAUAAUCCAGUCCCAAAUGCACCAUCAACUCAACUAGGUUAUAUUUUAUCACCUGCAGGCUGCUCAAACUUUAAUUUCUGCCAUCUUCUUCUCACCAUCCGAGUAGUUGAGGCUUCUCCGUUUUAAUUUACUUUACUACUUUUAGCGUGAUUCCAUGCUUCUGAACUUUCAUUUUUGUCCGUUUUUUUUUUCUUCCUAAUUUUCCACCCACUUCCAGCAACUUGAUUGUAUUCAAAUUUUCAAACCCAUUCCCCUUCGCAUGGCAGAUGGUACUAUUCUUACAACUUGAUUGUUUUUAGUUGUCUUUGAAGAAUUCAAUAAAUAGGACGGGGCUUCAAUUGGGGGAAAAAUAAUUGGCUCUACGUAAGGGCUCAUUUCUCUUUACAAAAUAAUCACAGUUUGAGGUGUCUGCAAAAACGUUUUCUUUGGUUGAUAAGUUGAUGUAUGAUAUUGCAAUUUUUAAAAAUAAGGUAUGAGAUUUUAGUUCAACUCAUAGUUGAAAUAGUUUUAUGUAAUUUACCUAUUUUUAAUGCGUCCAUCUUUUCCUCGAUAGGAUUUGUUGCUCUUAUUUUUGGUUAUUUUGAUUAUUCGGGCGUACCCUCCUAUUGUUUGUUUUGGGUGUUAUGUUCAAUUAGUAUUUCGUAAAACUUGUAAAUAACUUAAUGAAUGAUGUUAUACUUAUCAUCUAUUUGUAUUAUCAUUUGCAUCAUCUCUUUACACAUCAACAUAUGUGGCUGGUACAUGAAGGUGUGGGCCCUAUUACAAAUAACGUUUUGUAUGUGCUCGAAUUAAAGAUCUCUCAAACAAUUCCAAAGGAUUUUAACCAAAAACAGAAGUCAAAGCAUCGUGUUUGUCUUUCUCCUGUUAGUUUCAAAUAAUAUCUGUGUUGAACACAAAUCAAACUCAACUUCACACUUGUGUCGAUCGAUAUUCCACAAUGAAAAACUUCAGAACGGAAGCAAAAACAAGCGGUUUUCGCAAAAGCACUCUUGUUAGACCAACUGGAGUCAGUCCUAAAUUUUCCCUUCUAUUCCUCAUGCCCCCCACCCAAAAAAAAAAAUAAAUAAAUAAAUUUCUCUCCAACCGUUGUUCUAAAAUUGAGUUAAGUGUUAAAACAUAAACAAAACUCAAAUUCCUCCCAAGAUUAUCAUGAGCCUAAUGACUAUUUUUUUUUCUAUUGUGCGGCCACGUUUAAAUGGGUCGUUGGUUCAUCCAACGGUCCACAUUCAUUUUUUUUUGUUUUAUAUUUAUAUAUUUAUUAAAUCCAACGACUGACAUCUAAUAUGAUCAAAUCCAACGGUAUAAAAAAAGAUAUAACGACCCAAAUUUAAAUUCCGAGGGUAAAAUAAUUAAAAAAAAUAUUUAACUCAAAAAUCACCAAAAUUUAAUGAUUUUUAAUAUUUAUCGAAAUCUAAAUAUUUUUAGGUUAAAAUGUUCAUAAAUUUUUUUUAUUUUUUAUUUUUUGAAAAAAAAUGUUCAUAAAAUUAAAUAAAGAUAGUGUACAUAAUUAAAAAAAAAAUUACUUAAAAGAAAAAAUUAGCCUAAAUUCUUUAAUAAUAUCGUGCUAAAAAAUUUAGGCUAGAAUUGUUGAAGUAGAAAAGCUGUUUUUGGAUUAAAACCUAAAUUUUAUGGGCUACAAAUUUUAGGUUUUACUCUUAAGGGUUGGAGAUGAUCUUAGAAGUACCAAGAUCAUUAUCAAUUCUAUCAAAAAAAUAAAAAUGUAUCAAUUCGAAUGCUCUGAAAAGCUAUGUUAAGCAGUUUAGCCUGAAAGCACUAUUGUUACAGGCACAGCAUCAUUGAAAACUCAAUCGUAUAGCAGAAAGGGGAACUGACACAAUCGAUUCACAAGCUCAAAUCCGUAGUGUAUAUAAACAGAAAACUGGACAAGAAGAAGAACAAACAGCCACAGAAGAGUCAAAAAGCACACAAAAUCUGUAUUUCCCAUGACUGAUGUUUCAACUAUUUCAAGUUCCUUUUUCUUCCUCCUAUCUACAUACUACAAUGAAAGAAUUUUUAGUUAAUAUGUAUAUAUAUGUAUAGCAUUGCCAAGUUGUCCAUCAACCCUUCAACAUAGAAUGGCACGGCAGGGCAGAAGGGGAAAUCAUGGCUUAAUUCUCCAAUCUAAAACCUGUACCAUAGCUCAAAAUCUCCAAAACAAAAUCGAAAUCAAGCACAAGGGCUGUUCAUCAACACACCAAAAUCUGUUUCUUUGCUUUCGGAAUCCGGGAGCCGUUUACAGCGAAGUCAUGGGAAAGACUAAUAGACCCCACCCAACUUGGCCUUCACAUUUCCAUCGAAUAGUUGUAACCUCCAUCUCCGGAUUGUGUUAUUCCUCCUGUGAAUCCUUCCAAAUCUAAGUCAGACAAUCCCAGAUUGAAGUACCCUUGAUCAUCUUGGCCGGUAUGAUUACUCCCCUCCUUUUCUUGCUUCUUGAAAUCAAAACCGUAUUCGAAGUUCAAUGGGGCAUGCUCCAUGUGCUGCAGACUCCCGAGCAGCUUGGCGUCUGGAAACUGCAGCUGGUACGACAAAUUUGAUGGCCUCUCACUGCUGAGAGUCUCCAUGCCCGACUGACCAACGUCAGCUCUCCAUACUUGCUCCGAUCCUGAAUUGCAAAGGGAAAUAUCAUCUGAAGGCAUCAACAGUUCAUUUACAUCAAACAUCUCAUCCAUAUCAAACAACUCGUCGGUUGUGAAGUUCUCUGAAUAAUCCCCAAUAAAACCUUCUCCGCCAUUCCAAUUAUGAUCCUCAACUCCUGCUUCCGGUUUGACGACAGGUUGUUGUUGACUAUUACGAAGAUAAUCCAUAGUGAAAUCCUCAAUGAUUUCUGGCUUAACCAUACCACUGGCUUGAGGGACCGCAGUAGACCACGGAUACAUCCUUGAUUCGCCCUCACCAUCCUCCUUUUUCACAUUAAGAAAAAGCUUGGAAUCCUCGUCUCCACAAAUCUCAGAGCGACUUGAGGUUGAAGUGGAAGUAGAGCAUCCUGGAGUUGCCACUGCAGAAGACCCUGAUGGUGUGCAACUGAAGAAGUCUCCAGUGAAGACGAUGGAUGAUAAUUGGCCGCAUGCGGGAGGUUGAGGCGAGCACCAGUACCAUACAUGGCCUUCGCAGCCUCAUCAUACGCAAGGGCAGCAUCAAGGGCAGUGGGAAAAGUACCCAACCAAAGCCUGCUUCCCCUGUCUGGCUCCCGAAUCUCGGCGACCCACUUGCCCCAUGUCCUUUGCCUCACACCUCUGUAAUUGCAACGUGCAUUCUCAGGCCCUCCCUUGCCUUUCAUACAGCCUUUCUUCGACCCCUUGGCGGGCACUUUACGCGUUUUCCCCUCGUUAUUAACCGAUUCCAGUUUCUUAUUAUACUCUUUCCACUUUUCUAGUGUCUCAGCAACAGAGUUCCCAUCUCGCCUGCUCCGCGUCUUCCUCUUCCUUGAAGAAUCCAAGGGCAGAGAUGACAUGUUAGCGCCUUGAUCAUAAGCUCCCAUUGCUCCUCUAUUAUGCACAAUCUGCAGUAAACACGAACCAAAUUCCAUUAAGAACUGGGUACAGAAAUUCUCGAAAGAAAAUUGCGGUUCCAAUCACACAAGCACCUUUGGGUUUUAUACACAGACAAGACCCAAAUACACCAAAUCAAAAUUGAACCAGGACUCUCAGCUUUCUUGGGUCCCAAGUCCGCCGAUAAUACAUCAAUUUACAAAACAGAUACGCAAUCGUGGUAGCCCGGGAAAAAGGAAAAUCCCAAAUCCAAAAACCCUAGUUUCAUAAAACCCAAUUACUCAAAACCCCAAAUUUCAACCCAAAAAAAAAAAAAAAAAUGGAAACAAAAUCCUCCUUCCCCAACAAGUUUAAGCUUAGAAACCCUAAUCGAGAAACGAAACAGACAAUUUCAUCAAGCAAAAAGGAAACGAAAUCAAAACUGCUCAAACUCAACCAACCUCAGAAUCUCCCGAAUCGACGAGUCCCACUCACAAACUUCCCGAUCGGCACCGCAGUCUUCGACUUUCUCGAAUCAAUACGACAAUUUCAGACGCGUUUUAGCGUUUUCACCUUCCGGUCGACUGUAAUUUCAGCCUUUUUCUGCUGGUUUGGUUUUUUGCGCUUUGCUGCUCUUUAAGCUUCCAAGUUGAUCGAAUGCAGAAAUCUUCGGAACUUGCUCGCUGUGACAGAUAUUUAUAACCUUCCUCUAGAUAUUUCCGAUAUUUACUUUAUGUGAUGACGUGGCGAUUUUCUAGUAGCGUCGUGGCGCUUCGGGCUGGAUUCGGAAAUUUGCGAUUGUGCCACAGAACAGCUAAUGCGUGCUUGCUGUGGGCUUUUUCAGUUCUUAUCUUAUCGGAUUAUUUUUUUUAAUUAUUAUUAUUAUUAAUACGAGAUAAGUUUGAAACUAUUACAAUAUUUAGAAGAUGAUGACACUUUCGAACCCAAAUGAAUUGGUAGAAAGUCAAUACUUUAUAUGAGACUCUCCUCUAUUCUACAAAGCUGUGCUGCUUUACCAAGGGAUAAAAACAUAUGAAUCACGAUCAAUUUAUUUUUUGAAAUUCUACGAAGGGUAAGUUCUUCAUCUUUUGCUCUCUCUUUAUAUCGCAUUUUUAUAUGAAUGUCUAUCUAGGAUACUCAAUUUACCAUCUUGAAAUUUUUUUAUUUUCGACAUUUCACACGUUAAAUUGUUUUUGCAUGAUUAACGUCGAACACGGGGCAUUGAGGUGCUAAUUGCAUCGUAAUUCUUCUCAACCCCAUGGGCUCAACCACGAACCAUUUUUCACUACCAAGGGAAAACAGCAUGUCUCCCUCGUUCGGACAGUAUUAUGUUAUCCUGUCUUCCUCGUCGACUUCUUGCAUGCGCACCACGUGUCGCACAAUGUGUAGGGCAACGUGGCAAUUUUAGUUCACUUGGACGCCUAACUUAAUCAUGUCAUGAGUGACAUGUUCAAUUCCGUGUGGUGGAGAAUUGAACACUGAAGGCGAUUGGGUCGUGGUGUGCGGAAAGAGGAUAUUCUCCAGAUUUACUUUGUGACGAUCUUAGAGAUCUUUAUACUUUAACUUUUCAUUUGUGGUUAAUUUUCGUCAGGUAUUAUUUAUGUUUAAUUUUAAAUAAAAAAAUCAAAUGAUUUCUGACCACACGAUGCACGAUGAAUGACUAAGCUGUGAAGAUCCCUAGAACCCCACAAUUUGAAUCCGAAUGGGAACCAAAAGACAAGGAUCCUGUCUGGUCCUCUUUAUGGGGAUCUGAAGAUCAAUCAAUCAUGUCCAUUCAUCGUACAUCAUGCGGUCAAUUUUCGCUAGGUACUAUUUAUAUUCAAUUUUAAAUUAAAAAUUAAAAAUAAUUUCUAACCGCACGGUGAAUGAAUACAAUUGAUUAAUCAUCUGGAUUCUUACAAAAAGUAUUCUAUUCCGGAUCCAAAUCCAUGGUGUGCGCUGGAGUUUAACAAAGUGAUGAGGUGGCAGCUUGCGUGUUUGCUGACGCAGCGGCUAGACAAAGUUUGAAGGAGGGGAAGCAAAAGAAAAAUAUUGCUACAACUUUCAUGUUGAUAUGGUCAUCGCACAUGGUCAGUGGAUUUCUGAAAUUGUUUGGGUUGUACUAAAAUUGUUUUAUAAUUAAUUGCUAGCCGUGGUAGUAAAAGUUUAAAUAUUAUAUAAAUAACGUAACGAAACUAAAAUUUUAAAUUAAAUUGAUAAAUAUGUUCAUAUUAUGCAGGUAAACAUGCUCCGUCCCUGGCCAGAGAAAAGAUGUGGUGCUUGAGCUACCAAUAAAUAUAUUUUUCCCUUGUUCAAAUUAAAAGAUAAAAUAAAGGUUGCCUAAAAUAAAAUGUAUUAGUAUGUGUUUGAUUUGAUUUUGGCUUUGGGCAUCUAUGUGUUUGGGCUUUUCAAUGAACUGAGCCUAUUAGGGCUUUCUAUUUUGUUUUGAUAAUCCAUUUUGGACUUUUCUAUUGGAAUAAUUCAAAAUUCUAAAAAUAAAAGAAUAAAUAAAAGAAAAUUACUAUUUGCACUUCAAAAUCUCAUUUUACAUUCUAAACUUUUGUAAUUAGAAAGAAAAAUUACACAAGAUAAGAUUUUGAAGUGCUAAUACCAGUUCCUAAAUAAAAACACUUCAAAACGAGGAAUUAGGCCAAUUAGGGGAUUAGUCGAUUCAAAUGUUAUUUCUUAUUAUUUGCUCUAAGUAUUGUUAUUCUUUUUUGUAUACAAGCGAUAGGUGGCGGUGGGGAACCAAACUUAGAAACCUUGAGUGCAUAUGUAAAUAAUGUUGGUAACUAGCUGAGCUACAAUCACCUUACAAGUCGUUAUUUACUUCUCUCCAUUCCUUUGAUCAUUAAUUUAGUUUGUUUCCUUCCUGUUAUCUAUAAAUGUGUGUUUUUUUUCAAUUGUUGAGAGUGAAUCUCAUAUCGGAGAAAGGAGAGACUUUGCAUGUGCUUAUAAGUAAUUGGGCUAUACCCCACAUUGCCAAUUAGUUUUAUGGUGAAACCUCAACUGUCUUCAUGAAAUCAGAGCUACUUGUCUACAUGUGAAGCACAACGGCCACACGCGAUUUACGUCAUCCGAUUUGUGUUGUCCACGUGUUAGGCUUAAAAAUUCGCCACACAUGAGGGGCAUGUUGAGAGGAAAUUCCAUAUCAGAAAAAUGAUGGACCUUGCAUGUAAUAAGUACGUAGUUUUUAUUUAUUUUAUUUAGGCCAAAUUUUUUGUGUGGUCCCUAUGGUGACACGGCAUUUUCAAUGUGAGCCUUGUGGUGAAAAAACUUUUAAUUAAACUCUUGUGGUGAGCCUUGUUAGCAAUUGAGGUCCAAAUCCUAACUUCCGUUAGUAUUCCGUUAAAUAAACUCACGUGACUAUCACAUGGAGGAUCAAAUUCAUCAUUUUAAUUCAAAUUACAUCCUAUUCCAUGGACAUGUAGUAUGAGUUAGUGUUUAACGGAAAUAAGAUUUCACAUAAAAUAAGCUUGAAUGCAAAAAGUGAAACAAAACCUGUAAAACCACGUCAAUGGCUAGGAGAAGAGGUGAAAGUGAAGUCGCGUCUAAUUUCUCAAGUAUGAUUUAAUUUCGUUUGGAAAUCAUAAUACUUCUAAUAAACCAUUGUUUUUUUCAAUGCCAAUGCGUCUUUGAUCAUGAGUUAGAGUCUUAGUCUGUCUUAAAUUUUCAUUCUUGUAUCAAUUUGUACCAGUCCGAAUGCAUAUAUGCCUUUCAAUUUUGUCUUUAAUUGGUAGUGUGGUUUGAUGCAUGCCGUAGUCAGCCAGUACACAAUCUUUCAAAUUUUUUUCUUAAUCUUCUUUGAAUGUUAGUUAUUUAAGUUUCUUACGCUCUUGAAGUUCAUAAGCGGAGGGCAGACGUGAAAAUUAAAUUUUCUGCAAUACCUUUCACCCAUUGUCUUUAAUUCUUUAAUUAUGCAAUGCCUUUCCCCCGUUCUCUUUAUUCUUUAAGUUAUUCUUGUACAUUAUCUCUCUUUUUCACUUGUUUCAAUUGGCUUUGUGCACUAGAAUUAGAUGCCAACUUUUUAACUCAAAAAAAACAAAACAAGUGUAUGUCAUAACCCACCCAAAAAGAACAAGUGUAGACCUAAGUCAUAUUAGAUGUCCAUGGAAUAGGAUGUAAUUUGGAUUGAAAUGGCAUAUUUGACCGAUCCACGUGAUAGUCACAUGAGUUUAUUUAAUGAAAGACAAACGGAAGUUUGGAUUUGGACCUCAAUUGCUAACAAGGCUCACUACAAGGGUUUAAUUAACAAUUUUUUUUUACCACAAGGGUCACAUUGAAAGUGGCGUGUCACCACAUGGACCACAAAAAAAAAAAAGGCUUUUUAUUUAUAAAACAAUCUUUUUUUUGCUGAAAAAAGCUCAUAAAUAUUUUGAAAAAGUAAUCGGUUAAUGCAGAUAAAAUAGUUCACCGAAUAACUUGCGGAUGAAAUUGACCAAACCUUUCUCAUAAAAUGAUAACCGCACCUUCUGCAACGACUUUUACCGCGCGACUGACCCAAAGGCCAAAAAUCAACACAUUCCAAUUCCGAUCAGCCCUAGAUACUAAACGCCUACGGCGGUUGUGGUGGUGGUGGGCAGGCGUGGUUGUCACCUUGCUAGUGAAUUUCACUUCCUACUCGUUCUCGGACGAUUCAUAGAGUUGUCGGCCGGGAUCACGAUCAACCCUAUGAAUCAAUUAGUACGGUCGUUCGGCGCUUCGACUUGGCAACGUGAUUGACUGAAGAUUAUAACACUAUUUGCGAUCAAGUUUUGGGAGGUUAAUAUUUACAAAUUAACAAGAAUGGCGACGAAUGGAGUUGAAACCCCCCCACCGGGGAAGCCGGAAGCUCCAAUCUUUUGCAUGCAACAACAAGCCGUCACCUCCAAAGGUUUUUGGAGGAAAGACAAUCCUUUAGACUAUCCACUUCCUCUAACAAUGGCUCAAAUCGUCCUCGUCGUUGUCAUCUCUCGAGCGCUUUAUUAUCUUCUGAGGCCUUUGGGACAAACCAAAUUUGUCUGCAAUCUCCUGGUAUUUAUAUAAAAAAAUACAUCACAUGCAUGCUUAUAUUUUUCUGGGUUUUCGGUUUGUCUGCAAUUCCAUGUCAAGUAUUCAUAAUAUUUGUCACUAUGAAAUAAAGGUUUGUUUAUGUUAUGCCUGCAAAUAAUCUUGUUGUUUAUAUAUUUUUUAUUGUUCUAAUAAUUUUAUGGACAUGCGUUGUCAAAAAUCAAUCAGGGUUGAAUCAACUUUGCAAAUUAAGUUGGGUACGUUGUUAAUUAGGGUUUUUUUCUUUUUUUUUUCUUUCCUUCUUUCCAUUUCCCCGUAAUUUCUAGAGGUUGUUACUGCUUUUUCAUAAUUUAGAGCGGGUCGUAUAGCUCAAUUCAACCAUAUUUCUGUCCUGAAAUUAAUUGUCUGAUAAUAUAACAUUGGUAUAUCAUAGUUUAAUCAAGUUUGUUAGAUUGAAGUCUCCAUAUAUAAUUUAACUUCAAGUUUUCGUUUUUGCAGGGUGGCAUUAUAUUGGGGCCCUCAGCGCUAGGGAAAACAAAGGUAGUAAGGGAGAAGCUAUUCAGAAGAAAAGAUGCUCCUGUGUUUGAGGUAAUAGCUCUAAUGGGCGUAGUCUACUCCAUGUUUAUAAUCGCGGUGAAAUUUGACAAAAACAUGGUGAGAAGGACUGCAAGGAAUGCUUGGAAAAUUGGUCUGCCUGGUUUUAUUAUUCCCUUAGUAAUAACCCUAUCUCUAGUUCACCCAAUAGGCACCACCCUUCCCGGAUUCAAAGGAGGAACAUUCUUCCUCUAUUUUAGUUUCUCUACUUUCUCCUUCACUUUCUUCCCGGUCAUAGCUCAGGCCCUGAGUGAACUCAACCUCAUGACUUCCGAGCUAGGUCAACUCGCCAUGUCGUCUUCUUUGGUCACUGAAGCCAUCCAGUGGUUGUCCACGGUUGCACAUAUUGUGUUCUCAAAAAGAAAUCCGAGCCACGGAGUCAUGGCUUUGGUUUCGCUGUUGGCCUUGACGAUUUUCAAUUUCUCAUUUUUAAGACCGCUUGUACUACUAGUGGUUAAAAAAACGCCCGAAGGAAAAGACGUGAAGGAGGGUUAUGUGGUUGCUAUACUGGUUGGGGUUUUGGCCAUGGCAUUGGUCUCCGAUGCCAUAGGUGCAACUCCAAUUACCGGCCCUAUACUUUUUGGGCUAGUCAUACCAGACGGACCACCUCUUGGUGCGACAUUAAUACAGAAGAUGGAGUUUGUGGUCUCCGAAUUUCUUCUUCCAGUGCUCUUUUUCCGUGUUGGAUUCAUGGUUGAUGUGUUUUCGUUUAGCGAUUGGGAAAGCUUUGGCAAACUUCAGCUUGUUAUUUGUUUGACGUAUGGAGCAAAGAUUGUUACAGUUACAGUUGCUGCAUUGUUCUGCAAAGUUAGGUUUAAAAAUAGCCUUUUGCUAGGAUUGAUAUUGACCAUCAAGGGUGUCGUAGAUAUUGUCCUUCUUACUCGAUGGAGGUCUAGUAUGGUAAGUAACAAUAUCACAAUGAAUUCUUUUUCUUUUCAAUAAUUCUAUUUAGACGCACAAAACUGACAUAUUUAGUGACACACUCUUUAGAGGUGUCAACUAUUGUAUAUAAGACCAAUAUGUUCAGACAGUGUGCUAGUAAAUUUAUGCAUCUCUAACUUGUAAAAUCAAAAUUCAGUCUAACACUCGAAUUUAAUGAAAGAAUAAUAGAUUUUGAGGAUGACAAUCUAACUUUUUUCUAAAUAUUACGUGCAGCUGCUAGAUGAACAAUCUUAUACUCAAAUCGCGCUCUCUAUGCUCACGGUGACCUUGAUCGCAACACCGGUGGUUCGAUUCUUAUACCAGCCACAAACACGACUUGGACCAUCAACCAAAAACUUACGCAUCAGAAAUAUCCAGUCAGCUCGAAACUACCAGGAGUUCAGUAUUCUUUGUUGUGUCCACAAUGAGGAAAGUGUCUGUAGCAUCACCACCCUCCUAGAAUCGUCUAAUCCAACAGAUGUGAGCCCCCUAAUCACCUACGUUGUCCGUGCAGUCGAGCUCAUUGGCCGAGCGGCACCCCUACUAGUCCCUUACAAGAAGAAGUAUCAGGAGGAAGCAAAUAAGAAAUUAAAGCACUCAAAUUCACCCACACAUCAAAUGAUGCGAGCCUUUUGGAAUUACUCGAUGAACUCGAAAGGACCGGUUUCAAUCCAAGCCUUCACUAUGAUCGCCCCUUACAAAUCAAUGCAUGAGACCGUUUGCCGUCUAGCGGAGGACAAUAACAUACCUCUGAUUCUCUUACCAUUCCAUGAAAACCACCAGUAUAUUGUUGGCGCCACUGUCACGACAGCGAUACGCCAAUUCAACAUCCAUGUACAAAAUUAUUCCCCCUCUACAGUUGGAUUACUAGUCGAAAGAGGCUUGUCAACUCGGUUAAGCGUGUCCCACUUUUCCUACAAUGUGGCAGUGUUUUUUAUUGGCGGGCCAGAUGAUCGUGAAGUGUUGGCCUACGCUUGGCGCAUGUCUGGCAACCCGGACGUGGGCAUCACGGUGUUCAGGUUUGUACUGCAGAAUAAAGUAAUUGUAGCCAACAAGGAUGAGGAGACAGAAGAGAUACUCGACCAGGCAUUGGUGGACGAGUUUAAGAUAAGGAACAUUGGGAAUGAUUGCGUGAUCUGGCGAGAUUUCGAGGUGGAUGAUAGUGUGCAGCUCAUGGACGCCAUUAGGAACUCGCAAGGGGAUUAUGAUCUUGUGUUGGUUGGGAGGCGGCACACGGAUAUGUUAUUGAGGGAUGAAGAAAUGACAGAAUUUGUGCAGAAUCCGGAACUGGGAGUGAUAGGUGACAUGCUUGCUUCCCCGGAUUUUUGCGGGGGAAUGGUCAAUGUGUUAGUUUUGCAAGAAAGCAAGGAAUUGAGCAACGGAGCUUUUCGUAGUGGCUCCAUGAGAGGGUCGGAAAGUAAAUUUAAGUUUCCUGGGUAACAAUUUAUUCCUCAUGUCACAAAAUUUGUGUUAUACAGUUUUUAGAAUAUCGACAAAAUUGUCGAAAUAUUAAAAAAAUUAGAAUCCAUAUGGAAACCAGAGAUAAUACUAAAAUGCAGACUUCACCUUUUGUCAGCGAGAUACCAGAAAAUUAGUGAAUAUUGACGAUAUUUACCUAUUCAUUGUGAAAAUUUUGAUGAAACAAACUGAAGAUUCCAAAAUUUUAAAAUUUCUUUAAGAGAUUUCUCCAAAAUUUCAACUAGAUUUAAACUGAAUAAGAUGAAUGAGUGAUACCCACCCAAAAUUAGAGCUUUACGUCUUCAGAUUAACACCUAAUCUCUCCCCCUUUAAGUCUGCGGCAUUUCUUUGUUGCUGGCCUCCAUCUUCAAGUCGUGUAUCUGUAUUGCCGACUUGGAGUUUCAAAUCCUUUAAUAUCUUUAUUAUUUAUGUUAAUAUCAUUUUAUAUUAAUGGAGAAUCAACUAAUUACAUUAGUUGGAGUGAAUUUCUGUUGAGAUUGUUCUCGUUUGAAUUAAUUUUGAUAAAUAUAUUCUUUGUGGUAUAAUGUUCUCAUUCCUGCAUAUCACAGACAAAAAUAUCUUUUACAUAGUUUUAACCACUAAUGUUUGUUCAAUACAUGUAUUAUGGCUUGAUUAAGAUUUGCUAAAGUUUUAUCUUUGAUUUCACGUUUUUUAGCAAAUUUUCAUCAUUUCCACUGAAACCAAUUGAUGUUAGUAUAUUCCUUGAUAUAAAUUUGAAUAUCGACUCAUCGAUACCAAUAUUUUAUACACACGUUAUAUAUACCAAAAUUUUGGCAAUGCAUUGCAGGAGGUAGGCAGAGGAGGAACGGCUCGCGGCUAGUUAAGUUUCUCCUUUCCCCUAGCUAGUUUACUUAAUUCAUUUUGCAAAAAUUAUUUCUAGGUUAAUGUUGUAAACUAUGUAAGGUAUGUUGUGCUAGGAUAGCACCAAACCAAAUGGAACCAACUCAAGCUAACCCACAGGAAAUUUAUCAAAUGAAAUGCAAUAACAAAAAUAUAAAAGACACCAAGAUUUUAACGAGGUUCCUCAACAGUCAGUGUAACUGAAGUACGUCCUCGAAGCAUAGGAGCUCACCCAAUAAUCCACUAUCAACUAAUUGGGAGUUUACAAAGUGUUGGCAAUCUCACAACCCAAAUAACCCAAUACACCCAAUAGCUCUCACACACCACAAAAACAAAUAGAGAAAGAAAUAUAAUGAAUAAUUUCUUCUCUAUACAUGUAGCUCAAAGCUAUUACAACAACAACUACUUUGGUGGAUGAUUACUAACCAAAUGAAGCAGCAGCUUCUUCUUCCUUUUGGGCUCUCUGCAAGUCUCCCUACUCUCUGCAGAAAAAUGAGCUCUCACUUCUCUCUUAUUUUCCAUCCGAAGAAAACCAAUAAUUAUGGCUUUGAAAAAGCCACAAAACAAGGAAACAUAAUCAUGAUGCCUCAUCAUCAUGAUGUUCCCUCAUCAUUUUGUCUUUCAUUCUUUUGUUUUGUUUAAUAGUCGAAAGUGGAUGCCAAGUUGGUCACUAAUUUGGCCACUAUCCAACAAUCUCCACCUUGGCCAAAUUCCAAAAUCACCAUGAUAAGCCAACCAACACAAAAACACUCCCAAACACUAGCAAGAGAACAACUCAUGCCAAGCCAAAUGCUCCAAAACUCAUACUGCUCAUCACCUUCUUUAUAUAGGCAAAAUGUGAGCCAAGUUCAAGCAAUGAACAAACUUGGCUACACCAACAACCUUAGUCAACAUAUCAGCGGGGUUGUCUUUAGUUGGAAUCUUCUGGAGAAUGAUUUCUCCUUCACCAGCAACUUCACGAACAAAGUGAUAACGCAUAUCUAUGUGCUUGGUCCUCGCAUGGUGAACCUGAUACUUAGCCAAAUAAAUGGCACUCGUCACUAUCACAAUGCACCUCCACCUGCUUCUGAUCAACCCCUAAAUCUCUAAUCAGCCCAUGUAUCCAAAUGGCCUCCUUUAUAGCUUCAGCAACUGCCAUAUAUUCAGCCUCUGUAGUAGACAAGGCAACAGACGACUGCAAAAUGGACCUCCAACAAACUGGCCCUUUAGCCAUAGUAAACACAUAGCCUGUAGUAGACUUCCUUCCAUCCAGAUCACCUGCAUAAUCUGAAUCAACAUAACCAACUGCAAAAUGACCAAUACCAGAGUCACCUCUCUCAAAGCAUAAACCAACAUCUCGAGUACCAUGGAGAUACCUCAAUAUCCACUUAGCUGCUUGCCAAUGCUCUUUACCUGAAUUAUGCAUAUAUCGACUCACCAUGCCAACUGCAUGAUGAGCAAUAUUCGGUCUAGAGCAUACCAUUGCAUACAUCAAACUACCAACCAAAUUUGCAUAUGGCAUAUUUUUCAUUUGCAGCUUCUCUUUAUCAGUUUUAAGACAUUGUAGAGAACUCAAUUUAAAAUGAGGAGCCAAUGGGGUAUUAACCGGUUUGGUUGAAUCAUGAACUCCAAACUUCCGAAUCAACUUCUCAAGGUAUUGUCUUUGAUUCAAACUGACCAAACCCUUCGCUCUAUCUCUAGUGAUCUCCAUACCAAAGAUCUUCUUCGCUUCAUCAAGAUCCUUCAUCUCAAACUCAUUCUUCAUUUGCUUCUUCAAAUUUUCAAUAUCUUCAACAUUCUUUAAGGCAAUCAACAUAUCAUCAACAUAUAUCAACAAAUAAAUGAAAGACCCAUCUUGCAACUUCUUGAAGUACAUAUAAUCAUAUUGACUUCUAGAAUAAUUUUGGCCUCUCAUAAAUUUAUCAAACCUCAAAUACCAUUGCCUUGGAGAUUGCUUCAAGCCAUAAAGUGAUUUCUUCAAUUUGCAAAACAAAUUCUCAUUCCCUUUCACUAUAUACCCAUCCGGUUAACACAUAUAAAUCUCUUCAUUCAAAUCACCAUGUAGGAAAGCUGUCUUCACAUCAAGUUGCACAAGCUCAAGAUCAUACUGUGCAAUAAGAGCUAACAUAAUGCGAAUUGAGAAGUGCUUCACAACUGGAGAAAAGAUUUCAUUGUAGUCAAUGCCCUUCUUUUGUGCAUGCCCUUUAGAAACUAAUCUUGCUUUAAAUCUCACAUUGCUUUUCUCAUCAGCAUAUUCCUUCUUGGCAUAGACCCAUUUGCAACCGAUAGCUUUCUUGCCCUUAGGCAAUUUAGCUAACUCCCAAGUCUUGUUCUUCAAGAGAGAAUUCAUCUCAUCACCCAUGGCAUUGCACCACCUCUCAUUUUCUUCACUCUCAAUAGCUUCCUCAAAAUUGGAUGGAAUCUCAUCAGUGAUAAUAGGAAGAGCAAAAGAAACAUAGUCACUAUACCAAGCUGGCUUGGUAAUUUGUCUAUUUCCUCUGUUCUUGGCAAUAGACUCUUGAGGUGAAACUUCCUCUUCAACUUGAAUAGAAUAUUCAAGUUCAACUUCUUCAACAUCCUCAUGGUCUCCAACUUCUUUACUUGUAAUGGCUUCGACAUCAGCGGAAAUAGGAUUUGAAGUACCAGAGGCAACUUUCUCAAGCUCUACCUGUUGGACAUCUUUCACAUUCUUCUCAGAGUCUUUGAAUAUACUUUCUUCAUCAAAUGUCACAUCUUUACUGAUUACAAGUUUCUUCGUCUCUGGGCACCACAACCUGUAACCUUUGACACCACUACUAAAACCAAGAAAGAUAGCAUUUUUUGGCUCUAGGAUCAAGUUUAUUUUCAGUUACAUGAAAAUAAGCAGGUGAACCAAAAAUACGAAUAUGAUCAUAAUCAAAAGAAGGUUUUCCAGUCCAUACCUCAAUUGGUGUCUUACCCUGAAUAGCAGCUGAGGGUAACCGGUUGAUGAUGUGACAUGCAUAAGUAACUGCCUCUACCCAAAACGACUUGCUCAAACCCGACUGAGACAACAUGCAUCUAACCUUUUCAAGCAAGGUUCGAUUCAAUCUUUCUGCAACUCCAUUUUGUUGUGGAGUUCCCUUGACACUGAAAUGUCUUACAAUCCCUUUUUCUUUGUAAACUUUCAAGAAGGGGUCAGAUGUGUAUUCACCACCAUUAUCCAAUCUCAAAAUCUUAAUCUUUCUCCUAGUCUAGUUCUCAACCAUUUUCUUCCAACCCAAGAAAAUGUUUAAUACCUCACUCUUGUGCUUCAUAGUGUAGACCCAAGACCUUCUUGAAUAAUCAUCAACAAAGGUCACGAACCAAUGUCUACCACUAAAAGAGGAAGUCUUUGUAGGACCCCAAACAUCCGAAUGCACAUAAUCAAGAAUGCCCUUCGUCUGAUGUACAGCAGUACCAAACUUCACUCUAGUUUGCUUCCCCAAGACACAAUGCUCGCAAAAAUCAAGCUUACAAGUCAUGGCACCUUUUAGAAGACCUUGUUUCACAAGCCCUUGUAGAGCUUUCUCACCGGCAUGGCCUAAUCUCAUAUGCCACAGUCUAGUAGUAUCAGAAUCGGAUGUGCCCAUAUUUUCUGAGACUACAGAUGCUUCACUUGUCACAGUGCUUCCUUGCAAUAAAUACAAAUUGCCACAUCGAGGAGCUUUCAUCACAACAAGUGCACCAUAAGUAACUUUCAAUGUCUGUCCAUCUGAAUGAAACCUGAAGCCCUUGGAUUCCAAAGUACCCAAAGAAAUAAGAUUUUUCUUCAAAUUCGGUACAUACCGAACACCUGUCAACUUUUUAACCAUGCCAUCAUGCAACUUCAAACAAACUGUACCAAUCCCUUUUGUUGUGCAAGGAUUGUCAUCUCCCAUGAACACAACGCCACCAUCAAACUCUUUCAAGCUUGAAAACCAAUCCUUGUGAGGAGUCAUAUGAUGAGUACAACCCGUAUCUAACACCCACUUAGUAGCACAAUCAAAUGAUGAAGAAGUGGUUAAAGCAAAAUCAGAAACAUCUGUUUCAACCUCAGCAACAUUAGCUUCAGAACUUUCUUUGCCUUUGGUCUUCAAUCUGGGACAAUCUUUCUUCCAAUGACCCUUAUUACGACAAAAGGCACAUUCAUCCAUUUCCAAAGGUUUUCUACCUUUAGAGUUUCCUCUAGGUCGAGACUGUGAUUUUUUCCUACUAGAAGAUGAUCUUCUCUCCGAUGAUCUACCUCUAACAAAUAAAGCUUCAGAGGUACUAUCAUGAUUUUUAUCUCUAUGCCUCAUUUCAUAAUUCAUUAAGGCAUUUGACACAUCUUCAAAUUUUACAGUUUAUUUACCAUGCAUAAUAGUGGGCUUUUUUUUUUUUUUUUUUUUCAACUGUAACAACUACCAACUCUUUCUGUUCCCAUAUUUGACUGAUUAUGUCAAUGUCCGUCGGUUUUCGGAGAUGGCCUUAUUAAUACCGAGUUUCAUUUUCAAUUUUUUUUGGAUGAUUCACAGGGUCGAGAUCACGAUCAAACGUACAAACCUCAAAUCAAUAUUUGAGGUGAUCGUGUAAAGGUGGGGAUUGAGGAUUUUCUGUAUCAGGUCGGAUCGAGGUACAAAAAAUGGAUGCCUUAAGCAGUUACCUUCACUCCCACCAUGUGAAACAUGGUGAUGAAAGAGUUUGCAUAUCUCAGCAGGCAACUGCUUCUAGCGGCGCCAUUUGUGGGGAAGAUAAUCCUCUAGAUAUAUUAUCCAUAUUCUCUGAUGAUGGCUCAAAUCAUCCUCAUCGUCAUCACCUCUCGGGUGCUUUAUUAUUUUCUUAGGCCGUCUGGACAAACCAAAUUUGUCUGCAAUCUACUGGUAUGGCCAUCAAGCUCCCAUGCCACUAAUAAACUAUCAUGUCUCAAUUAGCGUAAUCUAAUUUGAAGUUUUUUUCCGGGGUGUAAUUUUUCAAUUUUUUAUCCUUGUUACAAAUUUAAUUUGAUCCACCAUUUUUUCCCUCAUUUUUUCGGGGUGGUAUUAUAUGGGGUCCCUCUCUUUUGGGGCACCAUAAGGCAUUUAAGGACAAACUAGUAUUCAAAGGAAGAGAGUUUCCAUUGGUUGACACAGUAGCUGCGCGGGGCGCAAUAAAUUCCACCUUCCUAAUUACAUUGAAAAUUGACCUAGCCAUGGUUAGGACACAAGAGAAUGCCUGGAAGAUUGGUCUAGCAGGCUUCCUUUUUCCAAGCGCUGUUACCUCAAGCCUCGUCUACCCGCUAGCCCGAUCCAUUCCAGGACUCACAGGAGGGAUACUCUUUCUUUUCUUUACUACAUUUUCUUUAUCCUUCACUUAUUUUCCUACCGUGGCUGAGGCCUUGGAUGAACUCAACCUCAUGACUUCCGAGUUAGGGCAACUCGCCUUGUCUUCUGCCAUGCUCAACGAUGUGAUGCAAUGGUUCUUCAUGGCAAUACGUUACAUAUACAGCCACGGAAUCGAGGCCUUGGUUUCCUUUGUUGGCAUUGCUGUCCUUCACUAUCUAUGUCAUACGGCCGACUAUACUUUCAAUUAUCAAGAAAAUACCCAAAGGAAAAGAAGUGAGUGAAAGUUAUGUGGUUGCAAUACAACUUGGAGUUCUAGUCAUGGCAUUUAUCACCGACGCCUUAGGCACAAAGCCUACUACGGGUGCUAUAAUUCUAGGGUUAGUCAUACCAAAUCGACCACCUCUUGGUACAGCAUUGAUAAAAAAGACAGAAUUCAUGGUCUCCGAAUUUCUUCUCCCGGUGUUCUUCUUUUGUGCAGGCCUCAGUGUGAAUGUGUAUUCGAUUCACGAUUGGGAAAGUUUCAGCAAACUUCAAGUCUUGAUUGUUGAAUCCUAUGUCACAAAAUUUUUGGGAGUUACAUUGGCUGCAAUGUGCUGCAAAAUUAAGUUCAAACAUAGUCUGUUGCUCAGCAUGAUCAUGAGCAUCAAGGGUUUAAUAGAACCUUCCAUUUACAGUCGCUGGAGGGUCCUUAAGGUAUCCUACUCUUUCUUAUAUCUUUUUCCUCCUUCUCUUUGAUACCCCACCAACUUAAGGAGCGUAAUAAUUUUCUUGUAACGAGUACUAAUUUACAGUAUCUGCUACAUUGCCGGUCAUAUUAUAGACAAUGUAACAAAUACUACAAUUGAUACUCAUGGACAACCUGUCCUUUUUAAGGGACCAGUAGAUGUUGUUGACGAAAAAACUUAGAGUACACAACUCUAACACAAGUGUUGGAGAGACAACAUAAGUAAACAAAUUACUUGUAUUAUACACACAAAAUAUUACAACACUCACAAGGACACAACUUUAGAAGCAAUGACACUCACUCACUUUCUAGAGACACACUCUUGAUUACUCACACUCCUACAAGACUAUUCUUGCUUCUCACUCUCACUUGGUUGCCUUCUUGAUUGGUUGGUUACAUACACACACCUAUUUAUAGGCAUGUUUGCCGACUUCACUAGCACUUUCUAGUGCAUGUUCAUGCACACACUGCACCGACAUAUGGCUUUUCAUAAUAGCCACAUUGUACAAGCUGCUAAAACUUUCUAGCACAUGAUUAUACACACCCACCCACCGACUUUCCCUUUGCCCACCGACAUGGGCAUUACACAAUGGCCACACAAUUGUACAAAUAGCUAGAUCUUUCUAACUAGUGAUCAUGCACUGCCACCGACCUGCUUUCCUAAUUGGCCUUAUGUUUUCCUAGUUUCUAGUACAUUCUAAUUACAAACAAACAUACUUAAUCAUGGCUAGAAACGUCUAGCACAUUUGCAUACACCGACCACCUUUAGAAUUGCUUGCUAGAAUCUUCUAGAAUCCAAACAUCAAUUGGGCUGGUGUUGAUUUUCAACAGAUGUAAACGCCAUAUUUACAAUCCAUUGUUUUGGGUUCCUAAUUGAUAUUAAUUGCAGCAAAUGGAUCAACAAUCUUAUACUCAAAUCAUCUUGUCUUCGCUGGGUCUGACCAUGGCCAUAGCACCAUUUAUACGAUUCUCGUGCAUACUUCAUGUACACCUCAGACAAUCAAGUAGCAUACACGACUGCAUUAGAAAUAUUCAAUCAUUACUGGCAAGCAACUCGGAAACAUUUCAAAUCCUUCGCUGUGUCCACAACGAAGAAAGUGUACGCAACAUGAUCACCCUCCUAGAGGCGUCAAACCCAACAGAAGCAAGCCCGAUUUGUGCCUACAUUUUCCAUGCAGUCGAGCUCACUGUCAGCGCAGCACCACUACUAGUCCGUCACACGAAACAGAAGAAGAAAUUUACAAACACAAGUGUACCCACGAAUGUUCAUAUAAUGCGAGCCUUUGAGAAUUACUCGAAAAAUUCGAAAGGGCCGGUUGUAAUUGAAGCCUUCACUAUGACCGCCCCCUAUAUAAGCAUGCAUGAGACGAUUUGCCAUGAAGCCAAUGACAAGAAAGUUCCUCUAAUUAUCAUACCAUUCCAUGAAAACCACAAGGAUGUGAUUGCUCCCAACUGUCCGACUAAGGCAAUACGCCAGUUCAACAUUAACGUACAAUCAUAUGCUCCAUGUACAGUUGGGAUACUAGUUGAUAGAAGCCUGUCUUGUCGGCUGAGCUUGAAUCACUUCUCUUACAAUGUUGCGGUGUUUUUCAUUGGCGGGCCUGAUGAUCGCGAGGCAUUAGCUUACUCAGCACGCAUGCCGGGUAAUACCAAAGUUUCCAUCUCGGUGUUCAGGUUUACUUUGGCGGAGACAGUAAUAGAAGAAGAGCAGCUGAAAGAAACGAAGCUCGACCAGGCUUUGGUUGACGAGUUUAAGCUAAGCAACAUUGGGAAUGAUCACUUGAAUUGGCAUGAAAUGGAGGUGGCUGACGGCGUGCAGCUUAUGGAUGCCAUUAGGCAGUCACAUGGCGAUUACGACCUUGUGAUGGUGGGACGGAGACACUUGGAAAUGUCACCAAGGAAUGAAGAAACGGUAGAUUUUAUGGAGAACGCGGAGCUGGGAGCGAUCGGCGACAUGCUUGCUUCCUCAGAUUUUUGUGGUGGAAUGGUAAAUGUGUUGGUGAUGCAAGAAAGUAGGGAAUUCGUACUUCGAACCGCUUUGAUGAAAAAUUUAACGAGGUAUUAUAAGUUGACAUACAUUGCAAAACCAGCUUGCAGGGGACAAACUAGCUAGUCACUUGAUAGAGUGGGUUUCGCAGGAUCUAUAGGAUGCGAAGACCUCAAGUACUACUUAGACCAUAGGCUAGCUAGCUUAGGAGAAUCAAAUAUCGGCCAGCUAGUAAAUUUUCAAUUUUAGUGUAAUUUUGCAGACUUUGGAUUUUGAUGAUGAAUAUUCCAAGCCAUAAGUUUUGCGCUAUGCCUUCUAAAUUCAGGAAAAGAAAGUGUCAUUAAAUAAAAUACUAAAAACUCCAGUUUCAUUUUUAUUAUUGAAACUUUCAUUUUCCUAAAUUUUUGUACAUACAUACGUGUUUAAUGAUUGAUGUGUACACAAAAAAAAUUUAAAAAUUAAUAAAAAUUAAAAAAAAAUUUACUUUAAAAAAAAAAAAUUUAAUGUCCACAUGACGCCAGAUUGGCACGGGGCACCCAUUCAUUGUCUUUGUCAGCACCACAUCAUCAUUUAACGGCGAUUCUGAAGAAAAAUUUAACAAAUGAAUGAAAGUAUCGCAGAAUUAUGACAUUACUCCAAUUCCAUUUUUAUUAUUGAAACUUUCAUUUUCCUAAAUUUAUGUAUAAAAGGAAAUUACUUAUGUUCGCAUUUAAUGAUUGAUGUAUACACAAAAAUGCAUGCAUAAGAAAAUAUGUAUAAGAAGGUGUUUGAAUUAAUAUUUAACAUUGGGCUUUAUGAAAUAAGGCCCAAGGGUGUCACAGCAAAAUGAGGACUUGCCUUAAGCCCAGCAAAGAGGCUUGAAGCAAAUUGAAGCCUUUUCAGCCAAGGCAUAGGCCAUGUGCCUAAGGAUGAAGUGACAGAUGACAAAGAUCAACUCACCACCAGCCAAAAAACACUUUCUAAUGGCAUUACAAGUAAAUAGAUGAUGACUCACUACCCUCUGAGAGCCCUCGGCCAAGAGUAAAACUAAAGCAGUCGGGCCAAAUUGUCUAUAAAAGGAGAAAGAGACAGAGACAAGGACACUCAAACAACCAAUCAAUCAACAUACAAACACUGCUCUCAAGCCAAUUCCACCUAGAAAGCUUAAACUUGUCCAUAUUCAGUCCUUUUUAGCUAUAUUCCCCUUAGAAAAGCCAUCUUUUGUCUACUAUAAAAGCUCUGCUACAUUCCCUUAGUGUUGUAGUAUCGAUUCCCUCGUGUAAAACCUAUUUAGCAUCCAUCCUUUUUAGCAUAUAACAUCUGUAAACCCAAAGAAAAGUGGCUGCAAGAAGUUCAACUUUGUCCGACAAAGUUAAAUUUUGCCCAAGUCUCUUUAUUUAUACUUUAAUUUAGUAGAUAUUUCGCUUAAUGAACUUUUCAGUAUGUAUUCAAGUUGUUUCCACCUUUUUUCUACCUAAGAGCCCCAUUUGCAUUCGAAUAUGGUUAAGUUAAUGGAUCUACCUUCAUUAAAGUGAACUGUAAUCGAGGAAAUAGUAGUAAAGGGGCCUGAACUCCCUUUGUUUUGGGUGUACAAGAUUAUGAACUAAAAGUCCUUGUUUACGAGGCAAGAAAAAGAACUUAAUGUAGACUUAACACAUCUGUGACAAUCCUUUGAUAACAAGAAGUUUAAGUAACUUGGGGCGCAAAUAAUCAACUUAAAUCACAUUUGUUCAACAUCUGUUAUACUAAGAUAGCAGUGGCACGCCAAGAUCCUUGUUAGUUUUGAUUGUGAACCUCAAGGCCUACACCUAAGGCCCCACAAAGGCACCUGUCAAAACUAACUACUAACGUAUCUUGCAGUACACUAAGUAAGAGCAAGCCGGACAACACACCAAGUGCCAAACCCCUGGGGAGCUGUGCGAGGGGAAAUCCUUUAGGAAUUGGAUCAUCUCCUGAGCAGGAGAUCAGUAUCUUCCUGACCCACUAACACGGGGCAUUGAAUUUUGAUUCAACGGCUACAAACAUUGAACUCCUCUAAAAGUUAUAAUAAUUGUAACCGUUGGAUCAAAAUUCAACGGUCCGUGUUAGUAGGUCAGGAGGAUCCUGAUCUCCUGCUCAUGAGAGGAUCCAAUUCCAACCCUUUAGCCCGAACAGAAGGCUCAUGACUUUGCGUACACGAAAAUUACAUAUAUACGUGUUCAACGAGAAGAGUAUCCUCUUAAUUCCGAGAUUGUUUCUGUGCAUUGGGCAUAAGAAAAAAUCCAGCCCAUAAGUCUUUGGAGAAAAUUUUUGCAAUGGAUCUUUUCUUCCUUUUGUUGUUAAAACUUUUUAGUGUCUACCAUUAUGCCUUUUUUUCGGCCUUUAUCUAGUUUGGCAAGAAUGUUGUGACCGUUAGGAAAUUUAGAAAUUGUUGCCUAAUCAAGGGUUUGGAGUUUCUUGUAAAAAAUGACCUUGUUUUUUACUUGCAGCUAGUAUUUCUUCUUCCCUGUGGUUUUUUAUUUAUAUAGUUGUAACCACAUUUAACUAUUUAUCAAUAAGUUGAUUUAACUAAUUAUCAAUAAGUUGUUUAUUUAUACGUGUGUUUCUUUAAAAACGACGCUUAAUAAAUUAUAUGAACACGUAUUGAAUUUUUUUUAAGUGUGACGGUCAUAUUAUUAUGUAUUGUUACUGAUUCACAUUUUAUAACACACGUUAAUUGGUAACCGUCAUACUGAAAAACUUCUCCACAGACGAUGAAUAGUGGUUGAAAAUUGCCCUUGCUUGCAAUAUUUAGUUUGUUGGGUGUGAUUUUUAAAGCUCUCACUUGAGCGUCCACAUCAGUAAAACAGAGGAAUAACAAGAAAAAGAUGAUUUCAUUAAACCAUAAGAUUUCUUUAACACGUUGCUUAAAAGUACAAAACAAUCUAUGAAUCAAUGAAAGCAUGUCUAUCUAUGACUAAAUCAGAUGGUGAGCUCAGUUUUUGAAAUCCUAGCACCACAUCCUCUACAUCGGCUUUGAUGUAUAAAAAAAGAACAAUAAAACAGAGCAAGAACUAGGCCCCCAAAUGCAGGGGAACUCAAGACAACAAUGUAAAAUCAUACAACUGAAAUAAGGGAAAAAUGAAAACCCGGUAACCGGGUUUUUACAAAAGUUGCUGUGGAUACAAUCUUAAGAUUCUUAACACACAGGCAGAUCCGCCGGUGGUGGCUCGAUCGUUUGCAGUUCCCCAACUCCAUUGUCCACCAAGAACACCAUGGCCAAACCCCAGUUGAUGUGAACAUCCAAGUGACAAUGCAUUAUCCAUGCACCUGCAUAUAUCAAACGUAUUUGACAAAAAAAAAAACAUAUAUUAAACUUAUAAGUAUAAACAAAUCCUAGAAACGUUGCUAUGAGUUUGAAUAGUUUAGAAUAGAAUAUCGUCUUGUGAAAGAAAAAUAAUUUGAAAUUGUUACCUGGAUUGUCAGCGACGAAUCGGAUAACUGCCCAUCCAUUCGCAGGCACUGCCACUGUGUUCCUCAUAGGUGGAUCAACAAGGUUGAACUUUUUGGUAUCGGUCUUGGCAUUGAAAUUUCCAAAACCUUCGGCAAGGAUGUAAAAAUCGUAUCCGUGAAGAUGGAUAGGAUGGUUUUCGGGUGUGACGAUGCUUGUGUCCUGCAGCACAACCUGCACCCUUGAUCCAUACUUCAAGUUGUAUCCUCUAGUGCCCGACAAAGGCUGCCAUAGAGAACUGCUCACAUUGCCCGUGUAGUCGAAUUUCUUCGGAGGGUUUGCUGGAAAAUCAUUGGUGAAAACUCCAGGGAUGUUUUGUUGGUAAGCCUGAAGGAUUGACAUGUUAUUUGGAAGCACGAAGGACACAUUGUUCAUGCUGGCAGUGAAGCGUGUCCCGUUUGGGCCUUGGCACCUUCUGGCUCUGAAAUGUUUAGGGCAAUUGUUGAGUCCAAGACCGAUAGUGAAGAAGAGGUUUUCGUCGAUUUCAGUUGGGACUUCAACUUUUCUUGGACUUCUGAAACUCUUGGUGAAAGCAGAAGCAGUGUUUGUGUCAUUGAAAGCAGGGAGUUGUGGCAUAAUCGGUUUAGCUGUUGGACCGUUUUUGCAACUAGGGCUGCAAGGGGCAGACUUGUAUUCAAGAAUGGCGGUGGUGGUGGUGUUGCCGAAUGCUGCAUUUUGCGCGCUGAAAUAAGCACUUGCCGCCAAGUAGUACCGGGCCGGUGGCUGGUCACCCGUGAUUAAAACAUCGGUGGUCUGCCCAGGGCCUAGCAUGAGUACCGUGGUAGUGAAAGGUUUGGUAUAGGAGGCAUCAGCACUAACAACAGUGAGUUUGUGGUUGGCCACAGAGAAGAAAAGAGGUUGGUUGAGGCCAGCAUUGAUGACUCUAAGAAGGUUGGUCUCGCCGGAGUCUAUAGGAACUAUGACAGUGUCUGCAAAAAUCACAAUAAAAAUUUAUCAAUUCAUAAGUGGUACAUACGACUUACUUAUUACAUCAAUUAUUAGGGUCAGUUUAACUUAGUUGAUUAUUGCACGUAAAACUUUUAUUGUGGAAUUACCUUUGCUUGAGCAAUUGUAAAGAUCACCAGGUUGACCAUUGAUGGUGUAUGCAUCAGAAACAUUUGGAGCUCCUCCUGUCCUAGUAGCCUGCCUUAUAACAUCGAUAGGGUUAGCGUCCCACCAUUCACCGAGAAGAAGGGUUGUUUCGCGUUUCGGUUUAGUGAAGGGGUAGGAGUCUCCUUGUUUAGGAUGAAUGAUGAGUGCGCCGUAAACGGUGGCUCUAAGCCAUGAGCUGUGAGCAUGCCACCAGAGAGUACCUUCUUGCCCUUGAAUUGUAAAUCGGUAGGUAUAGCUUCCUCCUGGCCUAAUCGGGCACUGAGUCACAAAUUCAGGCCCAUCUGCCCAUCCAGUUCUAAUCUGCCUAAUCCCAUGCCUGAAAUGAAGAAGAUAAGGCAUGUUGAUUAAUUUCUUCGGAGAAAUGAAGAAGAUAAAGAUUCUCUUGCGAGCCUUUCUGACAACAUAAGAAGCAUGAGAGUAAAAACUCGUAUUCAUGUGCAUGCACGCAGGCGUGUUAGUUACCAGUGAAUAGUGACAUUGUAUCGAGCUUUGUUUGUAACUUUGAUGAAAAGAGUGUCACCAUUGUUUGCUUCCAAGGUUGGUCCAGGGUACUGUCCAUUUACUGUGAUGGAGUUGUGGGUUUUGCACAGCCUCUUCACUUUAGUUGCUUGAAUCUGUAUUCCAUUUAAAUAUUAAAUAUAGUGAGAAAUGAGUACGUAAGAAGAAGAAACGUACGUGAAAUACAAGAGAUGUAAAAAUUAAACUUACAACAAACUCAUGCUGGUGAGUUUUGGGCUCUGCCGAACACAUUGUCGAUGAAGCCAAUAGAAGGCAAAGGCCGAAAAGGCAUAAGGAGAGUCGGAUUUUGUUGCUGAAAAUGGCGUUGAGUGCCUCCAUCUCGAUGGAUUAGCUAGGCUAUGAGCUCGCUGAUGAACCCUUAACCUUUGAAUGAUCGAGAGAAUGUGGUAGUUUGAGGUGAUAAAGUGGGGGGAUGCUUUUAUAGUAAAACUUUGAGGAGAGAGGCUGGCAGAUUAGGUUUUGAUUCAAAAAAUGGUCAGAGCCUUGAGCAAACUUACUUCAACCCGGUAAGAGUUGUUGCACCCACUGGCCUAUCUCUAAUGCAUUAUGUCUCAAUGCAGCUUGCUUCUCAAGUCUUCUUUCUGGGAUUGAAUAAUUCAAUAAGAGUAAUAUUAGAGAGAUUAAAUUUGUAGAUAAAGUUUUGAAAACUAAAGGAUAUGGAAGUUGAUGAUUGAUUUAUUAUUUACACGUUGAUAAACAUGUUUAUUCUUAUUGGUGACAUGUUAUUUAGUUUACAAAUUUAAUUAGUCUUUCAAAUUUGAUCUCCCUAACAUUACCCAUUAAUAUUGGUUUUUUUUUUCAUAUAUGUUAAUGCAACUAGAAAAAGCGUAAAGUUAAUCCUACUUUUUUCCCCAAACGUAAGGACAAUCGUAAUGAUGAAGAAGACCAAAAUUAAAUUAGAAACAUACUUAUAAGUCAAACCCAUUGUUCUAAUCAACCUUAAACCCUCAAGCAAUCCUUUGAUAAAACGACAUUAGUAUAGUGAUUUUAUGUGGCAUCACGCAAAUGGAGCUAGCACUCAGAUUCAAGCACAUAAUGAAUCAUUAUGCUGAACACAUGAUGAAUCAAGAUAAUUAAAUCGAUAUUUUUGGUCUCUCCUUUGGCUAGCUAAAAUUAUUUUCGUUUCUAAAAAGGUAAGGUUUAUGUUUCCUUUCUAUUUUCAAGCAUUUUUUAAAUUUUUUUUCUUUUAAUAUGAAUGGUUAGGUUUAUUUACUAAAUAACAUCGAGGUUUUCUGAAAAAAAAAACGAUGGAGGUUAGAAGAAUCAAGAGGGAAAGAGUUUACCGACUAAAAAUAUUUGCAUGAAUUCGUCAAACCAGCUUUUUCCUUCCUAAUGUGGUAUGGGAAAUCAAUAAGCAAUCUGCCUAAAGUCCAUGCUUUAGAGAAAAGUGGAAAAGUAAAUUAGCUUGAGAAAACUAAGUCGGAAAUAUGGUUGUUCUUUUCAUUGUUUUCAAAUAUUAAUUUUUCAUAAAAAUUACAGUUUACCCAUGUUUCAUUUGAUGAUGAUGUUGUGAUAUAAUAGGUUUUGUCAUAUUUUAUCAUUUCAUAAAUAUAUGAAUUAUUAUGCUCACGUUUGUUAAAAGGGAGUUUUAACGAACCAUAGAUUCAAUCGAAAUCAAAACCUCAAGUAAGGUUACUUAAUAAACUCAUCAUAAAAUCAACAUUCAGAAGUAAUUAAUUGAAUUAAUUAUAUUUUUCAAUAUCUAUGAUUACACUAACACCACAAAAAAAAAAAUGUUAAAGAAAUUAAAAAGCCCACAAAGCCACAAUGAGGUUGUACUAGGUCACGAUCGAUGAUAAAUUAGUUGGUUAGCUACAACAAGAAGAGAUGAUCGAGUGCAGGGAAUUUGAGCUAGGGUUUAUUAAUUUAUUAUUAGUUAAUUAAUGUUAAAAGUGGACCACACAGGAUCAAAUCUCAAGUUUGCCGUUAAUUUGAUAGGAAAGAUGAGUAGAUUAAGUCAUCUCUCUACAAUUAGGUGGCAUAUGUUGCAUGCGUUACAAUACAUCAAGAUUUGAUUGGGUCUAACAAAAAUUCAGUUAGAGUGAUGGAUACUUAAACAGAAAAUUUAAUAUAUAUUUACAAGAAUUCUGUUUAAAUUAGGUAGCCUAUCACACAGCAGAACGCGCGCAGGGAAGGUAUUAUCCAUGUAAUUAAUGUUUGUAUUAGGUUUUGUAGCUAUAUACGAAGAGAAUGAAAGGUCAAAGACCAGCUAGUGGCUUUGCCAUGGCGUCCACGCUUCCAAUGGCCGGAAAAACUCACAAAGGCAUUUCAGCUACCUCCUGGCCACCAUUGCGUGAUUCACCAACGCUAAAAAUCGAACACAAGACAUGCCAUGUGAAACAAAAUUUAGAGGAAGCUAGGAAGUGGCAUCUUAUAUUAUGUAAUGUUAAUUGAUAAUUAGGGUUUGUCUAUUAGCCAAGAUUGGAACCAUAGCGCAUCUCAAAAUGAGAAGAUAUAGAGCAACGCCUAGUUUAGCUACAAAAUUUUGAUUUGUUUUGUUAACCUUAGUGCUUUUGUAGGCAAAAAUGAAGACGUACGAAGAUUAUUUGUCCUAUCAUUGAUUGUAUCGAGACGUAAGAAUAUCUACCUUAUCAUUGAUUGUAUACAUAUUUGUGACUGUGAGUCCAUCUCUCUUAUUUACCAAUCGAUUGGUUGAUAUAGUAUAUGUAUUAAUACUUGUUAAUAGAAAGAAAAAAAAAACUAUGGUAUAGCUAUUGGUUUGAUCCCAAAUUAGGAAGCCUUAAUGUUGUUUUGUUGUAUUGUAUGGUUGGUUAUGUUACUUUGUAUUAAUGUACAUCAUUUUCUCAAACCAAAUAGAAGCCACAACAUACAUGAUGGAGGCCUUAUCGACCAUAAAACUUACGUACUCUGCAAUGUUAGACAAAUGUUUAUCCUACACUCAUCAUUAUGUGACGUGCAAUUGGUCAACUGAUGAGUUUUACACCAAAUCACAUGAAAUAUAAGUGUUGUAGAAACCCUAAUGAACUAGUCACUCUCUUACAGAUAAGUUGUCCCUUUACCGGCAUAAGUGUUCAAAGAAGUACAACAGUACAUGCAAAGUUUAAGUGAUAAUUAGAUUGACAAAGCCAAACAGACCAGCUGAUUACCUAAUUACAGGCAGACAGAUGGUGACAAUUCUGUUAGUCAUUUUGAAUGGAAGCAUGUCAGUGAUGUGUACACACCAGAAACUAGAUCAGAGAGCGAAAUAAAGAAUGGGGGGAGGUGUUGGAUUGGAUAGGUGAACAAAUAGCAAUUAACAUAUAGUUGGUAGAGUUUGUUAUUGACUUCUAUUUUCAGAAUCUUCAGUUGACAUCGGAAGUGCAAUCGGAAGUCGUUAUGAAGGAUGCAAAUACUUACAAUAAAAAUUGAUUCACAAUUUAAUUAUACUAGCCUCUUGCACGCAAGCUCUUUUACAUCUUUUUUUUUUUUUUUAAAUAUUUAAGAAAUAAAGGAAAUAAAACUGCCUCUCCAUGGAGCUUGUGACAAUUUUUUUUUUUACAUCUUAUUCUCUACCUGCUUGUAAUUUUUAUUCUUUCUAUUUGUUAAAAAUAUUUUUAAAAAGUAAAGAAAUAAAGGAAAAAUAACUACCUACUACGUAAGUAGUUUUGUUUUGUUAGUUUGUAUUUUUUUUAAAUUAAAUUGUUUCAUUUUAAAAUCCUAAUUAGGAGAGAUAAUUUUGGGGAUUGUGAAUAAUUCAUUAUUUUUCCUUUACUUUAUAUAUACUAGCAUAUGUGACACAUCCCCGCCCGGGCAGGACCACUUCCUGAGCCCGACUCCAUCGUAGCACGAUAUUGUCCGAUUUGGGCCCCGACCACGUCCUCAAGGUUUUGUUUUUGGGAACUCACGCAAGAACUUCACAGUGGGUCACCCAUCAUGGGAUUGCUAUCGCGCGAACUCGCUUAACUUCGGAGUUCCGAUGGAACCCAAAGCCAGUGAGCUCCCAAAAGACCUCGUGCUAGGUAGAGAUGAGAAUAUACAUAUAAGGCUUACAAGAUCCACUCUCUUGGGCGAUGUGGGAUGUUACAAUCCACCCCCCUUAGGAGCCCGAUGUCCUCAUUGGCACACUUCCGGCCAGGGAUUGGCUCUGAUACCAAAUUGACACAUCCCGCCCGGGCAGGACCACAUCCCGCCCGGGCAGGACCACUUCCCGGGCUCGACUCCACCGUAGCACGAUAUUGUCCAUUUUGUACCCUGACCACGCCCUCACGGUUUUAUUUCUGGGAACUCACACGAGAACUUCCCAUUAGGUCACCCAUCAUGGGAUUGUUUUCGCGCGAACUCGCUUAACUUCGGAGUUCUGAUGGAACCCGAAGCCAGUGAGCUCCCAAAAAGCCUCGUGCUAGGUAGAGAUGAGAAUAUACAUAUAAGACUUACAUGAUCCAUUCCCUUGGGCGAUGUGAGAUGUUACAAUCUUCAUUUAUCACAAGAGCCUUAAGUAUAUCUUCAAUCAGCCAAACCUCAAUCUCUGGCAGCGGAAGUGGGUAGAGUUAUUCAGUGAUUAUGACUGCACCAUUGAGUAUCACCCAGGUCGUGCCAAUUCGGUGGCUAAUGCUCUUAGUAGGAAGUCUCAUGGCCAACUUAAUGCUGUUUAUGCUAGUCGCAUUCCUCUUUUGACUGACCUAAGAUCCACUGGAGUAGCUUUGAAAGAGGGUCGUCGGGGGGCCCUAAUUGCCAGUUUUCAGGUCAGGCUGGUUCUGUUGGAUCGUGUUCUCGAAGCCCAGAGAAAUGAUACAAAAUCUCAGGAAUUGAUACAAGCAAUGUCAGACGGGAAAAAGAAGGACCUCUGGAUUAGAGAUCCUGACGGCAUGCUUAUGCAAGGUGAACGGAUGUAUGUACCGAAUGUUAAGGAACUGAAGAGAGACAUAUUAGACGAAGCGCAUAUUUCUGCUUAUGCGAUGCAUCCAAUGAGCACCAAGAUGUACCAUACCAUCCGACACUUCUAUUAUUAGCCAGGUAUGAAAAGAGAGAUUGCAAAGUAUGUUAGCCGUUAUGCAAUUUGCCAGCAGGUUAAGGCAGAAAGGAAAAGGCUAUUUGGAUUGCUACAACCACUUCCGAUACCUCAGUGGAAAUGGGAAGAUAUUACAAUGGAUUUUGUGUACAAAUUACCUCGUACGCGAAAUGGUUACGAUGGUAUCUGGGUGGUAGUUGAUCGGCUUACCAAGUCAGUGCACUUCAUACUCGUUCGUGAAAUUUUCUCGUUAAGUCAGUUGGCCGAACGGUUCGUCUCUGACUGGUUAGGUACCACGGAGUUCCAGUUAAUAUCAUUUCUGACGGAGACCCUCGAUUUACUUCGAAGUUCUGGGUAGCUUUUCAGGAAGCUUUGGGAUCGAGACUACUCUACAGCACCGCCUAUCAUCCUCAAACAAAUGGGCAGUCAGAGAGAACUAUCCAGACCUUGGAAGAUAUGUUGAGAUCAUUAGUUCUACAGUUUGGAGACGCUUGGCAUAAACGCUUACCGUUGAUAGAGUUCACAUACAACAACAACUUCCAUUCUAGUAUUAGUAUGGCACCGUUUGAAGCGUUGUAUGGGAAACCGUGUUGUACUCCACUUUGUUGGUCCGAGGUCGGUGAGCGAGUUUUGGUGGGCCCUGAGAUCGUAGAUGAGACGACAAAAAAUAUUCAGGUGAUAAAGGCUAACCUGAAAGUGGCCUAGGAUCUGCAGAAGAGUCUCACGGACAGACAUUCUACCGAUAAAGUUUAUGAGGUUGGUGAUUGGGUAUUCUUGAAAUUAUCGCCGUGGAAAGGUGUUGUGAGAUUUGGAAAGAAAUGGAAGCUCAGCCCUAGGUACAUCGGACUGUACUAGAUCGUUGAACGAGUCGGUGAAGUUGCUUAUCGACUUGCUUUGCCACCAAAGUUGUCAAGAGUGCACAAUGUGCUUUAUGUAUCAAUGUUACGAAGGUACGUUUCUGAUCCGUCACACGUAAUCCCUCCUCAACCACUGGAGAUCAAUCUAGAUUUUACCUAUGAUGAGGUUCCAGUGACUAUCCUUGAUUGGAAAUAUCAGGUUCUUAGGAACAAGACCGUGCGGAUGGUGAAGGUUUUGUGGAGGAACCACUCGGUGAAGGAAGCCACUUGGGAGACAGAAGAGCGUAUGCGAGAUAUGUAUCCACAUCUAUUNNNNNNNNNNNNNNNNNNNNNNNNNNNNNNNNNNNNNNNNNNNNNNNNNNNNNNNNNNNNNNNNNNNNNNNNNNNNNNNNNNNNNNNNNNNNNNNNNNNNNNNNNNNNNNNNNNNNNNNNNNNNNNNNNNNNNNNNNNNNNNNNNNNNNNNNNNNNNNNNNNNNNNNNNNNNNNNNNNNNNNNNNNNNNNNNNNNNNNNNNNNNNNNNNNNNNNNNNNNNNNNNNNNNNNNNNNNNNNNNNNNNNNNNNNNNNNNNNNNNNNNNNNNNNNNNNNNNNNNNNNNNNNNNNNNNNNNNNNNNNNNNNNNNNNNNNNNNNNNNNNNNNNNNNNNNNNNNNNNNNNNNNNNNNNNNNNNNNNNNNNNNNNNNNNNNNNNNNNNNNNNNNNNNNNNNNNNNNNNNNNNNNNNNNNNNNNNNNNNNNNNNNNNNNNNNNNNNNNNNNNNNNNNNNNNNNNNNNNNNNNNNNNNNNNNNNNNNNNNNNNNNNNNNNNNNNNNNNNNNUGGGCCCCGACCACGUCCUCAAGGUUUUGUUUUUGGGAACUCACGCAAGAACUUCACAGUGGGUCACCCAUCAUGGGAUUGCUAUCGCGCGAACUCGCUUAACUUCGGAGUUCCGAUGGAACCCAAAGCCAGUGAGCUCCCAAAAGACCUCGUGCUAGGUAGAGAUGAGAAUAUACAUAUAAGGCUUACAAGAUCCACUCUCUUGGGCGAUGUGGGAUGUUACAAUCCACCCCCCUUAGGAGCCCGAUGUCCUCAUUGGCACACUUCCGGCCAGGGAUUGGCUCUGAUACCAAAUUGACACAUCCCGCCCGGGCAGGACCACAUCCCGCCCGGGCAGGACCACUUCCCGGGCUCGACUCCACCGUAGCACGAUAUUGUCCAUUUUGUACCCUGACCACGCCCUCACGGUUUUAUUUCUGGGAACUCACACACGAGAACUUCCCAUUAGGUCACCCAUCAUGGGAUUGUUUUCGCGCGAACUCGCUUAACUUCGGAGUUCUGAUGGAACCCGAAGCCAGUGAGCUCCCAAAAAGCCUCGUGCUAGGUAGAGAUGAGAAUAUACAUAUAAGACUUACAUGAUCCAUUCCCUUGGGCGAUGUGAGAUGUUACAAUCUUCAUUUAUCACAAGAGCCUUAAGUAUAUCUUCAAUCAGCCAAACCUCAAUCUCUGGCAGCGGAAGUGGGUAGAGUUAUUCAGUGAUUAUGACUGCACCAUUGAGUAUCACCCAGGUCGUGCCAAUUCGGUGGCUAAUGCUCUUAGUAGGAAGUCUCAUGGCCAACUUAAUGCUGUUUAUGCUAGUCGCAUUCCUCUUUUGACUGACCUAAGAUCCACUGGAGUAGCUUUGAAAGAGGGUCGUCGGGGGCCCUAAUUGCCAGUUUUCAGGUCAGGCUGGUUCUGUUGGAUCGUGUUCUCGAAGCCCAGAGAAAUGAUACAAAAUCUCAGGAAUUGAUACAAGCAAUGUCAGACGGGAAAAAGAAGGACCUCUGGAUUAGAGAUCCUGACGGCAUGCUUAUGCAAGGUGAACGGAUGUAUGUACCGAAUGUUAAGGAACUGAAGAGAGACAUAUUAGACGAAGCGCAUAUUUCUGCUUAUGCGAUGCAUCCAAUGAGCACCAAGAUGUACCAUACCAUCCGACACUUCUAUUAUUAGCCAGGUAUGAAAAGAGAGAUUGCAAAGUAUGUUAGCCGUUAUGCAAUUUGCCAGCAGGUUAAGGCAGAAAGGAAAAGGCUAUUUGGAUUGCUACAACCACUUCCGAUACCUCAGUGGAAAUGGGAAGAUAUUACAAUGGAUUUUGUGUACAAAUUACCUCGUACGCGAAAUGGUUACGAUGGUAUCUGGGUGGUAGUUGAUCGGCUUACCAAGUCAGUGCACUUCAUACUCGUUCGUGAAAUUUUCUCGUUAAGUCAGUUGGCCGAACGGUUCGUCUCUGACUGGUUAGGUACCACGGAGUUCCAGUUAAUAUCAUUUCUGACGGAGACCCUCGAUUUACUUCGAAGUUCUGGGUAGCUUUUCAGGAAGCUUUGGGAUCGAGACUACUCUACAGCACCGCCUAUCAUCCUCAAACAAAUGGGCAGUCAGAGAGAACUAUCCAGACCUUGGAAGAUAUGUUGAGAUCAUUAGUUCUACAGUUUGGAGACGCUUGGCAUAAACGCUUACCGUUGAUAGAGUUCACAUACAACAACAACUUCCAUUCUAGUAUUAGUAUGGCACCGUUUGAAGCGUUGUAUGGGAAACCGUGUUGUACUCCACUUUGUUGGUCCGAGGUCGGUGAGCGAGUUUUGGUGGGCCCUGAGAUCGUAGAUGAGACGACAAAAAAUAUUCAGGUGAUAAAGGCUAACCUGAAAGUGGCCUAGGAUCUGCAGAAGAGUCUCACGGACAGACAUUCUACCGAUAAAGUUUAUGAGGUUGGUGAUUGGGUAUUCUUGAAAUUAUCGCCGUGGAAAGGUGUUGUGAGAUUUGGAAAGAAAUGGAAGCUCAGCCCUAGGUACAUCGGACUGUACUAGAUCGUUGAACGAGUCGGUGAAGUUGCUUAUCGACUUGCUUUGCCACCAAAGUUGUCAAGAGUGCACAAUGUGCUUUAUGUAUCAAUGUUACGAAGGUACGUUUCUGAUCCGUCACACGUAAUCCCUCCUCAACCACUGGAGAUCAAUCUAGAUUUUACCUAUGAUGAGGUUCCAGUGACUAUCCUUGAUUGGAAAUAUCAGGUUCUUAGGAACAAGACCGUGCGGAUGGUGAAGGUUUUGUGGAGGAACCACUCGGUGAAGGAAGCCACUUGGGAGACAGAAGAGCGUAUGCGAGAUAUGUAUCCACAUCUAUUUUAUGGCUUUGAUUUGUAGUCCAUGUUGAAAUUUCGGGGACGAAAUUUUUAUAAGGGGGGUAGAUUGUGACGACCCGUCGCUAAUUUUCAUAUGUAAUUUCUCCAUGAAUAUGUAAUUUGACGGUUAUACCCUUAGUGGCAAGUGACGUGGACACGUUUAUUUCCCUUAAAUUAUUUAUUUCCUCAUAUCACAUUUAAAUUGUGCACACUAGUACAAGUCGGCGUAGAUCUUAAAGUGUAAAAAUAUCUACUUUGGAUACAUUUCGAUUUCCUUUUAUUGUAGGAAAUCUGAAAUCUUAUCCUUUGAAUUCUUUUUUUUAUCCUACCCGUGCACCCCCCAUCAUUCACUCACCCAUCACCCUUUCACCAAUCCCAUCUCUCCCUCUCACCAAUCCCAUCUCUCCCUCAUUUCUGUCAUCCAAUCAGAAAAAGGAAAAAAAAAGAACUCUCUUUCUAUUCUCUUUUUCCCUCCCGUAUACUCCCUCUUCUCUGCAACACCAUGAACGAGCUUCAAAGCUCGUAGAUUGAACUCACAAACUACACCAUCAUCCUCAUCUCUACCCCUAAGAACUCAACCAUACCCCUGGUUCACAUGUUGAUUGAGUUUUGGUCAUCCAACUCGAAAGGUUCGACUGGAUGAGUUCGAUAUAUCGAUUUUCAGGCCAUUCACGGCUUAGGUAAGCCUCGAGAAACCCUUAGAACCUUCAUUUCAAUUCUAUGGGUUGAUAUUGAUCCUUGUUUGUGUUUUGAACGUUUGGUUUUACCCAAAAAACUCGAGAAGAAGAAGGUGCACAUUUUUUUUCAAUCAAGAACCAUGACCAUUUGGUCACUUUCAACCCAUUUUUCCAGUUAACCUCGACCACAGCUGGACUCCUAUUAGGUACAAACUUGUUCUCUACAUUCCUAACUUCAAAAUGACUUUUGAAUCACUGAGUUUGAUCAAGUAACGAGUUAGAAAUCAACUCUAGAAGUUAGGAAGAAAAUUCCAGUUUUCUGGAAAUCUGCAACCAUGGUCAUUUGGCCACUUUCAGGCCAAAUUUAUGAAUAACACGACUGUAUUCAAACUUUCUAUGAAUUAGGAUUGAUACAUCACAUUCCUAGCUUUAAUUUGGCUUUUGUAGAAGUGUUUUUUGUUAAGAAUCGAGCUCGUUAUGAGCUCUGAAAGUUGGCUAAAAAAUCUGCAAAACUGCAGAAAAUCACGAGGAAGGCGAGUACGCCUGUACUCGCAGGCGCGCGUGGGGCGCAUGUGGGCAUUUUGUGAAACCCCUUUGGGCGGCGUGUGGUUGACACGUGUGUCUUCGUGUCGUAGAGUAGAUCGAUUUCACAUAUUUAAACCCUAGGUUUGAGCAAAACUAUAGGGGUUUUAUUUAGGUUUCCAUUAUGUGCUUUAAUUAAUGUUAUUUUAGUUAUUUCACAUAUAAGGAAAACUUAUCCCGAGGAUUUACGAGGCCAAGCUAGGCUCGGGGACUACGACCCAGCAGUGUACUUGUGAGUGGGCAUUUUGUUUUUAUACCUAUACAUAUUAUAGUUUCCAUAAAUGCGUAUUUACUUCAUUUCUUACGCUUAUAUUGCCAAGUAUCGUUAUUAUGUUAUUAAUUGUGAUAAAUGCUGCUAUAUGGUUGGGAUAUUACUGUCAUGACAUUCAUAUAUAUAAUUGUACAUGCUCAUCUUGCUGCACUGGUGUUAGUACUCGCCUAGGGCCAGAUCCAUUCCUUCAUGUGUAUGUUCACAUCGCACUGUUCGUUCGCUUUGGAUCCAAGUUAGGUGCCAGUCAUGUCGGGUAGAUUGCAUUAGGCAAUCCGACUUGUAUGUGAUGUGCUUCUACACCAGUCUUCACGUGAUCGUAAUACUAGAGCGUAUUGAUUACAUCCAGUCAUGUUCGUGUCAGAAAUUAUUUGUUCGAACUUGUUAAUGUCAGCUUAGAUGGAUGAGCACUUAGCUAUACUUGAUUAUCACAUGAUUGAUUACAUCAUUAGUUGGCAUAUUCCUGGUUAUUAUACUGCUAUAAUGUUAUCGAAUUAUUGUUUAUAUACCCGAGUAGUAUGUUUUAAGGAAACUAUACUUGUUUUAUGGCAAGGGUUUAGUAUUUUUCAAGGUUAAAGGUUUUUCUUAUAAGCAUUGUUUUGCGGACCCACACAACUUUGUUUUUUGCCCCUUCAGGACCUAGAUAGUUGUACUCUUUGUGGCACUCAAGGAAUCUCGGCAGUUCUGACAUUUCCUUCUAUUUUAGACGUACGAACUUAUCACUGUUAUGUAAUAAGUGUGCUUUAGUUAUUUUGACUACUCUUCUGUAGUCUCACUGUCUAUUACGCUCUGAAUAAUUGUAGUGGGUUCACCCCACGAUUUGCGCACUCUUUCAUUGUUUAGUUCUAAUUAGUUUUAAUUUUAUUCACUUUUUACAUCACUUACCCUUAUGGUUACGUCACCUCACGGUGAUGGCCAGCAUGCUUCAACCUUUCCAGGUCGGGGUGUGUCAAUAUGCCUAGACACUUUGUGUGUAUGAACACUUUUUAUUUUUGUUAAAAAAAAAAAGGAGAGAGAACAUGGGUGGGAGUGGGAGGUUUUUUACUUUUUUAAUAUUAAAUAUAUCUUAACAUCAUCUGUAGAUGAAGCUUUAAUAAAAAAAAGUAAAAUUUGGUGUGUGAAAUUAUAUUAUUACUCAUCAUUUUUUUGGCCUAAUUGGAUAGAUGGUCCUCGUGGUGAUGAGGUUAUCGAAAGAUAGCCCUUGUGGUAAAAAAAUUAGGAUUUAAACCCCCGAGGUGUAGUCCGUUAGCAAAUUUAGUCCACAAGUAACUUUUUCCGUUAGUUGUUCAUUAAAUGUGGGGUAAAAAUGUACUUUUGACGUGUUCUUCUUCCUUGUCUCUCUACGUUUCCUCGUCUAGCUGGGUUGUGAUUUUGUUGGAGGAGUAAGCGAUGGUAAAGGAGGAAGAUCUAGCUGCGCUUUUCUGCAAUGGCUACUUUGCCACUGGAUCAUUGCGAAUUUGGGUUUCUUAGGAUUUUUUUUUUUUUUUGUGAAUAGGAAUUCCAUUAACAAACAGUAGGGAGGCAAUGUGGAAAAUGCAACCUUCGCAAAUGCACUAGAUACAUUGUAUGGUAACAAUAAGUUGGUGUGGAAUAGAAGUCACAAAGCUUAUAAGAAAUGGGGUUGGUCUGAGGACGAUGUUCUCUCUGCUUUUAAGCAGUGCCCAACUUGUAUGAUUAUGUCGGGGCAGAAGCUAAUGUAAACGAUGAAUUUUUUUAAUGAAUAAGAUAGGAUGGUUGUCAGGAAUGAUUGCCAAGUACCCUGUGGUCAUGAACUUGAGUUUGGAGAGGAGACUUAUCCCGAGGUCUUCGGUUGUUAAAGUUUUGUUGUUGAAAGGUUUGAUAAAUGAGAACUUCAAUUUGGGUUCGGUGGUGAUACCUGUGAAGAAGCAGUUCUUGGAGACGUUUGUGAAUAGAUUCGCAAUGAUCCAGAGGCAAAGUAGCCACUGCAGAAAAGUGCAGCUGGAUCUUCCUCCUUUAUCAUCGCUUACUCCCCCAACAAAAUCAAAACCCAGCUAGACGAGGAAACGUAGAGAGACAAGGAAGAAGAACACGUCAAAAGUACAUUUUUACCCUGCAUUUAAUGGACAACUAACGGAAAAAUCACUUGUGGACUAAAUUUGCUAACGGACUAUACCACGAGGGUUUAAAUCCUAAUUUUUUUACCACAAGGGCUAUCUUCCGAUAACCUUAUUACCACGAGGACCAUCUAUCCGAUUAGGCCUUCUUUUUUUUUUUUUUUUUUGAGUGAUUAGAAGACUAAAUAGUCUUUUUACCUUCUUUUGAUUGACAAAGAUGAUUCUAUGAAUAGGUAGUAUAGAUAUAUAUAUAUAUAUAUAUGUUAUUUAUUUCACAAUUGAAUCAAUUUAAGAAAGCGGUAAACCUAAGGACUUAUCAAUAGGUAAUGUUGCUUCAAUACCCAACAACGGCCUAUUACAAAACCAGUAAAUAAAAAUUAAGGUCAUCUCCAAUGAGAGAGUUAAAGGUCUUUAAAGUAAAAAAAUAUGACCUAAUUUGUCAAAAAAUUUAUUUCCAAUCGAUAGAUGGGCUAUAAUUCUAUGGAGCUCAUCAGACCAUUAUUUGGCCAAAGGGGCAUCAGGCUAGCCAAAUAUAGCCCCCCUUUUUAGCCCAUUUACUCUUUAGUUGCAAUAAUUGAUUCAAAUUCCACGGCUAGAUUUGAAAAAAUACAAUGGUGGUUUAACUAAAUUAACCAAUAAUUGUAAAGUAUAAACUCAAAACUAAUAAAUUAUUGAGGGGGUUAUGUUUAGUUCCUUCGGUUGGAGAUGAUAUAUGAGUAUGGUCUGACACGGUUCAUUAAAAAAAAUUAAUUUUUUUUUUUGCAGGGCUAUAUUUAGCCAUUUCAGUUAGAGAUGGUCUAAGGUUGUCGCUAUAAAGGAUUCACUUUAUUGUCAUUUUCAGUUCUAUGCUUCUUCAUGAAGGAAUAAAGUGAUUUUUCAAUAUUAACUUGCAUUUUCACUAAAGAUUUGUUCCAAAAGUAUUUUUACCAAAAACACUUUCAAUCAUUUUAAAAACAGUUCUAAACGAGCCCUAAUUCAUUUUUGUAGAGUUGAAGAGAAACAUCUCAAUACAUGUCUUAUCUUUUUAGAAAUUCAUAUUUGUAGUAAUGAAAUACUACUUUUCCUACCCCAAGUGAUAAAUGAUUGAAUUUUUUUUUUCUUGACAAAUAAUAGUGUUAUUAACUUAGUGGGUUGAAUUGUUAGUUGUUAGUGCAGGGGAGGGGGUGCUAGUGGGGGAGAGGACCGGAAUCGAACUCGCACCAAGAUGUAUAGGCAUCAUUAUUUUCCUCUACUAGGGUAAAAUAUCAUCUACGAUAAAUACUUAAUUACAAGAUGGUAUAUACUCUUUAUAAAUGAACAAAAACUACCUUAUCAUUGGAAAGUACAUUAAUAUAAACACUUUGUAAGAAGAGGUGAUGUAAACAAACGAGUCAAAGUGGAUUGUUCUACACUAGCACAUCCACAUAAUAACUCUACCAGGAUAGAUACAAAAUACGUGCAGAAUCAUCAUAGAUGAACUGAUUGAAAUAACCAACCAAAAUUUGCAGUCAUUAUAUACUGAACAAAAGCAAAGCCCUCGUAUGGGUAGGACAAUAAUAAAAAGCCAUAGAAAACCUUGUAGAUAUUUAAACUAAAAAACAUAUAAUCGUAAUUGUUUGAUUCUCAAGACAUUCUUUGAACCAAUCAUAGUUUUGUUACUUGAGGUACACAUAUCCUAGACAAUAAAAAAGAUCGAGUAAGAAACUAGACCCCCAAAAUGCAGGGGAAACUCAUACAACAAUGAAAUCAUACAACUGACAAAAGGGAAAAAUGAAAACCCGGUAAUCGGGUUUUACGAAAGUUGCUAUCGAGAUGAUCUAUAGAUUCUUAACAAAGAGGCAGAUCCACCGGUGGUUGCUCGACUGACUGCAGUGCCCCAACUCCAUUGUCCACCAAGAACACCAUGGCCAAACCCCAGUUGAUGUGGACAUCCAAGUGACAAUGCAUUAUCCAUGCACCUACAUAUGUCAAAUAUUUAUUUAAAUAUAUAAAAAUCUUAAACACAUUGACACUGAGUCAUAAUUUCAAAAUAGAAUAUUGUCUUGUUUAAAAGUGAAAUUUUUACCUGGAUUGUCAGCGACAAAUCGAAUGACUGCCCAUCCAUUCGCAGGCACUGCCACUGUGUUCCUCAGAGGUGGAUCAAUAAGGUUGAACUUUUUGGUAUCAGUCUGGGCAUUGAAAUUUCCAAAACCCUCAGCAAGGAUGUAAAAAUCGUAUCCGUGAAGAUGGAUAGGAUGGUUUUCUGUGUGACGAUGCUUGUGUCCUGCAGCACAACCUGCACCCUUGAUCCAUACUUCAACUUGUAUCCUCUAGUGCCUGACAUUGGUUGCCAAAGAGAGCGACUCACAUUGCCAGUGUAGUCGAAUUUCGUCGGAGGGUUUGCUGGAAAAUCUGCAGUGAAAACUCCAGGGAUGUUUUGUAGGUAUGCCUGAAGGAUUGAAAUGUUGUUUGGAAGCACGAAGGACACAUUGUUCAUGCUGGCUGUGAAGCGUGUCCCAUUUGGGCCUUGGCACCUUUGGGAUCCAAAAUUUUUCGGGCAGUUGUUGAGUCCAAGACCAAUUGUGAAGAAGAGAUUUUCAUCGAUUUCAGUUGGGACUUCAACUUUUCUUGGACUUCUGAAACUCUUGGUGAAAGCAGAAGCAGUGUUUGUGUCAUUGAAAGCAGGGAGUUGUGCCAUAAUUGGUUUGGCUGCUGAACUGUUUUUGCAAUUGGGGCUGCAAGGGGCAGACUUGUAUUCAAGAAUGGCGGUGGUGGUGGUGUUGUCGAAUGCUGCAUUUUGCGCGCUGAAAUAAGCACUCGCCGCCAAGUAGUACCGGGCUGGUGACUGGUCACCGGUGAUUAAAACAUCAGUGGUCUGCCCAGGCCCUAGCAUGAGAACCGUGGUAGUGAAAGGUUUGGUGUAGGAGGCAUCAGCACUAACAACGGUGAGCUUGUGGUUGGCCACGGAGAAGAAAAGAGGUUGGUUGAGUGCAGCGUUGAUGACUCUAAGAAGGUUGGUCUCGCCGGAGUCUAUAGGAACUAUGACAGUGUCUGCAUACCGAAAUCAUAAUAAAAAUUUACUAGUUUAUACGUGGCACAUAAGAUUUACUUAUUACAUCAAUUACCGGGUAAGUUUAAACACAUAUUAUGUGCGUGGCACGUUAAACUUAGUUGUUACAUCAAUAUCAUAAUGUUUUAUCAAGGAUAGAAUUGCAAUUAUGGUACCUUGGCUUGAGCAGUUGUAAAGAUCGCCAGGUUGACCAUUGAUGGUGUAUGCAUCAGAAACAUUUGGAGCUGCUCCUGUCAUAGUCGCCUGCCUCAAGACAUCGAUAGGGUUAGCGUUCCACCAUUCACCGAGAAGAAGGGUUGUUUCACUUUUCGGUUUAGUGAAGGGGUAGGAGUCUCCUUGUUUAGGAUGAAUGAUGAGUGCUCCGUAAACGGUGGCUCUAAGCCAUGAGCUGUGAGCAUGCCACCACAGAGUACCUUCUUGCCCUUGAAUUGUAAAGCGGUAGGUGUAGCUCCCUCCUGGCCUAAUCGGGCACUGAGUCACAAAUUCUGGCCCAUCUGCCCAUCCAGUUCUCAUUUGCCUAAUCCCAUGCCUGAAAUGUUUAUUUUUUAUGAGAAAGUGAAGAGUAGAUAAUUUUUAAUUUCUUACAUGACUGUUAGACAGCAUAAGAAACAUGUUGUUAGUUACCAGUGGAUGGUGACGUUGUAUUGAGCUCUGUUGGUGACUUUGACGACAAGAGUGUCACCAUUGUUUACUUCCAAGGUUGGUCCAGGGAGCUGUCCAUUCACUGUGAUGGAGUUUUGGGUUUUGCACAGCCUCUUCACUGGUGUUGCUUGAACCUGUAUAAACGUAUAUCCCAUUUAAUAUUAAAUAAAUGGUGAGUAAUUUAUUAAGUAUAUAAGAAGAAGAAACAUGAACCGGUCUAAAACAUAUGCAAGUAUACAAGCAAUACAGAAAUUAAACUUACAACAAACUCAUGCUUGUGAAUUUGGGGUUCUGCCAAGGACAUUGUCGAUGACGCCACGAGAAGGCAAAGACCGAAAAGGCAUAACGUGAAGCGAAUCUUGUUGACGAAAAUGGCGUUGAGUGCCUCCAUUUGUUUGAGUGAUAGAGAGAAUGUGGUAGUUUGAGUGCUGAAGUGAUAGAGUGGGGGAUGCUUUUAUAGUAAAAUUUUGAGGAGAGAGACUGUUGUUUGGGGUCAGCUGAUUAGGUUUUGAUUCGAAAAAUGGUCAGAUUCUUGAGCAAACUUAGUUCAACCCUGUGGGAGUUGUUGCACCCACUGGCCUAUACAUACCAAGCGAAUUAUUUCUUCAAUGCUUGCUUCUCAAGUCUUCCUUCUAGAUGGGAUUGAAUAAUAAUUCAAUAUAGGCAUGAAUAUUGGUAAUAUAUACUAUAUUUUUGCAUGUACUUUAUGUUAAUGCAAAUACAAAAAGAGUGAAACUCCACUUUUUUCCAACGUGAAGACAAUCGUAAUGGUCCACCGACCAAAACUAAAUUAGAUGCACAAUAUACCAAUGGUGCAUUCUUUCUCUAGUGGCAAAAAGCGUUGCAUAUAUACCUGCACGGUUAGCUAUACCACUAGAAAAUAUUUAACAGAUCGAUAUUCGUCACAUUCUGUGUUGACCAUGCAUAUAUAUAGUCUUUUCUAGAAGUUAAUUACAUGAAGAAUCAAGAGGGAAAGAGUAUAAAAACCAUAUAAAUCUUGCAUGAAUUUGUCGCACAAUCUCCUUCCUUCCUACUGUGGUACGCGGAAUCAAAAAGCAAUGCGCGUAAAGUCCAUGCUUUUAGGAAAAAGUAAUGCUAAGUAGACUAAUUUUUUAGAUCACAUUUGUAUAUUAUGUGAUGUACAUGUGUCAUCAAUAAAAAAUAAAUACAGUAAUUAAUACUUAAGUAAUAAUUUAAACAUCAACAACUACAUAUGUAUGAUUUAUAAAAUAUAAUUUAAUUAGAUGGUUUAUCUGGUAUUACCAAAAAAGAAAAGUGGAAAAGCAAGUAGAGAUGGUCGAUGAUUUAGCUAGGUUAUUAUUAAUUAAUGUUGUUAAAAGUAGACCAACCAGGAUCAAAACUCAAGUUUGCUGUUUGAAAGGGAAAACGAGUAAAUUAAGUCAUCUCUCUACAAUAUUAUAGGUGGAGUGUGUUGCAUGCUUAUUACAUUAUGUCAAGAUUUUGUUGGGUCUAAGAACAACUCGGUUACAGACAGAUAGAUCUUUAAACAGAAAACUUAAUAAAUAUUUACCUUAAUUUUCUUUAAAUUAGGUAGCCUGUCACGCAGUAGAUACAAUGGGAAGGUAUCAUCCAUGUAACUAAUGUUCGUAUUUCUUUUUUUUUUUUUUUUUUUUUUUUUUUUUUGGUAAUCAAAAGUUUAGGGGAGGGGAAAAUAUCAUAUUCCAAGGUCAGGGCAUAUCACAAGUUUCUUUGAAGACUUAAGAGGUCUUAGCCCCUUUUUUGGUUUUUUACCGAUCGCCCACUAAGAGAGAUCGCUGGCAGCAGGACUCGAACCUAAAUCUUAGUCUAGCAAAUAGAAUUUACCAGCUCAACCAUAUAUAACUAGGUUUUGUAUAGCUACAUAUAUAUAGGAAACCUUUAUGGGAAGAGAUCCCCAUUUUUUUAUAAAAAUGGGGAUUAGUUGUGGAGUCCACACCACAUCAAACUUUAACGAUCCGAACCAUCUAUUUUUCAAGUUGCACCUCAUAGAUCAUCCUUGCAAAGUAUUAGCCAAAUCGGAAAUGUUUAAGACAUCUAAUUGAGUUCAAAGAAAUUAACGAAUACUUUGUUAUAUAAGAAAUAAUGAAAUUUGAUCUUAAUAAUUAAAUAGGCAAAUGAUUUCGGAUUGAAUUGAAUUUUUGUAAGGAUGAUCUAUAAAACGAGAUUUACAAAAUAUACGAUUCAGAUUGUUAAAGUUAGAUGUGGAGUGGGCCCCACACCUAAUUCCUUUUUUUAAAAAAAAUUAGGGACCCUUUGCAUAAAAGGGCCUGCAUAUACACACACACACACCAAGAGAAUGAAGGAUUGAGACUAUAGCUAUGCCCUAGCGUUUAGAGGAAGCUAGGAAACGACAUCCUAUACAUAUAUAUUGUGUAUGUUUUACUCUAUUGAUUGUAAGAGUUUGUCUCUAAGCCAUUAAUGGAACAAUAGCAUCGCAAGAUUAGAAGAUAUUAGCAAUGCCUAGUUUUUUGGAGGAAAGCAAUGCCUAGUUUAGCUACAACAUUUUGAUUCGUUUUGUCAACUCUAGUGCUUUAACUUGUAGGCAAAAACAUGAAGAUGUAAGGAGAUUAAUUGUCCCGUCAAUGAUUGUAUAGAGACGUAAGAAGAAUUAUGACCUAUAAUGAUUGUGUACAUAUCAAUCGACGAGUCUAUCUCUCAUAUUUAUCAAGUAUGUGAUUGGUUAUUACAUAUAGUACAUUUCGUAAUACUCAUUAAAAUAUAAUUUUACUAUUGUUUUGACCCCAAAUUAGGAAGCCAAAAUUUUUCUCGAUUGUAUGGUUGGGUAUGUCACUUUGUAUUAAUGUACAACAUUUUUCAAACCGAGUCGAAGACAUGCAGUGUGUGUGUAUUGGCCAUAAAACUUACGUACUUCGAUGUGAUGGGAUGAUGAUUUUGGAAGAGGUUCCUCUCCGGAUCUACUUUAUGGGAAUCCCAACAUCCUAGCUGUUCAUUAUAUAUCUUGCGACCAGAUUUCAUCAGAUACUAUUUGUGUUUAGUUUUAAAUAAUAAUAAAAAAGUGAAAUGGUUUCUGACUGCACGACGCACAACGUACGAUAAAUGGCUAAGAUGUGGGGAUUAUACCUAGAAUCCCCACAAUUUGGAUCUGGAUGGGAUCCAAAUCUACGAUACUAUCAUGUCACAUGUACCAAUUCAUGUGACGAAGUUAUACAUUAGAUCAUGUGACGAACGUUGUUAAAACGUUAACAAAUGCCCCCUCCCCUAUAAAUAUAGGUAUAUCUUCCACUUCUUAAAUUAAUGUACAUCUUAGCAUACAUAUUUGUCUCACUUUCUUGUUUUUUUUCCUAACCUUGUGGUGUUAUUCGACUUGUUUUGUAGGUUUAGCCCUUUUAAGUUUGACUUUAGAGAAAUUAGGUUUCAUAUCCUCUUGUUGAAAUGUCUCACAUCAACAGCAUCUAUUAGAAAAUAAGAGUUUACAUACCCUAAUCUCUUCUAACUAAUACCGAGGUCUUUUAUGGUAAAAUUGUACACCUGACGGAUUGUGCAUGUGAUAAUUACAAAGUUGAGGACAAUAUUGAUGUUGUUGAAAGUGGGUCAUUGGCCCAUCUCGCUAAUAAUUCUACACCCCCUCCUUUUUUUUCAUGUAUUUUUUUUUUCUUUGUUUUAUGAGGAGUAAGAUUUAUGUUCCUCCUAACUAAAUGUAACUUCUUUUUUUCAUUAUAAAUAAAAUUUCCCUCGUAUUGUCGAGAUUUUCUAUUAAAAAAAUGAGUACGUGCAAGCCUGCAAGUGAUAACGAUUGACAAAGCCAAAUCGACCAACUAAUUACCUAAUUACCUGCAGACAAGAAUUCAGUUUGUCGUCACUUUGAAUGGAAGCAUGUCAUUGAUGUCGAUCAGAAAGUGAAAGAAAGGAAGAAGAUCGAGAGGGAGGGGAGGUGUUAGAUAAUUGGAUUAGAUAGGUGAACAAGAUAACGUGACAGCAAUUAACUUGUAGUUGGUAUAGUUUGUUAUAUAUUGACUUUCAAAAUCUUGUUUUGACAACACACAACCAUUAAGUACAAUAAUAGAAUUCGUUAUGCUAAGAAACCACAAGUUUCCUUGUCAAACUUGUCAUCUGGUACUUUUGUCUUGCUUUGUUCAAAUAGGUCAAUUUUUUUUUUUAUUUA
rnacentral:lncRNA from 1 species